GCUACAACGGGUAUUUUGUCAAUGGAUAUGUUUUCCAUACUGAAGAAUACGGGCAAGGAAGAAAGACAUACAACUGCGGUGUUUGUGUUAAGGGAUCCACAAGUAGCCAGUUAGAAGUUGACUACUAUGGUAGAUUAGAAGAGGUCGUCGAACUGCAAUAUCAUAGCGAGCAGAAUAAAGUGUUUUUAUUCAAAUGCUAUUGGUAUGACACGACGGACAGAGGAAUCAGAGUUGAUCCGCACCAUGGUCUGGUCGAAAUCAACUCAAAAGCUAGACUCCGCAACAUAAACGAUGUCUUUGUUUUCGCAAAGCAAUGUCAACAAGUUUAUUACACAUACACCCCUUCAUUUAGAAAGGAUCGUUCAAGAGUUGAUUGGUUGUCCGUUUUAAAAACGAAACCACGGGGUCGUGUCGAGGUUGUUCAGGAUGAGAACGAAGACACAAGUGUGCGAGAUGAAGUCUUUCAAGUUCGUGAGUUGGUUGAACCAUAUCGAGUUGCUCCUUCGAUUGAAUUGGAAGAAAAUUCAAAUUUUCGAGUUCUCGAUGAUAGUCUUGUUGAUAUUGACGGAGAGGAGUUGAAUGUUGUUCUCAGCUCUAGCGGACAAGCAAAUGUCGAUGAAGAAGAUGAUAUCCAUAUUGAAGAUUGCGAUGAAGAUGAUGACAAUUCAAUUGAUGAGGAAGAAGAAGAAAAUUCCGACUAAUUAUGAAAAUGAAGCCCUAUGUAAAAACAUUUGUCUCAUGUAAUUUAGAUUAUUGAUGAUGUAUUUUGUAAAACAAAAUAUUUACUGUUUAAGCAAUGUGGUUAUUGUUUUAUGUGAUGGACAGUUUAUCAGUUAAGUUUUGCAGGAAGGUAAACAGGCAAUACAAAGACAACCUUUCCUGCAUAAUGCAAACUUACCGACGUCCAUACCGACGGAUCACCAUCCGUCGGUAUCUCACAGAGAGUUUAUUUACAACAAAAUGCCACAAUCACCGACGGCCAUACCGACGGAUCACCAUCCGUCGGUAUCUCACAGAGAGUUCGAAAAUAUUUACAACAAAAUGCCACAAUCACCGACGGCCAUACCGACGGACCAUCCGUCGGCAUCUCACAGUAAGCUCGAAAAAUAACACACCAUCGACGGUAUUACCGACGGCGUAGGUCCGUCGGUAAUUUGUCGGUUACCCAUUUACCGACAGAAUUACCGACGGACCGCGCGUUUCCAAAGUGCGUUAAUUAAUGCGCCUCUGAACUUGUCAGAUUACCGACGGAAUCACCGACGGACUGCGAAAAUUUUGGAGGGCUUUUAAAAAUUCGGGGCGAAAUUCGAAAAAUACCGACAAAAUUUUGACCUUUUACCGACGGAUUUGUAACCUGUUACCGACGGAUGUUAAUUCCGUCGGGGAUUCCGUCGGUAAAAUUGUAAACUGUUUGUGGAGACGCACGUGCGGAGGCAUGACCGCCAAAAGGGGACGCAACAGUUCGUUGACAACCGUGCUCAACAGUUUGUGGUGUGUUUGUUUAACCAUUUUAUUUUGUAAGUUAUUAUUAUGUUUAUUGAAUUGAAUAUGAUUUUUUUUUUCAGGAGACCUAUAAUAAUCGGUUGAGGGAGAGAUACAGGGAUGAUCCUUCGACCCAUCCGGAAUUCGAUCCGGAUUUGUGGAUGGAGGCUGGAUCGUCAGGUGGACCCGAUAAAAAUCGGGUUUACGGGCUCUCCAACACUACCGCUGCCAAGUUGCGGUCGACCGGGUACUGCUUCAACUGGUGGGAGCUCCCAAUCUGUAUCGAGCUCCCAAUCUAAGGAGUUUGUGGCCUUGCAGCAAAAGUGCGACCACCUAUCAGAGGCGUACACACAACUCAAAGAAGAGCAAAGAUUGGCGACGAACAACACGGAUUGGUGGACGAACAACGCAGAGCAGAGUCUGAACAACAAAGAGCGGCCUAAUGAAGAGCUUCGUCAAAUGGUCAUGAACAUGACACAAGGCGGAACAUGUGCGCUUAAUCCUUUUUGGCCGCCUAACCCCAACCCUCCCUCCUCCUCCUCCCUCCUCCUCACCUUAUAUUAAUUGUUUUUUUUUAAACACAUUCAUUUUGUAAUGAAUAUUAUUUAACUUUGAGUUUUUGUUGCUUAAUAUAAAUUUUAUUUGCAUAAUUGGUUUGUAUUACUAUUAAUUUAUAUUAUUUUUUCUAAAUAAUUAAAAAAAAAAAUUACACAGGGAUUUACCGACGGAAUAAAUCCGUCGGCAUUGGACAGUGUCUGAGGUAUGCCAUCCCAUCACCGACAUACUCACCGACGGAAAUAAUCCGUCGGUAUCCAAAUACCGACGAAUUUACAGACGGAUUUAUUCGGUCGGUAUGAAAUAUCACCGACACUUUUGCCGACGGAGUUAGUCCGUCGGUAUAUUCCAAGCGGGAAACUUUUUUUUUUUGGCGCGCACAGGCCGUCGGUAAAACCGUCGGUAAAUGUGUUUUUUUUAUUACCGACGGAUAUAGCGACGGAAUGUGGGAUCACCGACAAAAGGUAUUCCGACGGGAGUAUUCCGUCGGUAAUAUAGUCGGUAAAUAAUUUACCGACGAACGUUCUGUCACACACCAACGGAAUAUUUCCGUCGGUAAAACUGUGAAAUCUUGUAGUGAAAGAAAACGAAAAGGGAGCAAAGUUGCAUGAAAUUGAAAUAGCUGUAAAAGAUAGUUGCAUAAAUAUUGGAUACUAAUAUUCUAGAAAUCAACAAAGAAAAAAAAUGAAGUCAAAGGAAUUUAGGCAGUGUGUAAUACUGUGAUCGGAAAGUAUUUUUAAAAUUUAUUUUAAAUUAAUAUAUUUUUGAUAUUUUCAAAUUAUUUUGAUGUGUUUAUAUCAAAAAUAAUUUUUUAUAAAUAUUAUUUUAAUAUAUUUGAUAAUAAAAAAUAUUUUGAAAAACAAUAAUUACCAUACUUUAAAAUGCUUAAACUUAGCAUUAAAUGAAAGAGAAACCCAAAAAUCCUAUGGAAGGCUUAUCCCACGUGAAUCUGAUUAUAUAAAAGAUUGUUUUUGCUUAUUACUAUUUUUUUUUAAGAAAAACAAGUUGGUAAAAUAACACCACUUAAAAAAAAUUUAGAGAAAUAAUAAUGCAUGUGAUGAUUGAAAAACACAAAGUUUCAAAAAAUAUUCAAAUAAGCUAGCACAAAUUAUAAUGAAGAGAGAAGAAAUGGAAGAGAAAAAAACAUAGAGACACCAAGACGCUAAUUACAACUACUAUUAUAGAAAAAAUCCCAAUUAUAUAAAUCAAAUAACACAAAGAAACUUAUAAAUGGUGAAUAAAAUGAGUUAUACUUGCAGCAAAAAAACAAAUGAGCCACUCCACCACAUUUGACAUGAUAAAUGUUGCACACUUAAUUUACUGAUAAUGAUUUUUUUGGUAUUUUUAGAUUUGUCUUUCUAAGAUUUUUUUUAAAGAUAUUAGUUGCGUGUUAUUGGAACUUUAGUGAGACUCUGUAGAUUUUUUUCCUUUUUUUUUUUUUUCUAUUAUCAUAAUUUAUAUAGUUCAAUUCAUAAUUUAUUUAAAAUAUUAUGAAGAACAAAUUUGUCGUGAUUUCAUGAUAUUAUUUUUCCAAUUCCUUUUGAAGCCAUUUUCUUUUGUUACUUAAAAAAAAACAUUAUACAAAGCAAAAAAAUAAAGUGAUUUUUUUUAUCAUUAUAAUUUUUGUGAAAGCAACUUUAUAGCACAAAAAGGAAUUGAGAGGACAAGUUUGAGAAAGAUCUAAGAUUCUCUUUUUUCAUGCAUAAAAGGAAAUAUCUUAUUGCUCAAAUAACCUUUUGAUGUUUAAAAUUCACUGUGCCUCUGGAUAAAAUAACUUUUUUUUUCUUUUUGAAGUAAUUAUAAAUAUUUUUAGUACAACCAGCAUGUUCGAACUACAAAUGAUAUGUUUCUAUAUAUAUUGUCUUAACAGUGUAUUAAUUUAAUAACAGUAUAAUAAAUCCUUCUAUAAAUGAAGGAAACAUAUACUUAAUUAAAACACCAAGUCAGGAACCUUAAUAACGAGAUCUAAGUGCUAUUAUAUUAAAUCACUGAGAAUUAUCACAAGCACGAUCGGCUGUAUCAAAAUCUCGAUGUUAUAUGAGAAUAUUCAUAGCAAUAAAAAAUCCAGAAUGGCUUCUAGAAAUGUAUAGAAAAAUUGCAGCAGCGAGCGGGUAAUUUAACAGAGAAGUAAAAUAUUUAUGGGUACGCAAAUAUUACAAUUUUAUUGCCACUACCCAUGUCUGCUCUUGGAUUAAUAUUAUGAUUGCCUCUCAAUUUGUAUCUUUCUGAUACGUCUUCUUUUGUCCCACGUCGUCUCGUACAAAACGAAAACUGAAGACGUGGGAGAAGACUUGAUUGCCGUUUUAGUCAAAGUUCGAUGAAAACCCCCCUCAAUUCGUAUCUUUCUGAGACGUCUCGUUUUUUCGUCUUGUGAGACGUUCUUUGACCCCCAUAGCCCUUCUUUUGCUUGCAGCACCAAGCUUCCAAGAAAGCCCACCAUAUAUAUAUAUAUUGGAGAGGCCUGGGCACCAUCUCAUAACCAAAUUGAGCUCCCUUCCCACCACCCCACCAACUGAAGAGACUAUAUUAGCUCUGUAGAGAGGGGAAAAAACGGAAAUGGCUGACAGCAAUAGCCCAAAUCUUGCUUUUGAAAAAGAAAGGUUAGUUUUUUUUCCAUUCUCAGUUUAAUUUCCUUUUCCGUUUAUUGAUCUUCACUAACAAAACUAGCCUUCCGUUGUCUGUAAAGCUCUGUUGGCCCCAAGGCCUAAACAGAGGACACACUAUUAACUACACUAAGCUUCUAAAAGUAAACUAUAUCGAAUAUUAACUGGUAAAAAACCCUACUUUUACUGACCUCAUGCACCGUAGAAAAAUAUAGUGUUGAAUUUUAGUGUCUAAAACAAUUUUAUUUUGUUGUGAUGACAGCGUCGUUAUUGUGCAACAUGGGAUCUUUGCCCUUCUCCUCAAGACGUUAAACGAUUAUAUCCAAGUGAAGUACCAAUCGAUUCAAGCGUCUCCCUGGGACACACACCAUCUUAUCAUGUUCCUUUUCCUCCUGGCUCUAUUUACAUAUGCCACGGCAUUGGUGGUUGAGGUUAUGCUCCGAGCUUCUGAAUCAAUCUAUCACACACAUGUUGGCAACAUCCGCCUCUUUGCUGGUGGCUUUGCUGCAAUUUUGCUGUUAGCAAUUCUUUAUCCAAUCUUGGGCUGCAUCAUUUCCUUGAUGUGGGUCUGUUUAUUUGUGAAAAUAGCAUUCGAAUCAUUCCAGGAGUUGUACAGCAUUUUAUGCCAAACAGUUGUUGGGGUACUCCACAUGUUGAGCAGGCUCAUCGGAAGUGUGAGGUGCCUUGAAGAAGAGGAACCACACCAGCCGCCUGCGUAGGUCCUUUAAAAAUCAUGGGUUGUGUAGAAAUAUAUGUUUUUGUAACACAUGUCAUUGUAUUUUGGAGAUAUGUAUGUCUUUUACUUGAUUAGUGGGUCAGUAAAUAAUAGUUUUUACAAGAGAUCGGUGUUAAAGAAUCUACUUGUUCAUGUUAUCUGGAAAUAGAAAUAUGAGAAUUACUGCCCCUGGGUCAAAAGAGAACAUGCUUCUCAAUGCCUUAGCCAUCACAAAGUAGAUCACACAAGCAAAUCAAUAGCGCACACAAACAAAAUUACCUUCUUCUGCUCAGCUAUGGAGUAUGUCUCUUCGAAAGCCUGGAAAGAAUCAUGCCGCCGUAUCUCAUCCUUCUCCGUAUACCCUAGAUGGCAAUCCGUUGCAACAAGUAUUCGAAGCGUAUUUGCAACAUCAUCCCUGGGAAACCCAUUUCAAUAUAAUCACAAAGACAAAAAUUCUAAAAUAAAUGUAAAAAAUUCCCAGCUACCAAGACUUGCUAACAGUACAGUAUAAUGAGAUUGGAAAAAAAAAAUCAAUUUUUUAGCCAAUCUAAGCCUCUUUGGUUUAAAAUUUCAUCUUUUUUUAAAUGCGAUUAAUUUAUUUUUCUUUCUAAUAUUAAAAUAAAAAAUAAGCAGAGAGAGAGAGAGAGAGAUUCACCUUGACAAGUCUCCCAUGGUCCUUCCUCUUCAAAAACCUAAAAACACAGAGCAAAUAAAAACAACAGUAAUGUAAAUUAAAAUAUUAAAAAAGUACCAAGAAUCCUAGAUAGAAACUCAAAAUCACUUAAAUUUAUCAAAAGAAAGUUCCACAAAUCAGGACUUCUGAUGAUACAAUAGCAAGUAAAUACAAACACGAAUGAAAGAGCUAAAAAACAAGGAAGCACACGCUGUUCGGUUGCCGAGAAAAGUAAAAACAUUACAGAGAGACAUUUUUUUACCGUUUGAUUUUGUGAUUGAAAGGAGUAGAAAGGGUUUUGCGGUGGCGGUGAAUUUCAAAGCAGAAAGGAAGACACUCGGAAAAGGGCAGAAAAUAGUUCCACACUUCUCUCUCUCUCUCUCUCUCUCUUAUUUUUGUUUUAUUUUGUUUUGUUUUUUUUUACUGGUUGCAAUUUAAUUUAAUUUUUUAGAUAAUUGUUUAGAUUUUUUUAAUAAGAAAAAUAUUUAAAUAUUAUUAACAUGUUUUUUAAUAAAAAAAUAUUUAAUUAUAAAUUUAAAAUAUAAGGUGUAUUUAAUAUAUUUUUAAAUAUUAAUAUAAAAUCAUAUUUGAAGAAUUUUUUAUUUUAAAUAUUAAUAUGAUAAGAUAUUAAAUCAACUUGAAUUAAUUGAUCAAAUUCAUAAUCUUGAUCAUAAAAUUGUGAUAAUCCUAUUAAAAAUUAAGAUAAAUUAUGAAGAUAAAUUCUUAAUUAACUUAAUAUUAAAAGAUAAAAUUAAAAAUAAAUAUAUCAAAUUUAAAAAAUGACAAAAAAAACUACUUGAGUCAACCUGUGUUAACUUGUUAAAUCCUCAAUCUGGUUUAUGAGAUCAAGAUAAACUCAUAUAAAGUAAAUUGAAAAAAUUUACAAAGUUUAAUUUUCAAUCAAUUCAAUAUUAAAAAAUAAAAUUAAAAAAUUAAUUAAAAAAAACAAGUACUAUUUAAACACACUUGAUCUUCAAUUCUGACACACCUGGUAUUGUUGAAAAAACUCUCGGUAAGAUGAUUAUAUGACAUAUUGGAAGACCACCAUAAAAUGACUAAGUGAGCCUUACGUGCCUCUCAAAAGAAAUGGAGUAGCCUACGCCCUAGCAUUUGCAUUGCACGUGUCAAAAGGAAAAAAUAAAAAAUAAAAUCAUCUUGUUUGGGUCAAUAGCUUAAAUAGGGUGCUUUCACCUUCUUUGAGCUGAGGCUCAAAGAGAUGCCUUCAAUUUAUUUGGCCUAACAUCUUAAAAGAGGUGUUUUCAGUUUGUUUGGACUACUGCCUAAUUGAACUGUUUUAAAUCCCUUUAGUCCAUAAUACAAACAUAAUGCUUUUUAGUUCAUUUGGACUGGCUAGACUCUUUCUUCUUCUUCUUGUUGUUGUUGUUUUAAUUUGAGAAAUUAUUCAGGCCUCGACCUAGUAUCAUGAAAAAUUCUCAGCUCCUACACAUAUUUGAACAUAUUUUUUCAAGUUUUAAGGAGUUAGAACGCGACGUCGCACUGCCCACACACAUAAUAUUUUUUUAAUGAUUAACUGAUAUAUUCUUUGAUAUAUUUUCUAUAAGUGCAUAUUUUUAUAUUAGGUUUACGCCAACUUUUCUAGCCAUAGUCGUAGUGCAAACAUGCUCCAUACUCUAUAAAAAUCAGGCACCUCCUUUUUAAGCUAAUGAAUAUAUUUUGCCAAUGACACGAUCAAAAGAUUGAUGUCUUCUUCCAAGUGUAGGAGUAUCGAAGUAAUAAAUAACCCGGCAAGACCGGGGUUGAACCACAUAUAUGUUAACUAUAUAAAUUAUAAAUAAUAAUAAUAAUAAUAAUAAUAAUAAUAAUAAUAAUAAUAAUAAUGAUGAUGAUGAUGAUGAUGACGAUGAUGACGAUGAUGAUGAUGAUGAUGACGACGACGACGACGACUUUGAGAUGUAAGAUUAAUGUGAAGAUUAAACAAUGAUAAAAAUAGUUGUCAAUGUUAGAGGAUCAAUUAAUGGUAUUUCAAAUAAGUAUAAUAUAAACUCUUUAUAUUACUCAACUGGAAACCACACACAAAGGAGGUUCCAAUCAGAUGAUUUGUCAUUAAUAGCUUAUUAUAAAUUAUUAGCACGGUCAUAUUAAUUAUCUUAUUUAAGUAACACCAAACUUUUAAAUAUUAUCAGGAAUUCAUGAUGCUAACUUAUGUUAAUAACAAAUCAAGUUCCUUUCAUAGCACGUUUGUAGGUUAUACCAUACGGUUGACAUGAAAGUGCUAAGCAUUUGUUAUACCAAGUGUUAUACAACAUAAAUCUAGAUUAACCAUUUAACAAGCUGCAACCUGAUUGGUCAAAAAAGAUCUCCUGAUCUAAUUCAGGAAACUGACGAUGCCAAGCAUCUUACUUUGACUGAGAGUUUGCCAUAAGAAUAACGAGCCCUAGGACCCAAUAAAGGUGUAGGUCAAUUCUUCAACAUGUCAUGAGUUACAGAAUAUAGCCGGGAUGGUCGGAUAUUGCAUGAAACCAAAUCAGAAUCAAAGCCUAAGUUGGAACAAAAAAUUACGACAACAGCAGAAUCAGUUUUUUUAGUGCAACUUUUGAGGAAUUUAUCCAACCUUAGAGACCAGAUAACAAAGGAAUGAAUUUAGCAUUUUAAAGACUCCUAAUUAGCCUAAGAAUCCUAACAAUUUCGGUAGCAAAGGGGGAGGAUAAGGAGAGCAGAUGUCAGCUGGAACAUGGUUCGAAAAACAUUUCCUUCUCCUUUGUUUUUGUCAAUCUCCCAGCAACCUUAAACUAAACUCUUACCUUCAAUUUAAAGGGGAUAUACAACAUCUCCACUAGCACGUAUGACUAAAAAAAAAGAGUAAUAAUAAAGAUUUAGCCAUAAAUAUUUGUCAUUAAUAUACAUUUGGAGACAUGAAGAUUUCAUCAUCAAGAUUUUCAUGGAUACACAUUUGGAGAUUUCAAUGGAGAUUUUUGUUGAAGAUAUUAAAGAUGAAGAAAAGUUACUGCAUUUAUUAAAAGUACAAAAGAUAGAGAUACAAUUCCUGGAGCUAAUUUGGAGAUUAUUUGAUCUCAAAUAGAUCAUUAAAUAUGUAGAAUUCCUUUCUUUCAUGCUUAGGUUUUCUUUCUUUUUUCAUGGAUUGGUGAAGAUAACUUAUAAUGAUUAAUUUUUAUAUCUCAUUUUUCAAGGCAUGUCAUUCCUUGGUGUCAUACUCGUGGUCACAGUAAAAAAGGCAAAAUGUAUUUAGGUUCCUGGUGUUCGCACUAUAUUUUAUAGGAUGGGUUAUAAGAAACUUAAAAAAUAUCAAGUGAUCAUGAGUAUGUCAUUUGGUGCUCUUUUUAGAUGCACUAGUAAGAGAUUGAUGAUGUUCAAGAGACACUACUAAUUAGAUAUGUGGAUGACCCUGUGUAGUCAUGUUGGCUUAUUCCUCCUUAAUCUAAUUUUAUUAUUUAUUUUAUAUUAAGUAGAGUCUUAUUAGAGAGUGCAUACAUGGGUUUUUAUAAUGAAUAGUUAGUGAAACCUUUUCACUUUGACAUAAUAAACUUAGCUAAACAUAAUGAAGAAGAUAAACAUAAAUAAACAAUAUAAGAAUAUAAGUAUAGUAAAGGAAAUGAAAAGUAUAAACAAGAGAUUAAAUAAAAUAUAACAUUGAAUAAAACUCGAACAUUACAAAGUACAAAUAAAUAGAGCAAGAGCAAGAUCUCUAAACAACCAAGAUGCCUAAAUGCAUGAAAAAUGCCUCUUUUUAUAGGCCAAAAUUUAAAACUAUUGAUUUGAUGACUAAUUGUUGAGUGGAUGGCUAUAUCUUGACUUGGUGACAAUCCUUAUCUUAUUGUCUGAACAAAACAUCAUUGCUAACAUUAGAAUUUGAACAGAUUUUGUCAUGAAAGUUCUAGGAAAUGGUCUCAGCUUUCUAAAAAAUAAAGAAUCGGUGCAUUUGGACUUUUAAAACUUGAGAUAUGGGCUGAAUACUGAACAAUGUUUGGGCUGCAGGAUAGAUUCGGACUUCUCCGUUGUUGCUAUAAUUUGAGCUUGAAAACGGCUUUUUUUAAUCUUGCACUCCCAUAAAAGUUUUAGGCCUAUGUUUUAGCUUUCCAUCUAUAUAGAGCAGACCUAAAUCCAAGUUUUACAGCUCUAGUUAUGAUCCAAUAACCGAAUGGUGUUCCAGUUUAGACUGAACCAGCAUCUCUUUUCUAAACUUAGCCCUCUCUAUUUCUUCUCAAUUUCAGUAGUUAAACUCAUCAAUCAAUCCCUUGAUUUUAUAUGAUAGGCUUGCAUUUAAGAUGAACAUUUAUCAUAAAUUAAAGGUAUCUUAUAUUAUUAGAUAUGUUAUUAUAAAACAUGCUCUAGCUAAGGAGUUAUUGAUACUUCAUGUGCAAAAUGAUGAUAUAAAACCUUGAUAAAAAUGCACUUUUAAGUACUAAUAAGCUAACGUAUCACUGACAUUCACCAAACACUUCACAAUUACCUUGCCAGACAUUACUUCCUAUUGCGGGCACCAAUAUUUUUUUUUUUUCCUGUUGUUUUGAUCUGAGAAAUUAUUCAGGCCUCGACCUAGUAUCAUGAAAAAUUCUCAGCUCCUACACAUAUUUGAACGUAUUUUUUCGUUUUAUGGAGUUAGAAUGCGACGUCGUACUGCCCACACAUAAAUAUUUUUUUAAUGAUUAAUUGAUAUAUUCUUUGAUAUAUUUUCUAUAAGUGCAUAUUUUUAUAUUAGGUUUGCGCCAACGUUUCUAGCCAUAGUUGUAGUGCAAACAUGCUCUAUACUCUAUAAAAAUCAGGCACCUCCUUUCUAAGCCAAUGAAUAUAUUUUGCUAACGUAUCACUGUCAUUCACCAAACACUUCAUAAUUACCAUGCCAGACAUUACUUCUAAUUGUGGGCACCAAUAUUUUCUUCAAUUAAUUUUCAUGCAACUCCCGAGGUGAGCUAACGUGACCAAGAUCUAUAAAUACCUUAGGUCACCAAGUAAACAGAGAUGUUCACACUAGUUACAAUUUCCUUAAACUGAACAUUUCACUUUCAUUCUUACAUUUACUAACUUAAGCAUUGAAGAACCCUUUGGUCUAUGAGGAACUUGUUUUUCAGGUAUAAUCAAGCCCAAACACCAAGACCAUAUUCAAGUCCACAUGUCCUUGCCCAAGAUUGUAGCCCGUGAAAAGUUCAAUUUUUAUUUGAAUUUUUUUUAUGACCUCAUCACCGACAUCAUUUAUGAGAAAUUAAAUAAAAAAUUGGUUUAUCACCUUCAUCUCUCACCAAAAAACUCUUUUCAUAGAUGACAAAACUUCAAAAAAAAAAAAAAGAGUAAUUGACCUCCUUACUAUAAGGACUUUAACUCCUUAGAUCUCCUAUAACUCACUCAUUAAGAUUUUAUGACCAUACGAAAACAACUUCACACUAUUCCAUUCCACCAAUAAGAAAUUCAACACUUAGGUCCAUUACAUGUACCAGAUAUAUGAAGGCCACUCGAGUUUCAUACAGGAACUGGAUAAAAUAACAUCCAAAAUAUGCAUGACAUUCUCAUACUCUAAAAAAGCCGCUCUCGCCAUGAAAAGCACUCCUCAUUGGAUCCUAGCCUUAGGAGUGACUAUCUUCAUCAAUCCUCCUCUAACUCUUACUCGAAUACUCCCCGAUAAAAAAAGAACUAGACACAAGAAAAGAUUAGCUCCUAAGAAUGAACACUAAUCCCAUCAAGUAUGAUAUUCUCCACUUUAUCACAAAGUGUUAUACACUAAUCUUUUCAAAGAAUGUGUCACUACGAAGGUUAACUUAGAUAACUAUAAUGGCCUUACAAAUCAUAAAGAGCACAUAAAAAAUAUCAAAAGCAUUCUAGAGCUAGUUAUAAUAAAGAGUGAUGCCAUGUGAAAGCUUUUCCCUAUAAUUUUUUGUGGAUCCGCCAAAGUGUGAUAUAAUAGCCUAAAACUUGAUUGUAUCAUUGGCCUUCAUGUACUUUAUGUUAAGCUCACCUCUCUUUGUAGCAAUAGCAUUCUAUAAAAAAAAAUGACAAAGCUUUUCACCAUCACCUAAUAAGAAGAUGAGAAAACCAGAACAUAUCUCUAGAGAUUUAAUGAAAACAUGUUUAACGUAAAGAAUUUGCUUGAAUUAAUUGGCACUAAGGUACUGUUCAAUGGUGUUUCUGUACUUCAAAAUGAAUUUAUCUCAUUCUUAAUCCUUCAUGAAAGUUAUAGUCCUAUACAUGUAGAUGAAUUUUGGUUUUGAAUCGGUUGAUUUCGAUAUCAGAAGCUCAAGAUAUCCCCGUUUGAAUAUCUCAAUGUGAAAGUAGAGAAUUCUGUCGCCAGCAGGAUUCUGACCUGAAUUUUGCACUAAAGGCUCUACUUCCAUUAUGAUUUUGCUGGUUGUUAUUCUUAGGUUAUACUCUCAGUCAUAUCAGGAUGCUCGACAUUUAUCAGUUUUUGAAUCAGAUCAAGAGAUCAUUUUUACCAACCAGAUUGCGGCCUAAUUAUGUUAUGUAAACAAUUUUAUCUCACCUUGAAUCCUUUAUAAAAGUUGUAGUCCUACAUGUGUAGAUGAAUUUGGGUUUUUGAAUCGCUUGAUUUCGAUAUCAAAAGCUCAAGAUAUUCACGUUUGAAUAUCUAUUGAGGAAGCAAAAAUUCUGCCGCAAGAAGGAUUUUGCCCCCAAAGUGAGCAGGACUGAAUUGAAAAAAAAACUAAAAUAAAGGAGUUAAUUGCAGAUGAAAUUUGGAAGAAACUUAGCUGGGUUUUGGAAGAAAUAGAAAAAACAGGGUAGGAUUAGAAAAUGACAAAAAUUCUAACACGAUGGGUUACAUUUCUGCUUCAUUUCUAAACGACACCAUCUCUGUUUUUUUGCAUUAAUUCUCUUUUUAGCUAGACAAUGCCGUAUGAGAGCAACCCCAUUUUGAAUUAAUGAGCAUGGUACUGUAUGCCCGUCUGCAACCUUUUCCCUCCUCUACAAUUGUUCCCUACCAUUUUCUUUUUUUGGCAUUUCUCUUGUCCCUGCAUUACACAAAACAGUCCCCCUUUUCAUGCUAGGAUGGCAGCUGUGAGAGGGAACGACUUUGUACCUCCAAUGCUAGCUGGGGAAGAGGACGCAAAGGGAGCCUCGCCAUGAUCUAAUGGUUGGAAUUGAUUCCCUAACAAAGACGGCUAGGAUGAGAGGGGGUUGAGUCUGGUCCUCAAGUUUCUUGCUUGGCUAUAUAAGCAAGCUGUUAAGUAAACAAAAGGGAGGAGAAAGAAAGAAAGAAAAGGGAGGCGGAGAAGAGUAAAAAACAGAAAGCUAGCAUAAGGCUGAGGUUAGAGAAGCCGAAAAUCAAUUAGAACGAGAGGAGAUCACUUUCAGCUCAUCCUACCUUGCCGAAAAGGACUUCACAAAACUCUAAAAGGGUUUUGAAAAAAGCUCCUAACGGUAGAAAGACGAAGUCUUUCUUUGGUUACCAGAGGCGAGAAGGCAGAAGCUUUGUCCAUCAGUUUGCACGUCAUCUUUUACAUUCAAAACAAGCAAUAUUGGCAGGUGACAUGACCAAAAGAUUGACGUCUUCUCCCAAAUACAGGAGUGUCGAAGCAAUAAAUAAUCUGGCAAGACCGGGGUUGAACCACAAGGAGAUGAACUAUAUAAAUUACAAUUAAUAUAUAUAUUUAAUAAAACAAAGAGUUCAUGAGAAUUUUAUAGGAUAUUGAUGUAGGGAUUAAACAAUGAUAAAACAAUUAUCAAGGUUAGAAGAUCCACUAAUAGUAUUAGAAAUAAGUAUAGUAUAAACUCCUUUUAUUAAUUAAUUGGAAAUCACACACAAAGGAGGUUCCAAUCGGAUGAUUUAUCCUUAAUAAUUCAUUAUAAAUUUUUAACAUGAUCAUAUUAAUUAUCUUAUUUAAGUAACACCAUACUUUUAAAUAUUAUCAGGAAUUCAUGAUGCUAACUUAUGUUAACAACAAAUCAAGUUUCUUUCAUAGCACAUGUGUGGGUUGUACCAUACGGAUGGCUAUGAAAGUGUCAAGUAUUUGUUGUACCAAGUGUUAUACAACACAAAUUUAGAUUAACCAUUUAACAAGCAAGGUAUUAAGAAUUAGUAAGGUAAAAAGAUAAGACAUGUUAAUAACAAACUUUUUUGGAUAUAAACAUUGAAGUCUAUGUUGAGUUUAUAUUAUACCUAUUCUAACACCAUUAAUGAAACCUUUUCACCUUGACAUAAAAAACUUAGCUAAACAUAAUGAAAAAGAGAAACAUAAAUAAACAACAUAAGAACAUAAGUAUAGUAAAGGAAAUGAAAAGCAUAAACAAGAGACUAAGAAAAAUAUAACAUGAAAUAAAACACUUAAACAUUACAAAAAUAUAAAGAAAGAAAUAAAGAGCAUGAUCUUGAUUUGAACAACCAAGAUGCCUAAAUGCAUGGAAAAUGCCUAAUUUUAUAGGCCAAAAUUUGGAACUAUUGAUUUGAUGACUAAUUGUUGAGUGGGUGGCCAACUUUUGACUUGGUAAAAAUUCUAUCUUCUUGUCUGAACAAAACGUCAUUGCUAACAUCAGAAUUGGAACCAUAUGUACGCAUGAAAGUUCUAGGAAAUUAUCUUAUCUUUCCAAGAAAAAAACAUUGAGGACAUUUGUACUUCUAGAACUUGAGAUAUGGGCUGAACACUGAACAAUGAACAAUGUCUAGGCUGCAUAACAGAUUUGGACUUCUUCAUUGUUGCUAUAAUUUGAAAUUGAAAAUGAACUUUUUAAAUCUUGGAAUCCCAUGAAAGUUGUAGGCCUAUGUCUUACCUUUCCAUCUAUAUAAAGAAGACCUAAAUCCGAGAUCUACAGCUCUAGAUAUGACCCAGUUACCGAAAAGUGUUCCAGUUUGGACUGCACCAACAUCUAUUUUUUAAGUUUGGCCCUCUCUUUGUCCUUUCAAUUUCAGUAUUUAAACUCAUUAAUCGAUCCUUUCAUUUAUGUGAUAGGCCUGCAUUUAAGAUGAACAUUUACCAUAAAUUAAAGGUAUCUUAUAUUAUUAGAUAUGUUAUUAUAAAACAUGCUUUAGUUAGGGAGUUAUUGAUACUUUAAGUGCAAAAUGAUGAUAUAAAACCUUGAUAAAAAUGCACUUUUAAGUACUAAUCAGCAGGUAUGAAUCUUAGCCUCUUUCUGCCUUGUCAUAUGUAUAGUUGAUGUCUGAUGUUUUUUCUUUUCAAAACUUGUUUCUGCUCUUAUUUUAGACAUUCAAGUUCUGUUUUGGCAAUAUAAUUUGGAGUUUGCAUGCAUUUUCUUCCAUAGCUGUGAGUAAAUAGGCGUUUAUGUUAAGAAUUGUUGGUUACUUUCUUUCCCUUUUGUUCUUGAGGAAUUGGGAGCCUUAAGGGUCCUCAUUAUCCUUCAUUUCCUUUUUUUUUCCUGGGUAUUUCUAUGUUUUAUAAUUCUCUAAGGAAGGGUUUUUGCUCCUAAAGGUUAUUUGUCUAGAGGAGAAAGUGAAACAGAAGGGAAGUCCCUUUACGUUUGAAGUAAUCUUUUGGGCAGGUUCAGAGGCUCAUGUUUUUCUUUUCUGCUCUAUGAAGAUGAAAUAAUUGGCUAUGUUGUUUUGGGUUUAAUCUGUGAUAUAGGUGGUAUGAAAUCAUGCUCUUCAAGUUGUUUCCUUUUGCAUGAAACUGGUAUGACGAUUUUCCUAUAUUGGUAAAAGAGGAUAGGUCAUGAGUCACGAACACUGCAUUAGGAUUUUGAGUUCAAACUUUGGUUUCAGAACUUUGGCUCCCUUGUGCAUAUAGACGUUUUUCUUUUCCAAUUAUAGAAUUUUAAGUUGAGUUGGCUUUGAAUAGUUUUUUAUGCAUUGUUUUAAUUAAGCUUCUUGUAAAUCUUAUAAUAUAUAUGAUGGCUUGCUACCUUUAUUGUGACAUUUGCGUUUAAUUGUGAUGCUUGUGUUUUGACCAAAUAUAAAAAUGUUUUUGUGUGUUGCAUACGACCAAUACCCCAACAUAUUUUUAAUUUCUCUAUAUAAAAAAAAUCAAUAUUCAAAGUUUUAAAAAAUGUGUUUUAGCAUGGAUUUCUUAAAUAAAUAAAAAUUAUUUUCUUGCAUCUUGGAUUUUACAACAUAUUUGUAAACUCCAAAGGGUGUUGGCUAAUAUUCCAAAAAUAUAAAAAUUUUAUUUUUGAGAAUUCAUCUUUAUUCACUAUUAAUGUUUGGAUAAAAAAAAUCUCAAAGGGUUAAUAUCCAAAAUAUUAUUAGGAAUAAUUUGUUAUUAUUCACUAUUAAUGUUUGGAUAAAAAAAAUCCCCAAAGGAGUUAAUAUCCAAAAUAUUAUUUGGAAUAAUUUGCUAUUAUUCAUUAGUAAUGUUUGGAUAAAAAAAAUCCUAAAGGGAUUAAUAUCCAAAAUAUUAUUAGAAAUAAUUUGUUAUUAUUCACUGUAAAUGUUUGGAUAGAAAACCUCCAAAGGGGUUAAUAUUCAAAAAUAUUAUUGGGAAUAAUUUGUUAUUUGUUCACUAUUAAUAUUUGGAUAAAGAAACCUCAAAUGGUAAAUAUCAAAAAUAUUUUUCUAUGAAUAACAAGUCGUUAUCCCUUAAUAAUAUAAGGGCAAAUAAACCUAUGAAAGGUAAAUGUUCAAAAUAUUGUUAAUAGGAAUAUAACUUGUUUAUUUUUAACAUAAGGGCAGAUUUAUGCCUAAAAUUUUAUUUAGAACAAUUUAAUUGCACAUCCUUGGAAGAAGCCUCAAUUAUAAUUGGGGACAUUUUAAAUUUUGAUUCCACAAUUUAUGAGUCACUAAAAUAUGAAAUACUAAGGCAAAAAUGAGCAUUUAAAGAACCUUGAAUUUCCUUAGAUUUCUAACUUAGUUUCUUUUCUCUUUCUUGCGAUUUACGAGUCGCGAACACUUGAAAUGCUAAGGGAAAAGUGAGCUCUUAAGCACAUUGAAUCUCCCUAGAUUUCUAUCUUAGCUGUCUCUAAAUUCAUAAAUUCUGAAUUUAUUUCAAAUCAAGCAUAGACUUCAAGAGAUCUGCACCAUUUCUCUUUGGCACUCUAUAGAUAUACCUAAAGGUAUGAUCCAUAUUGGCCAAGGGUACUUUCCUUUAAACUUUGAACGUAAGUUCGUACAUCAUAGCAGACUUAUCCUAGGAAAUUGAUGGGAUUAAAGAACAUCUACACUAUAGCAAUUAUAGACAAACUAAACACCAAGCAGCUUACCUUAGGUAGGGCAUACUAGGGGUGCUAAAACCUUCCAUUUACACAACCAUUAACUUGCCUUAGAAUCUAUGAAAAAACCAGUUAGGUUUCCUAGUGACCAUAAUACUAGUUGAUAACUUCUUUUUUCACAAAACAAAGACCCCAACAUCAAUCCCCGCUCCAGGAAGGGUCGCCUCGAAGUCAAGCUCUCUUAAGGGUACGACAAUCUCUAUAAAAUAUUAAUGCAUGUCUUUAAUAUCUUCUAAAGGAUCAGGGAUCUUUCUUUAGGUCCUUGUGACCACUUUUUUUAAGGUCUUUAUGACCACAUUUCUCUAGGUACAUGUUACCACUUGUCUUAAAAAGGAUCAAAGAUCAUUCUUCAGUUUUUAAGGCUACUCAUAAAAUAUUUUCAUCUAUAUACACAAACCAUAUUACUUUCAAAUUUAUUUUUUUAUCAGUACACUACUUGUAUUUAUAAGCAACAUUAUUGAAUUCUCCUAUCUCACACAAAAAAGUUAAACAAAAUUCAAGAAGAAAACUCUCAUGUUGGGAACUUUACAAAACAUAAAAAAGCCAACAGCCAAAUGUCGGUAACACUCUUAUAACCACAACAUGUAACAUCAUUUAUACAAAAAAAAAAUGUUUUCUUUUCCGAACUUAUGCUAGUUAAGUAUCAAACAUUUAUGUUUUAAAACCUUAGAGAGGUGAGGAUUAAUUAUGGUGCAUGUAAAGAAAACCACUUUGUUUGGGUUAUGGCCCAAACAAAGUGAAAUAAAAGCCACUCCAAUCGGUCCAUGGCCCAAACAGGGUGAAAUAAACAAUCACCCCGUUAAGGCUCUAUCCUAAAUAGUGUGAAAUAAAAAUUAAAAUAUUUUAAUGGCUGGCAUAGUAAGGAGAGAGGAAAUAUAAGAUAAGAAGAAAAAAGAGAAGGAAAUAAUAGGUUAUCAGGGACACACCUGAUCUUUGAUUUUGAUACCUAGUAUCAUUAGAAAAAUCUUGAUGAGACAAUUAUAAUGGUACCUUGGAAAACCACUUAAAGGUGGUGUGGGUCUUACAAGUUGCCUCAGGAUAGAGAAGAAGUCCAUUCCUUAGCACGUGCAUUGCAUGUACUACAUGAAAACACACACACACACACACAUAUGCACGUCAUUUAAGCCAACAACCUAAAUGGCCCUGGUUGGGCUUUUUCCCAAAUGGACUACUUAUAGUCCCUUUAGACUACAUUCUAAACAAAAUGCAUUUUAGUUUGCUUAGACUAGCCAAACCUAUUUUUUUCUCUUUGUUUUGAAAAAAAAUAUUAUUUAUGCUUUAACCUAACACAAAAUUCCUAACUCUUAUACAAAUCCUGAUGUAUUUUUCAAGUUCUAAGGAUUCAAAACACAAGUCCAUACUACUCAUACAUAAGAUAUAUAUUUUUUUGAUUAAUUGACAUAAUUUUUGAUGUAUUCUCUGUAAAUGCAUAUUUUUAUAUAGGGUUGGUGCCACUUUUUUUAGCCAAUGAUCGUAGUGCAAACAUGUUCAAUGCUUUAUAAAACUUAUGUCUUUUUUAUUAGCCAAUGAUUAUUUUUUUUAAUAUGUCAUUGACAUUCAUUAAACACUUUGCCAAUACUAUGCCAAACAUUACUUCUAAUAGUGGACACUAAAGUCUCACCAAUCAAUUUUCAUGCAACUCUAUAUGUGAGCUGAUGUGUCUAAAGUCUAUAAGUAUCUUGGAUCAUGAUGUAAACAAAGAGACUCACAUAGGUUAUAAUUUCUUUAGACUUAACAUUUCAUUCUUAUUUUUACAUCGUUCUCAUUUCUCUCCUGCAUUUAUCGACUUAAGCAUCAAAGAGUUCCUUGUUAAACAAAAGAUUUAUUUUUCAAGUAUAAUCAGGUCUAAACACCAAACCCAUAUUCAAGCUCAUGUGUCUUGGUCUAGGAUUGCAACCUGCAAAAAACUAAUUUUUAUGUGCAGUUUUUUGACGACCUCAUCAAACUUAUUAGUCAUAGCCUCAAACAUGCUAACAAAAGGUUUGAUGGCCUAAGGCUUAUUUAGGGCCUAAAUACAAAGUUUGUGUUAGUUAGACUAGCAAGUGAAAAUAUUAUAUUCAUCAAUCUACAUUUGUUAGUUUGACUAGUAAGUUAGAAUAUUAUAUUCCUCAGUUUACAAAUCACAAUAUAUAAACUAGUAAUCAAUUAGGGCUGUCAUGAUUUGAGGUUUGUUGAUUUUUAAAUAAGGGUUGGUUUCAUUUCAUUAUUUAGAAUACAUUAAAAAAUAGGCCAUUUUAGCAACUACAUCUUUUCACAAGUUAUGGUUUUGUAUUUUUUUAAUCAUAAUUAAAAUUUAAAUGUAUUUUUUUUUAAAAUAGAUCAUGUUAUAAGUGUUAAGGAAAUAAAUAAUGUAAAUAUUUUUUUUAAUCAAUAGAAAAAUAAAUUAAGGAAUCAAGUAAUUCCAAACAAUUAAAAAACUAUUGCAAUCAUCCAGUUAAAGAAGAUGAUCAACCAUUAUAUAUAUAUAUAUAUAUAUAUAUAUUAUUUCUUUAUAUGUCUUGUUAUAUGACUAUAUAAACUUUUUAUAAGUUAAAAUGUAACUCACAUAAAUAAUAAAAUUAUCAAAUAAUAUCAUUCUCUUUUAUUUUAAAUUUCUAUAAUAAGAAAAAAUAAAACACAUUUAAUGGUUGAGGUAAAUUUAAAACUUAGAGGUGAGGGGAAGGAUUUUUAAUUACAUGCCAUAAAUUACAAAACUAUUAAAUCUAUAUCACCAAUAAUUUUUAAACACAUGUUUUAUUCUUUAUUUUAUUGUGGUUGAACACUUGAUUGAUCUUUUAGUCAAAGUCCAAUGAAUGUUGAUCAAUCAUUUCCUAUAAUUUAUUUUAUUUUUUUCCUUAUAAAUCUUGUUAUAUGACUAUAUAAACCCUAUAUAAGUUGAAAUUCAAAUUACAUAUAUAAUUAAAUUAUCAAAUAAUAUCAUUCUCUUUUGUUUUAUAUUUCUACAAUAAGAAAAAAAAACACAUGUAUUGGUUGAUGUAAAUUGAAAACUUAGAGGAGAGAGUAAAGUUUUUUAAUUACACGCCAUAAAUUACAAAAUUGUUAAAUCCAUAUCACCAAAAAAUUCUUUGUUUACAAUGAUAUAGCACUUAAUUGAUUAGGGAUGGCAAUAGUUACUCACUAGUUGGAUUUCUUUAUAUACAUACUUUACCUAUUACCCAUAAAGUAAAAAAAUUCGAUAUCCAUCAAGGUUCGGGUAUUCAUAUGAAUAUUCAUUGUUGGACUGUUAUUUUUUAAAUUUUAACACGCUAUAGGUGCGAGGGGAAAAGCAAUUAAGUGAUUACAAUUUUAAAUUCUAUAUUUUGAUAUAUACUUCAUUAUAAACAAUAUCCUCAUUAUUAAAAAGUUCAAGAUCCCAUAACAUUAUAGUUUCAUCAUCACAAUCAUCAUCAAUCUCAUUGAAAUUUAUAAAAUUUAUAAUAAAAAUAUAAUCAAAGAAUAAAUAUUACAUGUUAUACAAUACUUUGUUUAAAACAAAUCAAUAAGUAAAGCAUCGGUCAUUCAUUAUCAUCAUUGAAAGUAUCUUUAAUAGUCACUAUUGAUAGAUCAAGGCGAAAACAUCUACUUCUUUAGUUGUUAAGGUUGAUGGAUCAUCUUCUACAACCUAAUUAUCAGUAUCACAAAAUGCCUCAAAAUUGAUUGGAUCAUAAUUUCACCAUUUUUCAAUAAUUCCUACAUAGUCAAAGUAAAGAUUAAAACAAUAUAAAGAAGCACAUAAAGCUUACUUUCAUUAACCACUUAUGGCAAGUAAUAACCAUGAAGGGCAAGAAAGUAUGGUCCUUUAUAACUAGGACUCAUAACUGUUACAACGUUUAUGACAUGCUAAUAAUUAAUAAAGUUAACAAUAUCAAAUGAUAUACUUGCAUCAAUCAUCCAUUUUGCUAUAGGAAGAUAACACCAUUCAAUUGUUUCUUAAUUUAUUCUGCCAUCAACUUUAGAGAGACUUUUGAGCAUCAUAGGUUGUUCAUGACCUAAAAUAUACAUCUACUGUUGCAUUUUCUUUAUGUUUUCCAGAACUCGUGGUUGAUUGUUUUUCUUUUCUGACAUUUUUUGAUGGUAACAUCUUCUUUUUAUAGGUAGCAUCAACAUUAGCAUUGUUUUCAUCAUUUUCUAAUUGUCUAAUCAUCAUUUCUUUAUUCUUCAUCUGUUAUGCACUAUAUAUAUAUAUUGAAAUUUGCUUGCAUUUCUUUAACUCUUUUUUUCUUCUCAACAUUCCUCUGAAGUUUAAAAAACAUUUGAUGAUGAACAUCGAGAGGACAUUUGACGCAUUGUUCCACUUCUCUUUUGGUUCCAGCUAAAUACUUUUUGGAUCAAUUAAUGGCACCACUCGCAAAAACUUAACUAUAAUAUAAACGUACUAAUUAUAUAUUUUUACAUCCCAUACCUAGUUUAAGAGCUUUUCUAUAAUAACCCCUUGCCACAUCUAUUUUUCCUCUUAUACCACUUGAUAUGAAAAUUAAAGGAUGAGAUGAUUAUGUUAUUGAAGGAUCAAUAUUUGAAGUACUAUUAUGCUAAGAAGACAUUUUACAUAAUUGCAAUAGGAUAAAUGAGAAGACAUUAAUAUAUAAUGCACAACCCAUUCCACAUAUCACAAUUUCCAAACUUUAUGAUCUAUAAAAUCAAAUUUCCUAAAUAUCACAUUAUAUUAGCAUUAUCCUUUUGGAUAAUUACCUUUUUUUUUCCUUUUAAAUUCUAAUUAUAGCUUAUAUCAUCAAUUCUAAUCAUGGCUUGCGCAAUUAAGUAUACUAUUAUAUGACAACUUACAAAGAAAAGUUUAUCCAAAUGUUAGACAACUAUAUGUUUAUCCAAAUCCCACUACAUUUAUAUGAAAUUUCUCAUCAAAUUUUUAAUAAAGAAAAUUUUAUCUAAGCAUAUACUAUUUUUAUUUUAGGGUAUGUGUUUGGAAUCUAAAAGAUCUUAAAAAGAGGAGUCAAAUGGGUGUUAGUACCUUUUUUAUUCCAAAGUUAGGCAUUGAGGUUUCCAUCAUAUACUUGUGCUAGUUGGAAUUCUACGUGGAAGUGGGUGAAGAAGUUUCUACUAAACAAAUGAUGAUAAGACAAAUCUAAAGUAAUAUAAUUGAUAUGGAUAAUGUACAUGGUCAAUGACUAAUGAAGAUUGUUUUUUGUUUUUACUUUUGUCCUUAUCACAUGAUCUCCAAAGGGGUUUUGUUAGUUUCUGAAGAAUUAAAAAACUAAAAAACUUGUUGCCUAGCUUACCAAUUAAAGAUGAUUUUAGCCAAAACACGAAUUCCAAUUCUAAUAGCAAUUUGGUCCUAAUAUAAAGGCAAAAUAAUUUCAUAAAAGGUUACAAUCAUGUGUUUUUUUGUUUUUUUUUGAAGUAGCCAAUCGUAGCUUAUUUUUUAAACAAUUGGGAAUUCAGAAAUAACAUUAACCAUGGAAAUAUUUUACUAGUUUUUGAUACAAACAUCAGGUGAGUUGUGUACCUAAACUGAAGGACACAAAGAAAACUUAUAAACUCUAGCUACCCAAUCACUGAGUUUGCCUCUAUAGCAAUACAUUGAGUUUUCCAUAACUCAUCUCAAAUAGAGAAGGCAUGUUAUCGAUGCAUGAUUGAAAUCAAUAAUGGCACACAAUAAAACAACAUGAGUUGUAGAUAUUUUUUCAUGGAAAGAGAAUACCAAUGCAUUUAUAAGUUGUUUCAAGAACAUAAUGAGGCUAGCAUAAUAGAAAAGUUUUGUUGCAACCUAAUUUCUGAUAAAUUUUUGAAAACAAAAACUCAAAAAUAUGUUUUUGAUAUAUUUGCAUCGUUUGCGGCGUCUUUUCCAAAUAAUUUAAAAUAAAAAAAGAGAGAGAAAGAAGAAAAAAUACAUUGAAUUUUUUAGUGAUCUAAUUGCAAUUGCUGAAGGGAGAGAACCAAUUUAAAAAUUGAAAACCCUCUCACUAAGCAACCCAUCUUUUUUAAUCAAAUGAUCUACAAUCAAUUCUCUUAAUUCAAGGGUUUAUUUUUCUUUGCUUUGUCUCCAAGUUAGCAAAUGAAUAGUUGUGAUUUAUUCUUAAAAUCCAAUGGUUGCUCUUGGUUUCCUUUGCCUUCAAGCCAAAGAAGAUUUUUAUCUAUAAAUAAAUAGGUUACACACACACUUAUGAGAGGGAGAAAAUUUAAGAGAAACCAAAAAAAUAAAAAAUAAAUACUCACACAUACUCUCCCUCUACCCACACAACAAAAAAAACCCCUAGACCCCAUCUUUACACUAGGACCCACCAACAUAAAAAAGCAAAAGAAAACCAGCAACAUUUGGCAACCUCUCCUAAUUGUCUCCCUUCAUUAUCCAUAGCCAUCUCUUAUCACACUAGUCUUCCUUUCUUGGCAAAAAAAAAAAACCCCCAUCAUAGAGGUCUCCCUCUUUUUCUCUUUACCAGCAACCCCUUCCCCUUACAUGCCACCUAUUUUUCACCUUAGCUCACUAGCAACCCUUUUCCUUGGUUGAACCACCAUUCAACCGUCACCCACCAUUCCCAGACCCAUAAAAAAAUCCAAUCUGUGUGUUUUUCUCUCCGUGACAACCUCUGUUCUCACUCCUUAUCACUGCCAAUGACAACAACAACUUCCUCACCGCCUCUAACCACUACAACUUCACUAUCAUUUCCUCUUCCUCAUCGCUAGUUACCCUAUAUUUUCCACCCACCCUCUACCUCUCUGGGCCACGACUGAAAACCCCACCAUGAACCAAUCACUACCUCUCGGUCAUCAGAUCUAAAAAAAGAAAAUUAAAAUCAAAUGUUUACGUGGUUUUUCUUUGUUUUGCAGGUAAAGAUCAAGCUCACCGCCGGCCAAGGAAGAAAGAAAGAAAAAAAGUAUCAAAGUUUUGAAAGGCCAGAUCUCUCUCCGCCGAUGAGAGUGUGUAUUUAUAUUUUCUUAUAUGUUUUAGAAUGUUUAAAACUAAAAAGACAAAAAAAAAAUAUUUUUAAUUAUAAACGGUCAAGUCUCUCAAAAACAUAAACAGAAUCAUAUAGUCUAGUAUUUACAUAUGAAGAAUUCAAAAUACGUAUUUUGCAUGCAUUUUAGGAUUUAACAAACAAUUUACUAAACCCAUGAGAAUUUAACCAAUAUUUUAAUAGAUCCUUAUUUUUUUAAUUCAUUAGAAUUAAUGGUUAAAAAUCCUGGUAUAGAAUGCUGGACCUACAAGUGAGGCUGAUAUUUGAAAUAUCGGGAGUUGACCAGAAAAUUCUCAGAGUUAUUCUAAAUAUUCAUCAAUUUUAAUUUGGAGUAUUUUUCAUCAUAAUACAUAAAUUAUGAAGAACCUUUUUCUAAGAAUUUAUUUGGGCACGAGUCCAAAAUAAAUUCAUAAACACAAGAUUUAUUCAUACAAGUAAAUUUUAAUCCUAAACAACAGAUAAACCACCAAUCAGAAAACCACCAAACCUUUAAACCACAUCAAAUCACACAAAGUAGCUUAAUCUUAGGCAGGGUACUCUAGGGGUGCUGAUAGCUUCCCUGAUCACAACUAUUCCCUUACCCUCGAAUUUCUGAUAAGACCAAUACACCCGGGUUUCCUAAUGACCCUAAACUAAACAACUAGGUGGUGACUCUAAAUCACCCCCUGACGCCGCGUGUCCACGUGCGACAAGUUUAUCCAAACAUUGACCAUUUUUUCCUUAUCAUUAUACACUAAAAAAAAUAUAUGUUUCACUUGAGAAAUUUAUAAUCAUUGAAGAUGAUAGCCAAACCUCAGCUGCAAUGAUCCACCGUUAGACUUUUUCUUAAUAGUAUGGAGAACUAGACAUGUGAGCUUGUUCUUACUACUCAAAUAUAUGCAAAUAGACAAAAACAAUGUCACAAUUCACCAUAGUAAUCUUUGUAAAAACUUCUUGUUGUAAAUAUAAGAGCAAGUUAACAUGCAAGAUAAUAAGAUUUGGCAAUAGCGGGAAAAAAUAAAUUACAAUGAACUUUUAAAGUAGUAGUUUAAAAAAUAAAUGAAGAACAAAGGAGCGAGAGUGGGGGAUUGGACUGAGUUUUUCAGUUUUUCCUCAUAGAUGUAAAUGUGCGAGAACAAAAGGAAGAAGAAAUGAAGAAAUAGGGGAAGAAAAAAGGGAGGUCGGGAUUUGUAUCUCUAAAAAAAAUGACAUUGUUUUCUUAAUGGAAAAAAAUAUAUGCUGGGUCACCUGAGUUUCGGGUUGAUCGGCAAGUCACUCAAGUUUCGCCUUGCCAAUUGCAACUCUAGUUUUCACCUAUGUAAAACUAGCCAACGCUUUAAGUCAACUGGGUUCCGGAUCAACCUGCUGAGUGAGGCCAUGUUUUACAACUAUGAUACACACACACACACCAAUUUAUUGAUUGUGCUCUUGUUGUGGCUUGAACAAAAAAAAGCUUUUGGAAUGUAAAAAAUAAUAAUUUCUAGACCUUCAAUUUUUUUUUUCUAGCAUUGUCAUUAAACUCAAUACAACAAUUCAAACUUUAAGAAUCUCAACCCAACUUUUUACUUAGCUUGAGUCUUAAAUUAAAUCGUGUAGAAAUUGUUUUGACGUAACCUUGUCAGCCAGUCAAGUUCCAUAAAAAAACCAAAGACAAAAAAGAUUAGUUUCACCCUAGCCAUAAAGGAGGCCAAAGAGCAAUGUCAAAAGGAUGUGGGGGUGGUGUCAAAACUCAAAAGAUGGAUUUAGUGGAAUAAAUCAAUGAUUUAGAGUUAGAUAUGUUUCCUUUUAUAUUUUGAUUUUUUUUAGUCAUAAUCAGAUCUAAUAGAACUAAUAUGGUUUGAUUCGGUUUAAUCGGCUAAAUUUUUUUGAAAUCAAAAUCAAACUAAAUCGAUUGAUUUGUCUGAUUUUUUAAUCGAUUUAAUUAAUUUUUUCUAUCAAUUUAAUUUUUUCAGUUUAAUCACUCGACUAUAUUUUUUAUUUGAAGAGCCCUAAUCAAACCUUGUGCAUUUUGGAUGUUUAAUGGUAAUAAAUUUUGAGGAUAGGAUCGUGUAAGAAACUACCGUGGCUUUUAGGCUCAAUUACCUACGUCUAUGGCGGAAGGGAACCAAGGUCUGCUAACACUGGUUUCAAGCUUCAACUAGGAGUGCAGUAUUUUAGUCUUCCUCCUGAUGGCAUUUGUGAUCUCUUGCAUCAAGAGGCCCUUGGAUUGCUAUACCCAGAUUUUGUAUUUCUUCAAGUUACUUUUCUUUUGUGUUCAAACCGCCUUAUUUACCAAGAAAAAGAAAAUACUGUCCGGUCAAUCAAAUAUUUCACUUUCCAAGCCUGUUAUACUUUUUGGGCUUUCUGUGCAGCCCUUUUCUGAUUAGCGUUGUGGGAUGGUGGUGGGCUCGAGGCAUCUUCUCUUUAUUAAUGAUGUGGGGUAAAUUAUAGUAUUCAUUUUUGAAUUAUAACUUCUUACUUUGAAUCAUAGCAUCAAUGAAGGCUUUUUUUUUUUUUUUUUAAUAACAUAUGAUAAAAAUAAACUUCUUACAUUUGACAUAUUAGUAGUUUAAAUUGAGUGAUAAACUAGAUAAAGGGAUUAUAUUUGACUGCUUUUGCCAAGCAGAAAGGAUAAAAAUAAUGUAUAGGACCUAAUACAAGUAUUUUUCUUGUGUACACGUGCUUGAAAAAAUCAUUAGUAGCUAGACUUGGUAAUCGAAUUUUCCCAUGAACUCAAUUGAAAUUCCCUAAGCAAUCGGAUAUUGUAGUCCUGUAGACGCUGGAAGCAUCCGUUAGCUCUCUCUCUCUCUCUCUCUAUCUAUCCAUGCAUACGUACCAACAAAACAAAUAGCUGAAAGACAAGAAAACCAAGAACCUUAGCUUAUUCAUUUAGUGCUGUGUUUGAUAAAAUAUUGCAAUAUCUAUAUUCAUUACUUUCGUCAUGCUUGAGUGUGAAAGAGCUCACCAAUUAGUCGCUGUCCUCUAACGAAAGCAUACGCCAACUAAUCAUAACCAUAUAUUCAACCAAUUUUUUUCUUAAUAAUAAUCAGAGCCAUAUAUAUAUAUAUAUAUAUAUAUAUGUACUAAUAAUUGGAUUUAUGGUUCCUUGAGUGAUUUUCAAGUUUGGUCUACUUUUUGAGUGGACUUUCGUAAGGAUUUUGACAAUGGAGUCCUGUUAUUUCAUGUCUGUUUUGACAUGUUAUAAAUCAUAUAAAAGCACGCCGGUUGAAAUGUCAUAUUAAUAUAUGCUGAUGAGGGGUCACACAUCUAAAUGAUUUAUUUGGAUUUGAGUUCAUUAGUGUUAUAACAGACAUGUUUAUAACUCCUUCAAAGGUCCAAGUCAGAGGCUAGUUUUUUUCCCACUCUCUUUACCUAGCCACACGUUGAUUUUCAAUUAUUCGUGGAGUAGUAGCCUUUUUGGAUUUUGCUGAGUUUCCAUCUUCUCCGUGCUUUUUCAUGUCUCGAAUUCAACUAGGUUGUUUGCUUGUCCUCGUACCAUCAUUUCAAUGAUCAAUUGCAUCUUGAAUUCUUUGAAACUAAUGUGCAAUUAUGAAUAUCGGGGCUAAUAAUUGUUUAAUUUUCUAAAGAAUUAAGAGCUGCUAGCUAGCUAGCUAGCUGUGCCCCCGUUUUCUAAGUUGCUACAGGAAUUCAGAUUUAAAAUGCGACCAGAAAAAAGCUUGCAGAAUUACUCGUUGUUGUUGGAACCUUGUGGCUUACAGAGACCAGUCGAGUUAAGCACAUGAGAGCUUGUGUAUAACGUUAGGAGCUAGUAGGCUAUCCGCUUGUUCAUGUUCUUGGCUGAUAUGGGAAUUAAACCAUAGGAUAUAUCCAUCUUAUAUGGUUAGCCCGUCACCCAUUAUAGGGAAUUUGAAAUGAUGGAAGGUGUUCAUGUAUACAUAGUAACUCAUCGCCCAUGACAACGAGUUGAUAAGAUGGAUUUCGUUGACAUUUUUUGGGCAUCCAAUGCUUUGUAGUGAGAAAAAACUUACGUGGCGGAAAAAUAAAUAAACAAGUUUCUUCUUUUGAAAAGGGAAAAUGGCAGCUUUAAAACAUGGAGAUUUGGGAGGAGUAGUAGACCGAGGAAGCUUCGUAUGCCAAACUGUGUAUAUACAUGCAAAAUACAGUGUAUUUGCAGUCAAAUACGAAGGCUCACUUGACAAAAUUAAGGAAUUUCAAGCCUUAUAAAUGUACGUGGGGUCCUGUAAGGUUUGCAUAUGCUGUUGAAACAAGUCAUCAAUUUCCUGUUAUUUGUAUGUACCCACGUAUAUGGACCUAGAAAAGCAAGGAAUGUUGGCGUGAUAUAUGUGUUGUGGGGCCACUCUUGUCUUUUUCUUUCUUUCUUUGUUUUUUUUUUUUCCUAUCAAAUAUUCUAUGUCAUAUAAUGGGGCCAGCAGAAUAUUUUCUUUAUUUUAGAGGAGGCAAGUGAAAAUCCAAUGCGCCAAAUCCAUUGAAUUGAUUGCAAAAAUAAGAUCCAAUCCGGUAUUUUUCACUAAGAACUGAAAUAAUCCAAAACUUUUAGGUUGAGUUGGGUGAGCUUGUAAGUAACUCAUGAUUUUAAAACAUGAGUGGUUGGUGGUAGGAAAAAGAGAAAAAAAGAAAAAAAACGUUAAGUGAAGGGAAUAAAAUAGACGAAGAAAGAUAAAUUUACCUCUUUUUUUAUUGAAACAAAGGAAAAUUAAAGGAAUAGAAAUGGAGAAUUUUUACCUUUUAAGGAAAUGAGAAGAAGAGGAAUUAGAAAUAACAUUUUAAGUAGUGAAACUAGUCGAGGCUCCACAAUUGGAGAAUUGAAAAAAAUUAAUGGAAGUGUCAACGAAAACUAUUCUGCCUGUCUUUAUUUAUUGAUAGAAUUUGUGAUGGAAAAUCUUAGUCAAUAAUUUUCAUCAAAAAAUAUUUACUGAUUAAAUUUGAUAAAAAAAAAUCAAAGGAGAGUAAAAUUAUAAAAUAAAUUCAAUCUAAAAUAUGAUUUCAAAUAAAAACUUGUCAAAGAUAAAAAAUUAGCAAUCAAAGAAUAAUGAUUAAAUUUGAUAGGAAAAAAAACCAAAAAAGGGUGAAAUCAUAAAACAAAAUCAAUUUAAAAAAUGAUUCCAAACAAAAAAUAGCAUUAAAAAGAAUGAGGAUCAAAUUUAAAAGAUGAAAAAAAUUAAAAAAGAUGAAAUUAAAAAGACAUACCAAUUUUAUAAAUUAUUGAAGAUAAAAAAACCAUAAUAAAAGUCAAAGGGACCAAAUCUAAAGAAUCAAUAAAUUAAAGGUUUGCUUUCGAAUUCUUAAGAGGCUAGCAUGAAAAUCUAGGUUGGGAGAGAGAGAAGAAAGGAGAAAAUGGUCACUACUGUCAAACCAUUAUGAAUCUUGGAAUACGCGCCACCUCAUCGGGUCGAUGACGUCGAGAACUUUCAAACGCCACCCCGUAAGAUGACACUUGAUUAUUAAACGACCCUUUUCUGCAUCGCCUAAAUGGCACUAAAAUCGUCCACAAGUUGGCACGUGCUCAACAUGCGCUAACAAGUUUUUUUAAUUAUAUUUAAUAUAUCUAAUUUACUAUAAUGCCCAUGAAUACCCUUGGAAUUUACAAUAAAAACAAUAUAAAAUGAAAUAAAAAAAAACCAUUGAAUGAAAGUUUUGUUGGUUGUCUUCAAAAGUAUCAAAUUAAUUACACUAUUCUAAAAAUCUAAAAAUAGAAAAUGUCCUUGAGAAAUAAGCAUUAGAUUAUUUUAUUAUAUGGUUAAAUUAGUAAUUUAACUAUGAAAAACAAAUAACCAAUCUAACCUGUAUAAUUUGUAAAAAAAAAAAAAAAUUGUAUCAUGGCAGAAAGAUUAUCUUACUUUUAAUGCUUAGUUCAAAGUUUAAAUGAUUAAGGGACAAUUUAGUUAUUACACUUUAUCAUUAAUAUGUUUUUGUUUUGUGUGUUGAGGGGUAUAAUAACUUUCCUUCCACAUUUAAUUUUUUUAAAAAUAAAUUUGAUUAAUUUAUAUGAAUUCGAUGUUUAUGAGUAUAUUAAUGAUUGUUUUUUAAAGUGUUUUUUACUUGGAAAUACUUUAAACUGAUACAUAUAUAUAUAUAUAUAUAUAUAUAUAUUUUAAAGAUUUAAAAAAACUAAAAAAAAUUAAUUUAAAGUAAAAACAAUUAAAUUUUAAUAAAAAAAACAUAUUAAAACUUAAUACCAAACAACUCCUUUACAUAUAAAAGUACAUACGGGUUUUGGGGGCAAUGAAUUGAGAGGACAAAUCACCCUUUCAUAUCCAGACAAACCUCUGCAUCUUUUCAAUAUCCGAUCCUGUGCCGGUUGAUGAUUUUCAAGCAACUUGAAACUUCAUUCCAAAGGAAGCACUCGGACUAGACAAUACUACCAUCUUUUUUUGGUUGAUAAUUGGAAAAAAAAAAAAUGACUGUGGAAGGAAUUAAAAUUAUCAAAUUAGGGUCUGUUUGAUAUGUUUUUAAUUUGCAAAUUAAUUGAUUUUUUUUUUAACUUUGAUAAUCAUAAGACUGUGUUUUAACUUAAAUAAAAAAAACUUGAUGCAAUAUUUGGGUAAAAAUCUUGAUUUAAUCAAAGGAUAAAACUUGUAAUUUUAAACUAAUUAAUAGAUUCUUGAAAGCUAAAAGCACGUAAUUGAAAUAAAAGUAUUUCAUGCAAAGAAUUAUUGGGAGAGAUGGAGGGAGUGCUGUGAUCUCACAUCAAAGGAGAAUAUAUACAAAUGCAGAAGAAGCCAAACACAUUCGCCCUCUCACGACGGAUGGAAACUCGAAUCAAAAUCUUUACUGUAAAUCUUUUGCUCGAGGUGUCAAUCUACAGACUAGAAGUCCUUUUCUCAAAGAAAUAAAUCAAUAACUAAUGCUGGGAAAAUUAGAGAAAUUUAAUGGUACGAUUAGUACGUUUUGUCGACUUGCUAAUAUGUCAACUUAACUCCAUAUAUAUAUGGUCCAUUUUAUAAUUUAAUUGUGGGGAAGAACUUAAUUGCAAGAAAUAUAGUUUUUUUAAAACAUUUUUAAAUAAUUACUGAUAAAAUUAAAUACAGUAUUUUUCUAAGAGAAUUACUGAUAGAAUGAAAUAAGUAAUUUUUUUUUGCUCAUUUUUUUCAUCAGUAAAUCUAUCGGUAAUAAUAUUUUGUUAUUACAUACAGAUUUAUAGAUAAAUAAAAAAUUACCGAUAAAAUUUUUAUCAAUAAAAUAUUUUUAUUGAUGAUUUUAUUAAUAAAUUAAUUAUUAAUAAAAUGAUAGUACAAGACAGAAAAUUUUAUCAAUAAUUCUAUUGGUCGUGGUAAUGAAUUCUGUAAAGUUAAAGCAAGUAUAUAUACAGAGGAGGAUGUUUUGUCCAUAUGUUAAUGAUAUGGGAUGGUCUCAGACAAAUUAAUCCUCAAUAAGAUGGACGUAGACAUUGCUCUCAAAUCAAUAGGAUGGUGUGUCAUUAUUACUGCAUAUGCUUGCUGGGUUCAUGUUUUUUCAAUGUUCAAAGAGACAUGAGGAAUCUUUAAAUAGCAAAUAACAUUUAUAAUUGAAGUGCUGAUGACACUGACAAUCUUACAAUAUCUUCGAUAUUUCUAAAGUUGUUCUUAAAUUCAAUCAUAGUGCUAUCUACCACGCGGGAGCAUUUUGAGAAAACGUAUGAAGUUCCUUUCACUCUUCUCUUGUGACUUGAUGAAUAUAUAUAUAUAUAUAUAUCACACACAAUACUAAGUAAUUACUUAAUUCAAGAACAUAUAUGAAACGUUUUCGCUCUUUUAUUACAUUCAACCAGCCAUAUACCCGCAUCCUAUUUUUGUUAACUUUGCAAUAAUCCAAAUAAUAUUUUUAAAAAUCUAAAUGAUUUUAAUUAUAGAGAAAAAAAAUAUUUUCUUAGUUUAAAUUUAAUUUUCUAUAAAUGUAUUUCCUUUUGUAUUGUGACAAAAUAAGUAUUUCUUAUAAAUAACUUAAUUUUUCAAAUGAAAACCUAACAAAAUUAAAAUAAACAUACAUUCCUCAAAAAAAAAAAAACAUAUCCUUUUUUUUACUAGAAAUAUAAAAAAUAUUUCUAAUAAUUUUAAUUAGAGAAAAUUACUUUGAUACUCCUAUAAUUUAGUUAUUAUUUUUUUAUUUUUCCUUAAUUUUUUUAAAAUUAUAGUUUAUAUUUUAUAGUUUAUAAUUUGAUAAAACUUUACAUACGCAUAAAAAAUGAAAUUAUUUACAAGAUUGAUAUUAUAUUUCAAUUAAUGAUUAAAAAACCUUACAUCGUUAAAAUUUCAAAAUUACCAUAAAAAAAUAAUUUUCCCAAACUCUCUUCCCCACACCAUAUUGGAACCAACCUCAUCUCCAUCACCUUUCAAACCAUAACCACAAUCCAUCACCUAGAACACCAUAGUUACCAUCAUUCCAGUUGCCACCAUAACUUUUUUUUUCAUGAACAACCACGACAACAACUCUAACCACCUAUAAAUUAACAUAAAAUCACCAUAUUCCCUCUCUUUCACCUAAUCUAUUUUGUAACUAACCUCUCCAAACAUAACCUCAUAUCCUCCAUGUAUUUUGUUAGGAUCUAAUUGGCCAUCUAGUCCCUCGAAGAAGCAAGAAUAACAAGCUAGCAUCAGACCGACUCUGUAUUUAUCAAAACAUCAAUUAACCUUCCACUAAAUCUAAUAAUUUUUAUCUAAAGUAAAAUUUUACUCAUAUUAUAAGAUAUAAGAAUCCAAAUGAAAGAUUAACUUUCAUGGACAAAUUGUCUCCAUCUUUCCUAAAACUACCAUCAUUGUCAAACUACUCAAACCUCUCUUCCCAUCGAGUAAGCCAACCAGCAGUGAAAGCACAACCUCCACAACACAUUUCUCUCCACCAAUUCAUAGUCUCUAUCACGACCAUUUUCUCCACGCGUUAACUUGCUUUCGAUCCACCCAGAUAGAAACCCUCUAACUCAAAUAAAAGGCGAAAUCGAGUGUAAAAUCCAUAACCAUAUAUUUCCCCAAAACAAUUCCUACUUGAAAACACCACAAAACACCCCAUAAAUUUCAAGUCGCCGGCCACACAAGAAACUUUCCUCACCAACACAUUGUUUCUCUCAACAAGGAAAUUGAUUUUUGUAUAGAUCUUGGCUUCCUCUCAACUUUGGGUUUUCUGAUAUAAUAUAUACGAGAUUAUUUUAUUCAUUUUGACUGAUUAUGAUUUUUUAUUGAUCAAAGAUGUUUUCUAUUAUUUUCAAAACAAUGGAAGCAAAAUGUAAAAUAGAUUAAACUAUAGGAUGCUUAUGGUAACUUUUCCUUUUAAUUAAAAAAAAUUAUUACAAAAUUUUUAAAAAAACAAAACAAAAAAAUAUAUGACCAAGCAUGUAGGCCUUAAAAGCCAGACUUGCAAGUCUUGCAUUCAGACAAAAGCUUAGGUGGUUACACCUAACAAACCAGACAUGGCGUCUGUUUCAUUUUCUUCUUGUUUUUUUUUUUUAAAUGAGGUAAUGACAUAGAAUUUGCUUUAUGCUUUGACCAUUGUAGAUGGGUAGGAAAUCAGGAUCUAACAUAUUUGAACACUAAACGCUUAGUUUCCACCUACAAAAUCUUGAGACUGGGUGCUCGAUACUAAUUGAGAGCUCCCAACGGUUGAGAUACUAAGGUUUGCUUGCAACUUCUCGGCCUUAAUGUUGGAGAGUCCGUACACCUGAUUUUUAUUGGGUCUACCAAACGAUUCUACCUUCAUCUACAAAUCCGGAUUUAAAUCCGGGUGGGUUGAAGGAUCGUCCCCGUAUCUCUCUCUCAAGCAUCUAUUAUAUGUCUCCUGAAAAUUAAAAAAGAAAUCAUCAAAUUCAAUUCAAGAAAAUAAUAACUUAUGAAAAAAAUGGUUGAAGGAACAUACUGCAAAGUGUUGAGCGCAAUUGUCGACGAACUGUUGCACCCCUUUUUAACGGUCUUUACUCCGCACGUGUAUCUUUACAAAAAGCUCAAUUGGGCUCGACUCAUGUCCAAGAGACGUAGCUUGUAAGAAAAAAAGUUGCAAGUUAAAUACAUUUAUAAAUAACAACAAGUUAAUUAAAGAUAAAUGUCAUUAAAACUAAUCUUACCAUCCACUUUGCAUAUGUAAUGAAUGGAAUGGAGCCAACGAUGUGCAUGGUAACCGAACAAUGAAUUUUCCAGUUCUGGUUCUUCACAUCGGACUGUGAGCGUCGUAUGAACCGCUUGGACAUCACGUGCUAGAUAUAUUGUGUCCACUCGAAGCCAUUUCACCUCCAUCAUCAUGUCGUGGAACACAAUUGAUUUUCUUUCUCAAAUAAAACUUGAAAUAGUACGAGAUAAAUAUUGAGAUCUUCUAAAAAAUAUAGACCUCACAUAUCAAAGCCUUCAUAUGCAUCUUGCUCUUAACCUUUUUUUUAAAAAAAGAUUGAACAAGUACCUACAUGGAAUUAAAAAAAUAUUUUAAAUUAAAAAAAAACAAUGAAAAUACAUUAACAAUACAUUGCAUUUGUAAUAUCUAACCUCUUGAAUGAAUACAUCCAUCUAUACUGGAUUGGGUCUCCAACUUCUGCCUUAUACAAUAAAUGUAUGAGUAGAUGCUUCAUGUACCAACGAAAUGUUUAUGUCGGUAUAUACAGAUGAUUUUAGCAAGGGAAUUAAUUCGGUCGGUAAAUAUCACCAUAAAAUACUGAUAGAAAAAUUAUGUUGGUAAUGUUGUUGGUAUUUGUUGAAUUUCUAGUAAUGCGCAUCCAUUUUGUAGCUAACCUUCCCUGACAUAACCUCUUAUCCAUUUUGGAGCUAAAAAUUCCAUGUAUGCUGUUAGGAUCUAACUGGCCAUCUAGUCCCUCAAAGAAGUAAGAACAAUAAGCUAGCAUUAGAUUGACUCAGUAUUUAUCAAAACAUCAAUUAAACUUCCCCUUCAUCUAAUAAUUUUUAUCUAAAGUAAAAUUAAGCUUUAUGGAUAGACUGUCUCCAUCUUUUCUAAAAUCACCAUCAUCAGCAAACAACUCAAACCUCUCUCCUCGCCAACUAAACCAACCAGUUGUGAAAGCACAACCUCUAGAACACAUUUAUCUAUGCCAAUUUCAUAGCCUCUCUCACGACCCUUUUCUCCACACAUUUACUUGCUUCUGAUCCACCCAUAGCUCCAACUCAAAUAAAAGGCCAACUCCAUUGUAAAAUCCAUAGCCAUAGAUUUCCCAAAAAAACUUCCUACUUGAAAACACCACAAAAUAUCUCAUAAAUUUCUUGUUGCCAGCCACCUAAAAAACUUUCCUCACCAACACGUCGUUUCUCUCAACAAGGAAAUUGAUUUAUGUAUGGAUUUUGGCUUCCUCUCAACGAAUGAGAGUUUUUGUUUUAUUAAUUCUAAAUAGAGAGAAGAAGUCACAAGGUGAGGAGAGAGAAGUAUGAGGAUGUUUUCUAUUUUUUUCAAAAUAAUGAAGGCAAAAUGUAAAAUAGAUUAAACUAUAAGAUGCUCAAGGUAAUUUUUCCUUUUAAUUAAACAAAUCAUUACAAAAUUAAGAAAAACAAACAAUUUUUUUUUUGAAGACCAGGAGUGCAGACCUCAAAAGUAGACCCUCAAGUUUGGCAUUUAGAAAAAAGCUUGGUGCUUAGGCCUAACAAACUAGACCUAGGUCUCUAUUUUAUUUUCUUCUUGCUUAUUUUUUUUAAAAAAAAUUUAGGCGCCGACAUGGAAUUUGCUUUACACUUGGACCAAUAGAGGCGGGUAGAAAAUUAGGAUCCAACAUAUUUGGAUAUUAAAAACUCAAUUUUCCACCAUAAAAGACACAUGAGAAUCAUCAUAAAAAGCUCAAUAACCAAUAACAAACCCAAAAUUCCCUCUAAUAUGCCUAAAAACUCAAAAUCAAACAAAAAAAUUUCCAAGCUCAAAUCUUUUUUUUUUGGUGUAAGUGAAGGUGUAAAUCAUCACCAUUAAGUUUCUCUCUUGAAAACAAAUCCACAAAAUCCAAAAUCAAAGUUAAUAGUGGUCGUAAUCCCGCCACCCAAGAUCUUUUUCUCUCCUCAUUUUUUUUUCUAGUUAUUCUCUCUUUACUCGCUCAACUUUCAAUGACUGAAAUAUAUUGAAAAUAAAGUUUAGAACUAAAAUAUAAUAAUAACCUUAUGUGCUAUUUAUGAAAAAGGGCCUUGUGUCCCCUUUUAUGUCGAUCUUGAUCCUCAAUUUCUUAAUUUUAUUUUUAAAAAGAAGCCAAAUGUAUUUUAUAAAAUUAAUUGCAAAUUUAAUACGGAAAUGUUUAAUGACACACUAAUAAAAACGAGUGAAGAAAGAGCAAAACAAAUAAUUUGAGUUCAUAAAAUUACACAAACAUAGCUUUAAAUGAAAAUGAUGCAAUUGAAAACAAAAGGUGACAUGCAUGAUUGAACUGAAAAAAAAAACUAUAAAUUAGCUUCAAAGACCAAAAUGUAAAGAAGUGAGCAAAAAUGCUUGUGAGAGCAUGAACAGGAAACACAAAACAGUAAAAGAACAUAUUGUUUUGGUUUAUUUGAUAACAAACAAGAUCGCGGGCAUCAAUAUUGAUACAAAUUGCACGGAACUGGCAGUAAUUCGCCACAAAAUCUUCGUUAAUUGACGACUGUUUGUAGCACAAGAGAGCAAAGAAUAGAAAGGCUAAUGCCUGACGACGGAAAGCAUCCAAUAAUAAAUAAUAAAGGCACCCAGACCAUUCAAUGACGAGAUCGAAGACCCCAGUUUAGCAAGCAAAUCAAUCACCACAAGACUUUUCCUUUCUUGCUCAAGCCAUGUUUGAAAUUGAAUCAAACACGCCAAUCCCUAACAUGGCGUAUUCAGCAUUAUGGGCCAGAGAUCCCAGCCGAAUUCUGCAGAGCAAAAUGUCUGUAUCUGGGAAAAUGCAAUAAAGUAUAUACGGGGCAUCUUCUAUUUGUAUUAUGGAAGCUAGCCACAUUACAAACUCUUUGUUACAUGGAAAGAUCUCCAUCUUAUCGUCUAAGAUUUGGUUGCUUUCAAAGCAUAUAAAAUCUCUUUCUACCUAGAAGCAAAGCCUACAAUGAGUUUCUAAUUUAUCUAUCAUAAUAAAAUUGUAUUUUUCUCUUUUUUUUUAACAUCCAUCAACAAGAGCUCAUCCAUGUGCCAUGGAGUCACGUUUGAGGGCCAUGGCUAGCUAGGUGUGUACAAUUGCAAUCUGUCUUGUCCGUUUUCUUGCAUUAACUCUGCAGUCACUCACAUGCUUUCUGAAACAACAGUCUCGCUUUCCAUUAACCAUUCAAGUUGGUACGAGUAUAGAACAAGAGAAGGAGAUGAGUCGGGCUACUGAGAGAGAGAGAGAGAGAGGAUGUUUUGUUCUGUAUAUGCUUAGGGCAGUGGUGUGUUCGAAGGGCUAACGGCUCUUCAUCACUGCUUACCUGUUAGUUCUUGGUGGCUAGCUGGAUGAAGAAGUUGCGUCGUUCACGUCCAUGAAUUCCUAGGUAUCAAAAAGAUAAUUGAUGAGCAAACAGACAAAAGGGACGAAACUGCAUGGAACCUGCUGUUGUUCAAACUUAUUUGUGAAUAAGACCGCAACCGUCCCCCAGUCCUUUUUCUUGACCUUCUCGCCUUCCUCACGUAUAGUUGCUCUUGUCCUCCCCCUCCGUUUCUCUCUUUUAAGUUUCCUAAAAUGUCCCCGUGCUCUCACAAAUUAAUCAUAUCCUUCAUGGAUCGACUCCGAGCAUAGCCACAAGCUCUCUCUCGAUUAUUAUAAAAACGAGCUUAGCCUCCGCUCCCCUUAUCAAUCAAGCUAACGUACAGUCGCUUUCCUAUUGAUUAAAAUUUGGACAGGUGCUCAAAUAAUUCCAAAUUCCGUGAAAGAAGAAGAAAAUGAUUGAUAUGAAUAGCGAUGGUGUGUGUGUGUAUACUAAAAAAGCAAAAAAAAGAAAAAAAAAACGGUGAAUCAAAGCUCAAAUGAACUGAUCAAUUCUUAGAAAUGAUUGUUUACACAAUAAAUUAAAAAGAAAAACCGACUGGAGGAUCUAGUAAAUAAUAUUUAUCAAACUUAAAAGCAUAAAUACAGACUAUUCAAGCUAACGAAGUUUUCUACAACGCGGAACCUCACAGUUAGACAGCGCCGAAGAAAGACAUGACAGUGUGAUCAUUAAAGUGAAAACUUGGGUUUCCCAGCAUUUUGGCACAGCAUGCAUGAACAUAAAUGUGUUUUCUAUUCUAAAGUUUUGACAUGACAGGAGUGCCUUGCCUUCAUCCACACUCCUCAGUAUCAUCAAGGGAAAAAAACAGAUUAAAGUAUAGAAGCUAAAGAGAUAUAUAUCAAUUGUCUUCUUGUUUGCUGGUAAAUUAAUGGCAUAACAGUUGUUGCACAGUUACUUCUCACGGGGUGUUUUUGAGUAUAAUAUUAAUUAUAAUUUAAAAUAUUUUUUUAUUUAAAAAUAUAUUAAAAUAUUUUUUUUAUUUUUAAAAAAUUAUUUUUUAUAUCAGUACAUCAAAAUAAUCUAAAAAAUAUUAUAAAAAAAAUUUAAUUUUUAAAAAAUACAGUUUCAACCAUGUUUCCAGACAUCUCCUUUAUAUGUUAACAUGGUUUAGUGUACAUUUAUCGAUAGUUUUUAUGAAUAUAGUUUAAAAAUAUAGAUUUUUUUUUAAGUUGAAAAUUACUGUUUUUUUUUUUUUCAAUUAAGAUUUAAGAAAAAGUUUUUACUAUAAUAAAUAUUUUUAAAAUUAUAAUUGAAGUGAAAUAUAAUUUUAAUUACAUUACACCAUACUCUUAACAUGAUUUAAAAAAAAUAAUACGCCCCAACUUAAUUGUUUAUUUUAGAUAAAGAUACUCAUCUAUAUCCUAAAAAUUAACCACUCAAUCCAAAGCUUUUUUUUAAGUGUUAGAUAUUCUUAUCAUUUAUUUUCAUCGAUUGAGACUACAUCCCUUUCUAAUUAAAUUGAAUUUCUGCUAUAGUAGCGUUCUUUAUGGAGUUGAUAAAUAGUUUGUAUUUUCCUCCCGUUCGGGAGAAUUUCUCAAUGAGCUUGACUUUUUAUAUUAUAAAAAUCCCUUUCUAAUCAAAUACCAGACAGGACAUACACACUCGGGAAAGCGGGAUUAAAAGUUUGUAAAUAAUGAUGCUAGGCCCUCUCGUGUUUUUUAACAUGAUUUAUCAUAUUUUUUUAAUAUAAGUCUUCUAAAAUAAAUGAAUGUCUCUAAUUAGUUAUUAGCAGCUAAUAUUUACUUAAUUAAGUAUUAAACCUGAGACACUUUGUAUUAAUACUUAACUUUUAACUUUAAUAUAAAAAAUAUAGAAAAGAAAAAGGGAAUUAACAAAUCAUUAAAAAAAAAGAGCUAAGAUUCUAGUUCUCAAUAUAAAUUUUUUGCCACAUUAUUACUAAACGCUAAAAUUUUUUUACACAAGUUUCUAGAAUCAAGAGUAUCACGGGAUGAAUGUUUGUUGAGUUUCUUUAUACUAUAUUUUCAUUCCUAUCUAACCUUUUAUUUCUAGAAUCUCAUGACCCACAAUGCAUAAGAUAUUUCAAUUCAAAUGACGGUUUCAAUAAUCAUGUAUACGAAAAAAGAAGAAUUAAGCAAUGUGAUGGACUAUCAUUAUUUUUUUUUUGUCUUUCCCUGGAUUUCUUUUUAUGAACAAAUCAACAAAGUUUUAGAGUAUUAACCUAUCAUUUUUUUAUUCAACCAAGCAUUAAGCUCAGAUUUCUAUAGGUCCGAUGAACUAUCAAACUGAUCAUUUAUGAACCUACAAAGCACUGAGCUUGAACAUCUAUGAGUUUGACAGCUCGCUAGACCCAUAAUUUUUAGACUCAGCCAAGUGUUGUGCCCAUAAUUUUUACUCUAAUGAGACAUGUUUUUAUGUCAAGGAUAUUUUUUCUCUUUAACACAUAUCUCAAAGAUAUUUUCCAUCAACCUUAAUACAUAUGUCAAUGAUAUUUUCUUCCUUUAAUAUAUAUGUCAAAGAUAUUUUCUAUCAAUAUUAAUAUAUGUGUCAAGUAUAUCUUUCCUUUUUAAUACUACUAGGACAAUAUCAUGUUUUAGCUCCUUCUCUCCAUAAAGAGAUUUAUAGGCUAUAAAUAAACCAUGAAUCAUUUAACCAUGAGAUUUAGAACAUCUAUUCUCUAUUGCAUAUUUAUUUUCUCUAUAAGAUUAUUACAUUUUCUCUAAAAAAUCACUAACUUAAUCAAUGGAGAGUUUCAAAUUCAUCAAAUGAGAUCUUUUUAUAGGCACUAGUCACCAAUCACCCGUCACCUCAAGGGAAGAAUGAAUUAGAUUUCUAGAAUGAAGUGAUUAACCAAUUAUCCAAGACAUAAGCCUUGCCCUUAAGCUGCUUGGAUUUUUUAGGACAUCAUCAGUGAUGUCGUAUGUGGAAAACAUUAAAAACAACCAUAAAUUAUUCUUCCAGGGCUGUUUAUUGACAUCUCAAAUCAAUAUUGAAGGCAAAGAGCCAAGACCCUCUCGAAAAGCGACCCGUUAUGGACCUCAUUACAACCAUAAACAUAUUCGCUUCCCUAGAGCCUCAACAUUCUUAGAUAAGAAGCAAAAAAAUGUUACGUAACAAAUUCAUUGCCCAAAAUCAGGACAUGAUUUUUUGUUCUUGAUCAUGGACUUUAUAAAGACAAGCGAAUAUGGUCUAUGAGUUUGUUAACUUCACAGAUGCAGUUGGAGCCUCAAACUUUUGGAAAGUUUUCAAUAAGAAGAAUAUAAUGUUGGUUUAAAGUGUACAUCUAGAGAAGUCUAUAAGAAGAACACCUAUAAAAAAUUUACGGUAGAAACUCUAUUCUCUCUUCCUAGAAUUGAGACUAUAACCCCUAAAAAAAGUCUUAUUAAAGUUGAUUAUACCUCAAAGGGUGAUAGCAAUGUACUAUGGUUAAUGAUUAAGAAUAUAAGUUCCUUAUAUAUAAAUUAAAGGGUUUAAUGCAACAAUGUUUUUAAUUCCCCAGGUACUCUCCUCAACCUUCCAAUGAUAAUCAAAUUUACUCUUCCUAGUGCGAUAAUAUAUUUACUUUGAAAAGAAUCAACAUCUCCUUAGUGCUAUGAUACAUUUUACCUCAAAAAAAAAUUGAUUUGGUCUCCCUAGUGCAAUCAUACAUCUCUUCAAGAAUGGGAUAGACAUUACUUUAGCAACGGGGAUGAAUAUGGUCUUUCCAGGGCAACAACCCUUCAACCUUCCAAGGAUUGGAUGAAUUUACUCUUUCUAGUGCAAUGACUCAUUUACUUUUGAAACAAUCAAUGUCCCCCUAGUGUUACGAUACACUUUACCUUGAAAGAUAUUGAUUUGGUCUCCGUAUUGCAAUCACACAUCUUUCUUAAGAUGGGAUAGACAUUUUCUUAGCAACGGGGACAAACAUGAUCUUCCUAGAACAACAACCUUUUAACCUUCCAAGCGUUGCGCCCAUGAUUUUUACUUUGAUGAGACAUAUUUUUAUGCUAGGGAUAUUUUCUAUCUUUAGCACAUAUCUCAAGGAUAUUUCCCAUCAAUGUUAAUACAUAUGCUAUAGAUAUUUUUCCUUUUUAAUACAUAUGUUAGAGAUUUUUCUCAUCAGCAUUAAUACAUAUGCCAGAGAUAUUGUUUUUUCCUCUUUGAUACUAUCAUAGCAAUAUUAUGCUUUGGCCUCUUAUCUUCAUAAAUAGACUCAUGAGCUAUAAAUAAACCAUAAAUCCUUCAACUAUGAGGUUCAAAAUCUCUAUUCUCUUCCGCAUAUUUAUUUUCAAAGUAUCUCUAUAUAAGAUUAUUAUAUUUUUUUCUCAAAAAGUUACUAACUUAAUUAUUAUAAAAUCCUCAAAUUCACCAAAAUGAACCUUUUUACAAGUAUCAAGCUUCAGCCACCAGUCAUCUCGAGGAGAGAGUUGAUCAUAUUUUCAAAAUAAAGAGAUUAACUAAUUAUUUAAGAUAUAAACCUUGCUUCCAAGCUGCUUAAAUUUUUUAGGACAUCAUCACAAAGAUUUUAUUAUUAAGAAUUUAAAACACUACCAGAAAAUUGAUAAAUACAAACAGAAAUACUGAGGGAAUAUUUUUGUCGGUAACUUUUCGAUGCAUUUUACCGAUAGACAUAUACUUUCGGUAUAUACCGAGAGAAUUACAAUGUCAAAAAAAUUUAAACAAAGCAAAAACAAACGAUGACAUGUCAUUUUUUACCAACAAAAUUACCGACGAAAUAAAUUUCAUCGGUAAUUCCGUUGGUCAAAUGUUAACAUUGUUCAUCAUGUUAAUUACAAAUGGAAUCACCAAUAGAAAAUUUCAUCGGUACUCUCCAGAGAGCUCCGGAACUAUUCACUCCCCAAUUGCACCGUUAAUUUUUUUUUUUUAAAAGACAAAAUCACCAACGAAUUAAAAAGUCGUCGGUGUUAUUUGGCAAGUUUUUAAAAAAUUUUGAUUAAAUUGAAAAUUUAAAUUACAUAUUACAGACGGAUUGAAAAAUCGUCGGUGAUAUUUGACGGUUUCUGAAAAAAAAAUUAUUAAAUUAAAUAUUAACGACGGCAUCACCGACGAAUAUUUAAAAAUAUUAAUAUUUAAUUAUCCAUCGGUAAACACCUCAAUUAAAAAGCUGGAAUCCUUAAUUUCACAACAAACAAGGCUCCUUUCUUCUUCUUCUUGUUCUUCAUAUGUAAAAAACAUCAACAUCCAUUCCUUUCUUUUCUCUUCUCUUGUCUCCUUAACUCCUUUUCUUCUCCAUGCUCAAGUAUGUAUUUUUCUCCUUCUUUUUUUUUUUAAAUUAAUAUACUUUAUGCUUCUUUUUUUUCUCUUCUUAGCUUCACUUGCAACUACAUUAAGGUAAGAUUUUUUUUUCUUCUUUUUUCAUGUUUUUUUUCACUAUAUUUAUUUUUAUUUUGUUUUUAAUUUUUUUUGUUCUUAAUAAUUGUAUGAAUGUUGUUGUAGGAUUUGUUUUUCCAUAUGAGAUCAAUUUUUAGUUGAUUUAUUUAUAGGAUUUUUAAAUUUUUAGCAAUUGCAACUCUAUUUUUUUCAUAUGAAUUUUUUUAGUUGAAUUUAUUUUUUCUUGUUAUUUAUUUGUUGCCAAUUUGUUUGAGUUGAUUUGCUUUUUUUUUUUUCAAGUGUUUUGAGUAUAUAGAUUGUUGAUUUAUAUUAAUUUUGUUAUUUUAUAGUUUUGUAAAAUAUAUUUUUAAAUAAUUAUCGACAGAAUUACAUACGAACUUACUGAGAAAAAUACCAACAGAAUGAAGCGGAUAAUUUUUUUUUGCAUACUUUUUCCAUCGGUAAAAUAAUUUUUUUAUUACCAGCAGACUACCGACGGAUAAAAAAUUAUCAAUGAAGGAUUCACCGACGGAGCAUUUCCAUCAGUAAUUUUAUUAAUAAAUUAAUUAUUAACAGAAUAAUAGUGCAAAUACCAACAAAUAAUUUUAUCAGUAAUUAAAUAUAAAGAUUAUGGUAGUGAAAAUUUUAUAUUGUAUCGUUCUUUUAGAAUAUUUUUUCUUGACUAUUGUAUACAUUUUUGUGUCAUUUUCUAUGUUAAUUCUACUUCUCAUCUUAAAAGAAAAGAGUUACUGGUUUUUUUUUUCUUUUUUUGAGAAAUCUUGAAUUUAAUUUUCGAAAUAAUAAUGUAGAAAGUAAUUAAUCCACUAGCCAUCAAACCCAUAAGGAAAUAAUAUCAUUUGAUAUUUUUGAUGAAAACUCAGAAAGUAAUAUUUAUUAAUACAAUCGUAUUUAUGGCACUGAAAUUGUAUUUAUGUUCUCCAUAUAUAUAUAUAUAUAUAUAUGACGUUUUGGAAAAGGUUUACGAGGUAGGGGUAGAAACACUUUUUGACAUUUCACAUGGCGUCGUUGAAGAGACAUGCCAAAAACGUGUUGGGUAAUUACCAUUGCUGUUAACGCAAUCAAUUAUCCAGAGUUAAUGCUGACUUUUUAGCUUUAACUCAUUUACUAAUAAUUACUCAUCUGAUUAAGUGAAGGGUUAGAGGCAGAUAAUGGAGGAACAGAACACCACCCUAAGGGCAUUUUGGUACUUUAAUAAAAGGAUCUUGUUUCUCUCAAGUUCUAUCUCUACAGUCUACAGUUGUGUCCUUAUUUCUUAUACAUAUCCAUGCCCCCAAAGAAAGUCAUACGUGUAUUGCUCUCCCCUUACCAACCUAAACACCUCCUCCAGCUCCCUCUCUUCACCUCCUUUCAUGGCUAGUGAGCACCAAGAAAACUCAAAUGCUGCACAGUACUUGCAGUAUUUUACAGACGAAGACAGCAAAAGUGAAGAAGAUGAAGGUGAAGAUGAAGAAGAAGAAGAAGAAGAUGUGGAGGAGGAAAGUCCACAAGAUUGCAAAGGCAUGUUCUUGAAUCUGUGCGGUGGUGGUUCUAAAAGAAGAGGGUGGUCUCUAGGACAGGUGUUAGACCCUAGAGGCAAAUGGGUUCAGGAAUGGAAUAGGGUUUUUCUCCUCGUGUGUGCCACAGGACUUUUUGUGGACCCUCUCUUCUUCUACGUCCUCUCAAUAAGCGACACCUGCAUGUGCCUAUUCGUCGAUGGGUGGUUUGCCAUCACGGUCACAGCUCUCCGGUGCAUGACUGAUGUUCUGUACUUGUGGAACAUGUGGUUGCAGCUGAAAAUAGCCAAGAGACCACAUGGUGGUGGUGAAAAUGGUGGAGAUGGAGAAAGAGGAGGGUCCCGAGUUGCCGGCCCUUGCUCCUCGGCUCUGAGGUACUUGAAGGCUAAGAAAGGAUUUUUCUUUGAUCUCUUCGUUAUUCUGCCUCUACCCCAGGUAAGAUUUUCAGCAAAUGACAACAGUAAUUAACAUUAAUUACCAUUCAAGUAACCAUCACCAGCAUAUUGAAUCUGUUAUGUCAUGACAACUCGUAUAUGACAGUGUUAUACACUAGCUGUUAAGUACAUUUUUUGUAUGCUAGUGUUUGAGAAGGUGACAAAUGCAAAUCCAUGCUAGUAGUUGUUUUUAGCCAUGGUUUCUUUUGAUAUGCAGGUUAACUCUCUCUCUGUAUAGGGUAGUGUAACCAUGUGAUCUAGCCAUGUCGUUUUUUCAAUUUAGAAAAGAAAAAAAAGGAUAAAAAUGGGUAAUGGAAAACAAACACAACGGUCUGUUGAUCAAUUUGAUGCUUGGUUUUUGGAAGGAACUCUAUGGUUUUCACUUUCCUAAUUAGGCUUGUUGGGAAGUUGACUUCGUGCCAUAUUAUAUAAUACAAUCAAAAGAACUUUUUCCAGGUUUUUAUAUAUGUUUACACACCUCACUAACUAUAUAAUAUAUAAUGAUUUAUAGAUAAUGUUUGUUAUUGUAAUGCAAAUGCUUUUUAAAAGUUUUUUUUUUAAACAAUAAUUUAAUGUUUUAUCAAGUGAAAUAUACUUUUUAAAAAUCUCGAAAAACAGAAAUUACUGUAUUUUCAAGCACUCAAUAAAUCCCAUAGAUAUAAUUAACCUGAACUAUAAAUAAUGAUUCUAUAAUUUAAUUUUAGAUUUCCGAAACAUACACUGAAUUGAUAUAAAUGGAAUGUUUCACUUUCAUAAAUCACUUAAUUUAAAAUUCAAUACUACAGAUUACAGAAAUUUACACUUUCAUUUUAAUAAAUUACCUGCUGAUUUUCCAUGAGAAAGUGACAUGGAAGCUAAUUUCAACGGAGUCUUCAAUGCUAUUUUGCCAUUCAAUAGUAGUUGAGGUCAGCUAUAUUCCUUAAUCUGGACUAGCAUACAAGAAAUAGAAAAUAAAAAUAAAAAUCUGGACUAAACUCUUACAAAUUAUGCGCAUAUGAUGAAGCAUUCCAUGAGUGCACUCAUGAUCUAGUACUAUUUCUAGAUUCCUGAAUUAAACUAGUUCUCUGUGUGAUUGGAAGUGUAGACGACGAUAUUUUCAUAAACCAAAUUCAAGGCUAAAAGGUGUCCAGGCCCCCACAUUAAUUAUCAAUCAGCUAUAAAUAUUCCCUAUAGGACGUAAAGAGUAGGUGCAGAUGCUGCCUGAAUAAAUCCGGUUCUGAAAUUGAGUCUCGACUUAGCUUUUCAUCAUCCAAGUUUCCAUUGAUUUCUUCCUAUACACGUGUCUGUCACAUGUCUUGCCGCAAAUGAUAUUUCUGAUGAGAACAUAAGUUCAGUCAGUAGAAAUAUUCGAUUUUAAUUCAAUAGCUUAGCUAACUUUUAGCUAAAGCUCUAAUGGCGGGUGAAGGUGAAAUAUAUAGUUAAAUAGAUGAGAUUAAGGAGGUCUGAAAAGGAAAAACGAGAGCGCUGUUGUUUUUCAUGUCCAAGCAGUCGUUAUCAAAUUACAUGUUUCUAGGAGACAGGGGUUCGCAGCUGUUUGGAAGGCAAGUGGUAGACAGAAAAUUGUGGGUACAAAUAAAGUUACUUUCAAAUGGGAACUUUAGAAAGAAAAUUUUUUUAAGAAAAGGUUGAGAUUUGAAGAUUUCUUUUUAAAAAAAAAAAAUCAACUAAAAUCUGCUAAGCAGAGAAAAAUUACUUAUAAUUAAUUGUGCAGUAAGAAACUAAAGAAGUUUAAUCUGGACAAGAAUAUUUGCUUACUUUUCAAUAUGUCAGUAGUUGCUGCAAGGAUAUCUAUAUAUUAGCUUACAAGUCAUAUCAAAAUAAUUCUAUACUUGCUAGUUUUGAUGACUCACAUGUUGGAUGUUCUUGCAAGACAUAGGUUAUCUCUAGGCCCUUCUAGCUCAAUGUAAUUGAUCCUAGAGGUGCUUUCGACAAAAAUAAAAACUGCUUUUACAAAUUCAUUUUUUAUCUUGGCAUUUCACAAAUAUAUAUAUAUAUAGUAGCAUUUAUGUUAACUUUAGUGGUGGUUAUGGUAUAUUUUCACUGAUAUUGACUCCAGCAUAUAUAUUUAAGCAGAAUAUUAAUUGAAUUUGACAGAAUUACUGUUCAGAGUCAUUGUCGAUCGUAAGAAAGAGAUACAUAUAUCAGUUAAAGUAGAUAAAAAUAUCCCAUAAAUUAAAUAAAUAGUGCUGAACAUAUACAAGAAAAGCAAAUAUUGCUUGAAAUGCCAUUGCAUGUAUCUAUAGAUGACGGCCCUCUUAUACGCUAAGUGAAAGUGACAAAGAGAAUGAAAGUGUCCAUGAUUUGCUGAAGUUGACACACACAGGAUCAUAUAUGCUUGCUUUCCUCACUGCAGAUUGUAUUGUGGGUGGGAAUUCCAUCUCUGCUGCAAAAAGGAUCAGUAACGCUACUGAUGAACGUGUUUCUGAUCAUUUUCCUCUUCCAAUAUCUCCCAAAAAUACACUAUUCCGUCUGCCUCCUUCGACGCAUGCAAAGUAUCUCUGGCUAUAUAUUUGGAACUGUUUGGUGGGGAAUCGCUCUCAACAUGAUUGCUUACUUUGUUGCAUCACAUGUAAGUUUCCCUUAUCUAUAUAUCUCCUAUAUCUUUUUAAUAUAGCUGUUUUAAGCCUUCCUUUUUGUAUGUUCUUGAGUUUUGUGUCCUUAAAGUGAGAUAUCACCCUCGCAUGCUUUUGGCCACGCAAAAUGGAUAUAUACAUAGACGCUAAGGGAAAUUCACAUAAUCUUUUUUUGGUGAAAAAAUUUACAUUUGAAAUUUUAGAUAAUCGUAUGCAUGUGAAGAGGAAGACAAAAAUGGGUUAUAUAUAUAGUUGUGUAUUUUAAGUUAAUAAAUAUAUUUUUUCCAUAUUAAUUCAUGAAUGUUCCACUUGUAGCUUAAAAUGUUUCGAUGUUAACUCUAUAGUUUUUAAUUUUGUACUUUCCCAAUAUAAUACUAAUAAAAAAAAGCUUGGUACGUUUUUUUUUUAAUUUUAAUUUUAAUUUCUCCUCUUUUUCUUCUCAAAUUAAUCCUUAUAAACAUUAUAAUACCUCACACACUUAAACACUUUAAAUAACUUAAGAAAACCAAAUUAAGAACAGAAGGUUGUUUAACAACUACGUAUGGUAGCAUUGGGAUUUUUAGAAAAACAGGAGAGUAAUAUGGAGAAUUCCUAAUUAAAGGAACAAAGAUCUAAGUAUGUGCUUAAUAUUUAAAAAAAAAUUAGAAUUUUUUUUAUUUUUAAUAUCAGUGUAUCAAAUAAUUAAAAAAUAUUAAAAAAUAUAUCAAUUUAAUAUUAUUUUUUUAAGUAAAAUACAUUAAAAAUACGUACCAUUUUUCACGUUUUGAACUUCUUUAUUGACUGUGAAAACAAUUUUAUCAACUGCGAUACUCAGAGCAGUAAAAAGUCCUAAAAGGGAUUCUCAAAAGAAGUAAUUUAUCAGCUUCGAUUUGUUAUCUUUUGAACUUUUAAUUAUUUAGGCCCUGCUGGAUUCUAGUGCCAUGGAAGUAGUGAAACUAGUCACGAAGCAAAGAUUCUCCAUUGAAUAAACAAAUAUAAUUUCUUAUAUAAAGAAGCCUUUUAAUCAUAUAAAGAUGAAAAGUAAAAGAGCACGAUAAUUGAUCUCUUUGACAGAUAUCGAUCCAAAUUAUUUUGUGAGUUUUUUUAUAUAAUUAUUAAUAAAUAAAGUAUAAAUAUAGUUAAAUCCCACUUCAAAUUUCUUGAUUCGAAUCUAAACCAAUACAUAUAGCAUAAAUUGUCGUUUAAUACAAACAUAAUUUAAUUAUAUAUUAUUUUAUUUCAUAUUAAAUAAUAAAUAAUAUUUAAAAACCAAUAAUUAGGGUUUGGAUAUAAUAAAAACCCAAUCCACCGGUAACCACUGUCAUCCUUACUCUUUCCCAACUGUAAACCGUAAAGUUACUCUUUUCCAACUGUAAACCAUAAAGUAUUGGAUCAAGGAGACAAUGCAUGAUUUUACAUAUUAAUUUAUUAGGAGGACUGAAUUUUCCCUUCUUAAAAUAUUCAAACGAACGUGUGCAGGCAGCAGGGGCAUGUUGGUACUUACUGGGAAUUCAAAGGGCUGCAAAAUGCUUGAAAGAACAGUGCAUGGAAACAUCGGGUUGUGGCCUGGGAUUGUUGUCUUGCAAAGAGCCUAUUUACUAUGGAACAACAAGAAAAGUGAUGGAGAAGGCGAGAUGGGCAUGGGCGGAUAACAAGCAAGCAAGAUCCAUGUGCUUAGACAGCCCUGAUAAAUAUGAUUAUGGUGCAUAUAAAUGGACCGUUCAGCUGGUGACCAAUGACAGCAGAUUAGAGAAGAUACUCUUCCCUAUCUUCUGGGGCCUGAUGACUCUCAGGUAAUUUGAUCGACGGUGAUCCUCAACACGGACGCUCUGUCCGGCGGUACACCGUACACUAAACAAAACUCACGAGAAAGAAAUUCAAGAUUAACCAUCGAUCAUCGAUAGAUACUCUUCUUCUUAUUUUUCUGACAACCAUGUGUUUUCAUCACAGCACUUUUGGGAACCUGGAGAGCACAACUGAGUGGUUAGAGGUUGUUUUCAACAUCAUUGUUCUAACGAGUGGGCUGCUCUUGGUCACCAUGUUGAUUGGGAAUAUCAAGGUGAUCUCGUUUUAUUCAACUUUAUUAUUUCUCAAUGCUUCGUAGAUAGGUGACAGUGGCAGGUGCUACCCCUUGAUUAAUGGAAUAGAUUCCGUAUUUACUGUGCUUGACAAUGGCCACUCGUGGAGGGCAUUUCACCCUCACACCGUUCAAUUCUUUCAAGGAAUCCGUUUUUGGGAUAGUCCAGCAUGCAUUAUCCAGCAAAAUUAUAGAGCUAUAAAGGGGGCCCACCAAGUGUUCCCUGUUUUUCAAACCAGCACCCAUUCUUCGUCUUCUUCUUCUAAUUUAAUUCCCUUUACAGAACUUCAUUUUCAUUUGUGUUAAUCAUCGAGAGAAAGAAGAUUAUGUUUACACCAUUGUUUGUGCAUGAAGGUGUUCUUGCAUGCGACCACAUCAAAGAAGCAAGCAAUGCAAUUGAAGAUGAGGAAUAUAGAGUGGUGGAUGAGGAAAAGGCACUUGCCUACGGGGUUCCGGCAGCGAGUGCGCCACUACGAGCGGCAACGGUGGGCGGCGAUGAGGGGUGUUGAUGAAUGUGAGAUGAUCCGGAACCUCCCUGAGGGCCUUAGGAGGGACAUCAAGUACCAUCUUUGCCUGGAUUUGGUGAGACAGGUAAAUGCCAGAGUACCCAGCUAUUUUCUUUUUAAUCUUUAUUUUUUUUCCCUGUGGGUCUCAUGGGGUCCGAUACAGUUAAGAAAAACAAAAUUGUGGUUUUUAUUAUUAUUAUGAUUAUAUUGACUGUAUCUUCUUCCUAUUAUACAAUGGGCUUCUAGUCCACGCACAUUUUAAAAAGAAAAAGACUGCUGAGCUUCCAUUUAUUGGCCUGUGAUUCAAGACCAACCACCGCAUUCGUUUUCAGUCCAAUCAGAUCUGGGCUUUGCAAAUUCUCUGUUCUCAAAUUAUAAUUUUCGAGGGUUUGUUUCAAAAAUCCGUUUCAGGUACCACUGUUCCAACACAUGGAUGAUUUGGUCCUCGAGAACAUUUGUGACCGUGUGAAGUCUCUCAUCUUCACAAAGGGAGAAACAGUAAGUUCCUCUUAUGAUCCAAAGCAGAAAUUUAUUGUACGGGAAACGUUGCCAAGAGCGGGCAGAGUUGCUCACGCGUGAGUAAUAAAAUCAUUUUCUUGAACAUUCCUAAUUGCUAGAUGAAUUUCUUGUAGAUUACAAGGGAGGGAGACCCCGUCCAAAGAAUGUUAUUUGUAGUAAGGGGACAUCUCCAAAGUAGCCAAGUUCUCAGAGACGGUGUCAAAAGUUGUUGCAUGCUAGGGCCUGGGAAUUUCAGUGGUGAUGAGCUCUUAUCAUGGUGCCUGAGAAGACCUUUUAUCGAACGCUUGCCACCGUCUUCAUCGACGUUGGUGACUCUUGAAACCACCGAGGCUUUUGGCCUGGAAGCUGAAGACGUGAAAUACGUGACGCAACACUUCAGGUACACAUUCGUUAAGGAGAGAGUUAAGAGAAGCGCAAGGUAUUAUUCACCUGGAUGGAGAACUUGGGCUGCUGUGGCUAUUCAGCUGGCUUGGAGAAGGUAUAAGCAUCGGCUAACGCUUACCUCAUUGUCAUUUAUAAGGCCUAGAAGACCUUUGUCAAGGUGUUCUUCUUUGGGAGAGGAUAGGCUUCGGCUUUACACGGCUCUCUUAACUUCACCGAAGCCGAAUCAGGAUGAUUUUGACUUUUGAAAAUGAUCAAGUGCUGUAUAAUAUGGUACAUUUCGUUGUUGAAAGGCAGUUGCAUUAUAUUAUUUGGCUACUUUCUUAGUAGCUAUAAGGCCCCCGUUACUUCAAAAAAAAGAGAGAGAAUACCUGGCAGCAUGUGACCUACCAUCUCAUAAACGGAGGCCAAGUAUACCUUCGAUGCGCCAUAAGAUGGAUAUUCGUGGCGAAAAAACAUCCAUAGAAGAGAAAUAUCUUAAAAUAAAAUCAAAACUCAAAUUCAAGUGGAAUAGGAAUACAAUUAAAGGUACUUUUCAAUUAAAAUAUAUGUUUUCUUUUCUUAAAUAACCUUUUUAAAGCUUUCUCAAUAAACAGGUAUUUGAUAUUUAAUGAAUAGAAACAAGUUCCAUUUAUCUUUUUUUUUAAUAAGAUAAUCGCUCUUAUUUCAUUGAUUAGAAUAUUUUAUAAAUUCUUCACAAACUUAUAUAAAUGUUCCCUUUCAUUCUGAGUUUUUUACCUUUUAAAAAAAAUUUCUUAAAAAAAAAAACUACCAUAUAUGUCCCAUCAAUUGAUGUUGUUGUAACCUAUUUUUGGGUACCCACACAAAAAAUAAUAAAAUCAAAAAAAUAAAAAAAAAUAUUAUAAAAAAAAUAUAAUAGUGAAAAAAAAGAAGAUGACAGAGCGCCCUAAAAGUGCUAAAAAUUGAUUGAGGAUGUUCAAAAAUAUAAAAAUUAAAAUUUAACGGUAUAUCAUUGACUGAUGAGAGCCAUGUUGACAAAGAAAAUUAAAUUUGAAGAAGAAAAGUCCAAAAUCAGAAGUUUAUGGACUCAAUUAAAUUUUAUUGGAGGUUUAAUUGAAUUUAUAGAGGUUUUAAUUGCAAGAAAAUUUGAUUUUGGAGUUAAUUUGGGCUUUAAUUGGAAGAAAUUCAAGUUCUGGGGUCAAAUUAUAAUUUUUGGAAGUUAAUUUGGUCAAAUCAGGAGCUUAAUUGCAUAAAUAUUGAAGUUUAAUGGCCAAUUAGGGACUUAAUUGAAGAAAUCUGAGACCAAGGACUAAAUUGCAAAACACAAGCAAAUUGAAGGCCUGAUUUUGAAUGACGCGUUUUGGCGUCAAUUCCCAAUUAAAUGAAACAGUGCGUUUUGGGUAAAACGGCGUCGUUUCAUGCACUGUUUACAAAAAAAAAAAAAUAGGACCGAAACAGUGUCGUUUUAAACGACACCCAUGUCUUCUUCUUCCCCUGGACGCGCAAAGCAGGGGAAGAAGAAGAAGAUCUUUUUCCUCUCUUCCACUGCCAGCUCUCUCUCAAAAAGACGCCGACAACCCACUUGCUUGCCACGUGGUGGACGAAUGGAAGGGACGUACCACUUAGGCGGUUCGGGGCGGCAGCACAGUGAUCACCCCAGCCACAUCUCCCUCCCCUGUUUUUGCCUAUAAAAAUAGGGGAAGGGGAAGAAAAAAAGCAGACCGAGAGAGGGAGAAAGAGAGAGAAGGGAAGACUGAAUUAGAGAACAUACCGAGAGAGAGAGAGAGAGAGAGAGAGAAGAGAGAACAAAAAAUAGAAUAGAGAAGAGGGAGAAGAGGAGAAGAAAAUGAAAGAAAAAGAAACAGAGCAUAUCGUAGAGAAGGGAAGAAGGAGGACCGCCGCUGGAACUACCGUUCAACCGAAGGCCACCGCUGGACGAUUGAGGAGUCUCUAGGUAAACCAUCCGUCCUUUUAUCUUGGAAUUCACUUCUUCCCUCGCCAUGCAAGACAUGCACAGUGCACGUUUGCAAGCGAGGAGAAGCUGGUUACUGUGCUCAUGCACAAUAACCAGCUAAUGUGUGCUAGGCUCAUGUAUUUGGCCCAUUUCAAAAAAAAAAAUAUUACACUUGUUUCUGAAUUUUUACAAUUUUUCCGUGUAGUUUUUUAUGUCAUUUUGCUUAAUAUCGGUAUGUAUUUUAUGUCAUUAAAAAUACAAAAUCCGGUAUUAAAAUACCCGGUUUUCGUCAAAACUUCCAAAAAUACAAAAAAAAUUGAAAAAAGAGAAAAAAUGUUUCUGUGCAUCUGGCCAAGUGUCUCAAAGCUAAAAAAUCAUAUUGUAUUUUUCAUACACCAAAAAACAGUGUUUUAGCAUGUAUUUUAUUUUGUUUGAUUUUAGUAUCAGGGAUUAUGAAUUUAUACGUAAAACAUAUUCCCGAUAUUAAAAAGAUAUUUGCUUUUGACGACUUAGAAUAGUUAGGUUUUUACCCGAUAAGAUAAGGAUCUCCUUACAGAGGAGGACUUUUCUUAAACCGUAAACUGACCGAUAAUUAGAAACCACAACAAGACUUUAGAUUUUAUCAGAUAAAACAAUGCAACUUACCUUAUAUAGGGCGUAGUUGGGGUGUUAUUACCUUCCCUUUAUGCAACCAGUCUCCGUACCCGAUCUCUGAGACCAGUUAGGGUUCCUAAUGACCAGAAUACUAGAUGACGACUCCCAGUCUACAUUUUACUGAUAAGAGACAAGAAUUUCUUGUCUCUACACAUUUGCCAGGAAUAAACCAUAUUCAAUUUUUUUUUAGGGUGGACGAUCACCGCGAUGCCGCACACGUGCGACAAAUGUAUAUACUUUUUUUUCUUCUAUGUUUUUUAUGAUCAACUCAUCACAUGAAGAAGAAAAGGAAGAAGAAGAGUUCUUCCAUCUUCAUUUAAAAUAAAUUCUUCUAUAUAGAUAUAUUUUAAUUUAUCCUUUAAGAAUUAUAUAAUGCCUCAAUUUCAUUUAAAAAUUUUAGUUUAUUUUAAUCAAUCCUCAUAAGAUUCAUAAUUUCUAUAAGAUCAAUCUUUGUAAAACAAGAAAAACUAAUUGACUUUUUUCCAUCAAUUUUUUUCUAAAAUAAAAUAAUUGAUGUUGGUACUAUUAAAUAAGAAUAAAAGAUGUGAAAGAACCAUUAAAAUAUGUUCGUUGUAAUUAUAAGGAGCCAUCGACUAUAAAACAUUUUGAACAUUCAGCAAUUCAAGAAUAUGGUGAAAAUAAAAAUUCUUGAAUUCUAAAAAAGAAACUGCAACUUUAAUAGUUUAUAAUUUUUUCAAGCAUUUUAUCAAAUAAUUGGUGAGCAACUUGAAUCUAUAGCUUGCCAAUAUAUCUUUACAAACUCCAAAGCUAAUCUGCAAUGGUUCAGAUUAUAACCAAAAUAUUUUGUAACAUGAAAUCAUGGAUGAAGAAUCUGAAGUUUCAGCUGCCAUGCUCUCACCAAUAAUAGUUUAUCACUAUCAUUAUCACAACUCCACAACUGAAGAACUUUAAGACAGCGAAAAAUAAAAAUCUUAUAGAAAAACUGAAUUUCAUUCAUAUUGUUUUUUUUGUUAUAUGGCAAGGAAAGAUUCUUGCACAUAAUUUCUCCAAAUAAUCUCGCUAAGAUUACAUAUUAAUAAUAAGAGAGCAUAAUCAUAUCUAAACUAGGUACCGAAUAAAUUACAUUAGGCAAUAACAUAAUGCUAGAAUAUCUAUAGAAUCAUAUUCAUCAAUAGCUACAUCUGUAGAAUUAUUUUGUCAUCAACAGUUGCAGUAUCUUCAAUACUCCCCCUUAAGCUAGAUCGAGCGGAUUGGUAGAUCCAAGCUUGCUUAACAACCGGUGAAUUUGAGUAGAUGGCAGAGCUUUUGUGAGCACAUCAGCUAAUUGAUCAUGAGAACGUAUAUACUGAGGUUGGAUGAGUUUGGCUUCAACUUGUUGAUGUAUGUAAUGACAAUCAACUUCGAUGCACUUUGUGCGUUCAUGAAAUACCGGAUUGAACACAAUAUGCAUAACAGCUUGAUUGUCACAAAACAAUUUCAUAAGAGUAACGUUAUGAAAUCUAAAAUCAGCAAGAAGUUGUUUGAGCCAUAUCAGUUCGCAAGUAACAGAGUCCAUAACAUGAUACUCUGCUUCAACACUUGAUCGAGCUACGAUGAAAUGUUUCUUGCUUCUUCAGGACACCAAAUUGCCACCUACAAACAUACAUUAGCUGGUGGUAGAUCGACAAUCGAGAGAAUUUCAUGCUUAGUCAAAAUCAGCGUAUCACAUGAUAUGAUUAUGACCAUUACGAUUCAUAGCUAUACAACGACCAAUGGUGCCUUUCAGAUAUCGUAAGAUAUAUUUAACCAUACCAAGAUGUUGAACUGUUGUAGCAUGCAUAUAGCCACUCACAAAACUGAUAGCAAAUGUAAUAUCUGAUCAGGUGAUUGUUAAGUAAAUUAGUUUGCCAACAAUCUUCUGAUAGUAAGUGUAAGAAACAAGAGGUUUACUGGAAAAGUCCAACAUUAAUUUGUUGUCUAAAGGGUUUAUAACAGGCUUAGUGUACAAUAGAUCAACAUCCUACAAUAGAUCAACGAUGUACUUACGUUGAUUGAGAAAGAAUCCUUUACGGGAGGCUGUCAUUUCAAUGCCUAAGAAAUACUUCAAGAGGCCAGGAUCUUUAAUAAAAAAAUUAUUGCUGGAGAGAUCUUUUAAGUUGAGUUAUGGAAUCAUCAUUACUCACUGUUAUAAUGAGAUCAUCUACAUAUAUUAGCACGACUAGUUUAUGAGCAGAACCAAGUUGAAUGAACAAAGAGGAGUCUGCAAUACUUCUUGUAAAACUGAGACCUUCAAGAUUAAUACUUAAUUUAGCAUGCCAAGCAUGAGAACUUUGCUCUAGGCCAUAAAUAGAUUUGUGAAACUUGCAAACCAACAUAGAGUUUCCACUUUGAGGAUAUCCAGAAGGAAGUUUCAAGAAUACUUCUUCUUCAAGGUCACCAUGUAAAAAUGCAUUACUAACAUCCAUUUAGCAGAGAUACCACCCCUGGUUGAUGGCAACAGAAAGAAGAACUCUAACAGUAGUCAUAUUAGCCACAUGAGCAAAUGUCUCUUUGUAAUCAACACCAAACUUUUGAGUAAAACUUUGUGCAACUAGAUGAGUUUUGUGCCGAUCAACUUUCCUAUCGGAUGUAAACUGUCUUGAAUAUUCAACGACAUCCGACAACUUCCUUGCCAGUAGAUAGCGAUACUAUACUAUUAUACUUCAUGUGUGAGUUUUAGUAAGAGCCUUUAAUUCUUCAUUCAUGGCUUGCUGUCAUACUGUCUGUAAUUGAGCUUUCUUGAAGUUCUUUGGUUCAUGAACAUUUGAUAUAAAGGUAAGGAAUGCACUAUAUAUUAGAGACAGUUGAUGAUAAUACAUAAAUCUAGAAAUAGGAUGCCUCACAUUAUAGGUGAGAUAAUCUUACAUUCGAGAUAGCGAUUGACAUGUUCAAAAAGAAACUCUUCUAGUAGCUGGUAGAACAUCAAAAGAACUAGAUAGUUCUGAUUCACUAAUACAGUCAAGUCUAGGAUUGUUGGAAUCAGAGACAAACUGAAGUUUAUUAUUUUGGUCAGUUUGUGGUUGAUGUUUUCGCAGAACAUCAUUGCUAUAAAUGGAUGCAAUGGAGGACUAAGUUUGUUAGUCUGGAUUGAGAAGAAUACAAUCAGUACUGGGAAUAGUAGACAGAAGUUGAUUAGUAUUCUCGAUACUAGGCAAAGGAAAAAAAUCAGACAAGAACUCCCCCUGUUUUCCUACAAGAAAAUAUGGUGUGUUUUCAAGAAAUGUAACAUCUCUGGACACAUAUAACUUCUUCAACAACAUGUCAUAGCAUUUGUAUUCUUUUUAGGAUGUGGAGUAGCCCAAAAAAAUAGAUUUGCCUUCUUUAGGAUCUAAUUUGUCACGGUGUGUAGCUAAAAAUGCAUCCAAACACUUUAAUGUGAGAUACAUUUUGAAUUUUAUCUUGCAAAACUUCAAGAGGAGAUUUAAAUUCCAACACUCGACUAGGUAAGUGAUUUACAAGAUAAACAGCCGUAAGGACUCUAUAUGAUUAAAAAUCUUUUGGAACAUUCAUUUGAAGCAUAAUAACACGAGUUUUUUCAAGCAGAUCAUGAUUUUUGCAUUCAGAUAUUCCAUUUUAUUGAGGUGUGCCAAUAUAGCUAGUCUGAUACAGAAUUCUAUUAGAAUGUACAUAUUUUGACAUGUCUUUGGAUAUAUAUUUGGUGUCAUUAUGAUGCAACCAUAUUAUUCGAUAGUUUCACCCAUAUUUAAUUAGUGUUUUACAUAUAUUUUAUAUAUAAAAUGCCUUGAUAUUCUUUGUUUUAUGUUUUGAAGGCACUUUUGGAUGAAAGAUGCAAAAAGGAGUAAAUUAGAGGUAAUUGGCAUAUUUGACCUCCAGUCGAUGUUUUGUGCAGAGCGUGAGCUCUAAAGCUCGAAAUGAAGUGAUUCUAGUGGGAUUAAAAAGCUAACAUCCAUACCUUUCUGGACAUCUAAGGCAAGACAAUAAAAUAAGGAAGAGCAUGGAAAUCGCAGCUUUCAAAUUCAAAUCUCGCAAUCUGCCAGUGUUGACCUUCGGUCAUUCCGACUUGAAUAUCUGGAGCUACAGAAGUCCAAUUGAUGCAAACUCAAUUUUUUUGGAUUCCUGACUCAAAUUCCUAGAAACGCUCCAAAUUUUAGAAAAAAAAAAUAUUUCAUAUAAGGGAGAUAUGAUUUUUCAAAGAUGACAACUAAAUUCUGCCAGCAAACAGGUUUCGUGAAGAAACGAGUCCAAAUUACGUUCCGAAGCAUUUAAACCGAUAUCUAAGUUUUUAUUUCAGCAAUUUAGCUUCUCUAAGUCAAAGCUUAAAGAUUUCCUGCAAGACUAUUUCUUCUUUUUUAGGAAAAUAGUUAUUGAAGUAAUUAAAUGUAAACAGUCUACUUAAGAGAGGACUGUUUUGUAAAAUAGAGACUAGGGUUUCAUAGGAUAUAAAAAGAAUGAGAUUAGAGUAGGGGGGCAGCCAUCCAACAAGAGAAAAAUGCCCCCCCUACUCUAAGAAACCCUAAAUCAUGCAUUCUUCCUUGUUUUUGAUUAGUUGUUCAACAAACAUGCAAGGCUAAACUUGUUUUCUUGGUUGCAAGGACAUGGAAACCUUCGGAUUUCAAGAACUGUGAGAUUUAUUUUAUCUUUUCUUUUCAGUUUAUAUAAUGAAUAUGUUUGUUCUCCUAUGCUUAUUUUUCUUAUGAUUGUUUAUUUUAAUUGCUAGAGCGGACUCUAAGUUAUUAUUGUAGACAAUUUAUUGCUAAGUUUGAUAUCAAAACCGAAGUUGUGGUAUAUGAACUUGUGAAGUAACUGAGUUUAAUAAUUAUAGCGGAUCUACGUUAUUAAUCUUAGGGAGAAUAUUCAAUCAAAUCAAACAUAGACUGCGGACAGUUAUGUUUUCUUGAUUAAUCAACUUAUCUAGUUCUUAAGGCUGUCAUUGAAUUAAAUUACUAGUGCGGACACUGUGGUUGUUUAAUGGUUAGGGUUAGUUAUACGGCGGAUCCGUUAACUAACCAAUGUUAAGAACAGAUAAAUAUUCAGAAUAUAAAUUGAUGUUUUGUUUCCAUGAUCAGUUCUGAUUUCUAUAUGUGGAUAUGUGCUUGCGACCGAGGUUUGUUCUCUUGAUAAUUUUUUGAUUUUAUUAAAUUUCAUUUGAUAGUUUUUUUGUUUUAGCCUAGAUAACAUCCAAACCCCCCCCCCAAAUUGCAUAUCAUCUAGCAUAAAAAUCUGACUUGAAUCUUCCUCGUGGGAUUGACCCCUUGCUUGCUCUAUAUUAUCUUGUGUGUUGUGUUUAAAGCUAGGGUGACCGCGACAUCGCAACACAUUAUCAGAUCAAAAAAUUUUAUAUGAGCAGAAAAUUGAUUAAGGAUUAACAAAUAAAAAUCCUUAAAACAAUUGAAUACGUCAUGUUUAGUUUUCAGCAGGUACACCUAAUAACUUUAAAGAAAUCAUCGAUGAAUCAAUGGAAGUAUAAAAAGGAACCCAUACAUUUAAAUGAACAAGUUCAAAGGCAUAGGUGGUUUUCAACACCAAAGAAGUAAAAGGAAGUCUUAUAUAUUUCAAAAAAUGACAAAUAUCAUAAUUUAGAGGUUAAUGUGUUUGAACCAAUUUUAUUUUAGGGUGCGUUAGACGAUGAUGCCAUAAGAGCUUCUCAUGUGAAGGGUUAGUUGUUGUUUGAAAACCUCUGAAGAUUUAAGAUUUAUGAGAGAUAUAAUAAAGACCAUGUAGAAAAAAUCCUUCACCAAUCUUUUUAUUGGUGACAAAAUCUUGAAACACAACCUUGGAGAGGGUAAAAAUCACUUCACAGUUUAGAGUAGAUGUAAUUUUACUAACAAAAAGCAAUUGAAAUGGAAAAUAUGGUAAGAAAAAAAACAUUUGACUCUUUCUUAUUGGAGAGUAGGUUGAUCUUUCCCUUCCUUUUAACAUAAGCAUUUUUCCCAUUAGCAAAAGACAUAAAAGUGGGACAGAUCAACAAAUGACUUAAGAUCGUGAAUGCUAUUUAAUUUAUUUGACAUGUAACUAAUGGCACCAUAAUUAAUUAUCCAAAGAUUAUGUAAAUUUAUAAGUUCUAACACAGUCAUGAAAGCAAUCAGUUUACCUUGGCUAUUUUUCAGGUCAGUCUCCGCUAAAAAAAUCAGCAAAAUGACUAAGGAGGGCAGCUUAUUGCUUCUGGUCUUGAAUGGUUGGUUGAUCAUGUGACUUUUCUUGGCUUUGUUUGUCUCGCAAAUAAUUUGCAAAAUCAAAUAUCAAAGUUGCCGGGUUGGCAGAAAAAAUCUCGGUGGAACUGGAAUUAUUAUGUGCAAGGCAUGACUUAUGAUUAUUUGCACGUCCAGGUUGUCUUCUCAAAUCCUUUUGCAAAUUUAGGCUUGAUUUUGGGAUGCAAAAGCCAAUAGCAAUCCAUAUGAUGACCAAGAUUGUGAUAGUAUUGGCACUUCAAAUCAGUUUGUUUCCCUUUGUAAGAUUUAUUAUCAUAUAGUGAUUUGUAUUGACCAUGAUUAGUGGUUCAGAAUUCAUAUCUUGCAGCAACAACUUGGUAUGAUAUGCACGAGUAUUAGAUACUCCAACUUCACGAGUCUUUACCUUUCUGCGUAUUUCUUCACGUUGAAUAGUAGCAUAAAAUGACAGAGUAUGGCCAAAUAUACUAAUUGCCUCUUCAAACUCGAGUUACAAUUCAAUGCCUAAAUCUUCCUGCUUUCAGCUUGCAUUAGAUUACUGUGAUUAUGAUUAUGAUUAUAACUAUAAAAUAAAUUUAUUUUAUAAUUAGCACCUAUUACACUACAAGAUUUCACAGUUUUACCGACGGACAUAUUCCGUCGGUGUGUGACAGAACGUUCGUCGGUAAAUUAUUUACCGACUAUAUUACCGACGGAAUACUCCCGUCGGAAUACCUUUUGUCGGUGAUUCCACAUUCCGUCGCUAUAUCCGUCGGUAAUAAAAAAAACACAUUUACCGACGGUUUUACCGACGGCCUGUGCGCGCCAAAAAAAAAAAGUUUCCCGCUUGGAAUAUACCGACGGAAUACAUUCCGUCGGUGUUAUGUAAAUACCGACGGACUAACUCCGUCGGCAAAAGUGUCGGUGAUAUUUCAUACCGACCGAAUAAAUCCGUCUGUAAAUUCGUCGGUAUUUGUAUACCGACGGAUUAUUUCCGUCGGUGAGUAUGUCGGUGAUGGGAUGGCAUACCUCAGACACUGUCCAAUGCCGACGGAUUUAUUCCGUCGGUAAAUCCCUGUGUAAUUUUUUUUUUAAUUAUUUAGAAAAAAAUAUAAUUAAUAGUAAUACAAACCAAUUAUGCAAAUAAAAUUUAUAUUAAGCAACAAAAACUCAAAGUUAAAUAAUAUUCAUUACAAAAUGAAUGUGUUUAAAAAAAAACAAUUAAUAUAAAGGUGGAGGAGGAGGAGGAGGAGGAGGGUGGGGGUUAGGCGGCCAAAAAGGAUUAGGCGCACAUGUUCCGCCUUGUGUCAUGUUCAUGACCAUUUGACGAAGCUCUUCAUAGGCCGCUCUUUGUUGUUCAGACUCUGCUCUGCGUUGUUCGUCCGCCAAUCUGUGUUGUUCGUUCGCCAAUCUUUGCUCUUCUUUGAGUUGUGUGUACGCCUCUGAUAGGUGGUCGCACCUUUGCUGCAAGGCCACAAACUCCUUAGAUUGGGAGCUCGAUACAGAUUGGGAGCUCCCACCGGUUGAAGCAGUACCGGUCGACCGCAACUUGGCAGCGGUAGUGUUGGAGAGCCCGUAAACCCGAUUUUUAUCGGGUCCACCUGACGAUCCAGCCUCCAUCCACAAAUCCGGAUCGAAUUCCGGAUGGGUCGAAGGAUCAUCCCCGUAUCUCUCCCUCAACCGAUUAUUAUAGGUCUCCUGAAAAAAAAAAUCAUAUUCAAUUCAAUAAACAUAAUAAUAACUUACAAAAUAAAAUGGUUAAACAAACACACCACAAACUGUUGAGCACGGUUGUCAACGAACUGUUGCGUCCCCUUUUGGCGGUCAUGACUCCGCACGUGCGUCUCCACAAACAGCUCCAUAGGGCUCGGCUCACGUCCAAGAGACGUAGCCUAUAUAUAAUGAAAAAAAUGUAUUAACAACAAAUUAAUUGAACGAUAUAUUUCAUUUAAAUUAAUCUUACCAUCCGUUUCGCAUGUGCAGCAAACGGAACGGAGCCGCCGGUGUGCGUUGUAACCGAGCCAUGAAUUUGCCGAUUCCGGUUGCCGGCACCGGACUGUGAGCGUCGAGUGAACCGCUCAGACGUCACGUGCUGAAGAUAGUGCGGCCAUAUAUCUUCCGGGAUGUAUAUUGGUUUGAAAUCCCUCCAAACCGCAACAUCGUUCCAGCCUUGUAACCCCUUAUCCCUCGCUGUUUUUUUUGCUUUUUUCUGGGCGUCAUACCAAAAAUCACGCAACCUAAUUCACGCACGAAAAAAUUACAUUUCAAAACAUAAAUAAUUAUGUAAAAAAAAGUCGUAUUGUUUUCGAUGUUACCUAAUUGCCGCGUGAUUUUCCCACACCCUCCUCACAACACUGUCAUGUUCAUCGUCCCAGCAGAAUCGAUGCUGUAUAUAAAAAAAUAAUUUUUUAAAAUGUUAAUAAUUUAUUUACAAUUAUAACAUGAAUUUAUAAUUAGAAAUAAGCUGAAAAUUAUAUAUUAACACGAACCUCAAAUCUACGAAACCAUGCAUUGAUUUGAGGCAUCCAUUCAGGAUGUCUGGAUAUCUGACUCCAUUGAAACAAUGGAAUCUCCAUCGACGCUUUAAACGCCGAUGAUAUUAAUCGGGCGGCCUCAAUGUUUGUGAACCUGAAAAGAAAUGAAAUUAAUUUGUGAUUACUUCAUAAAUUAUGUUUUAAAUUUGUUUUUUUUAUAUAAAAAAAACUAAAACAUUAACAAACUUACAUUGAAAGAUCGUCCUUCCACUGUGCCUCGAACUGGCGGGUAAAUUGAUUCCGCUUCGAAGGCAUGCCGCGUCUGCGAUGUGAAACAUCGCUGGAAGAGGCAGCAUCGGUUGACGGCGCAGGUGGUGUAGGUGCCUCUUCUUGAGAGGCACCUAAGGAAACAUCAUCAUCGCUGCUAGACGAACUUGAUUCGACUGGACGACCAGCUCUGGUUUUCAUUUUGCGCAUCUAAACAAUUUUAUAUUAAUAAUUGUAAAAUAAAAUUCAAAAGUUAAAAAAAAAUCGGCAGCACCUCCCCUAUACUGGAUACUACCCAAAUCCACAAACCUGCAAAUAUUAACAAUAGCCACAACCAAUCGAACCAAUCUAUACUAAUUAUUCCAACAUAUUCAACUAUUAAUCCUAAGAUAAAUUCAACGUUAACAAUUACAAUUCACAAAUUAAUCAAUAAUUAUAUUCAAAACAAUAAAAAAUAUAACAAAAAAUAAAUUCAAUAAAUUCAACAAAUUAUACUUCAACAAAUUAACAAUUACAAUUCAACAAAUUCAAAAAAUUCAAAAAAAUUCAAAAAUUCAACUUUAACUAAUUCUAAGUUAAAUUAACUAAUAACAAUUCUAACACAACAACAAAAAAUAUUCAAUAAAUUCAACAAUUAAAUUCAAUUAUUCAACAAUUAAAUUAACAAAUAUUCAACAAAUUCAAAAAAUAUUCAAAAAAUUCAACUUUAACUAAUUCUAAGUUAAAUUAACUAAUAACAAUUCUAACAACACAACAACAAAAAAUAUUCAAUAAAUCCAACAAUUAAAUUCAAUUAUUCAACAAUUAAAUUAACAAAUAUUCAACAAAUUCAAAAAAUAUUCAAAAAAAAAGGAACGAAAUAUACAUACCUUAAUAAUGUGUCAAAUUCAAAACUUUAUCUACAUUGCAACAAAAAACACCAACACAACAAAAAUAAAAACAACUAAAAAUAAAAUAAAAUAAAAUAAAAUAAAUUAGAAAAAAAACACAUACCUUUUAAUAUAAUGAAGAUUUACAACACCAAAUCUUGCUAGAGAUUAAAGGGGAAAAUGUUUAAGGAUUGAGGGGGGAAAAAAUGAAAAAUCUAGGCUGAAAAACGCAGGAGAAGAGAAGAAGCGGCGGGAGAAGAAGAAAAAAUGAGGCGAAGCGGCGGGGUGGAACUUAUAGGUCAAUUUUACCGACGGACCCCGAUGGAAUUAACAUCCGUCGGUAACAGGUCAAAAUCCGUCGGUAAAGGUCAAAAUUCCGUCGGUAUUUUUCGAAUUUCGCCCCGAAUUUUUAAAAGCCCUCCAAAAUUUUCGCAGUCUGUCGGUAAUCUGACAAGUUCAGGGCGCAUUAAUUAACGCACUUUGGGAAACGCGCGGUCCGUCGGUAAUUCUAUCGAUAAAAGGGUAACCCGACAAAUUACCGACGGACCUACGCCGUCGGUAAUACCGUCGAUGGUGGUGUUAUGUUUUCGAGCUUACUGUGAGAUGCCGACGGAUGUUAUUCCGUCGGCAUGGCCGUCGGUGAUUGUGGCAUUUUGUUGUAAAUAUUUUCGAACUCUCUGUGAGAUACCGACGGAUGGUUGAUCCGUCGGCAUGGCCGUCGGUGAUUGUGGCAUUUUGUUGUAAAUAUUUUCGAACUCUCUGUGAGAUACCGACGGAUGGUGAUCCGUCGGUAUGGACGUCGGUAAGUUUGCAUUAUGCAGGAAAGGUUGUCUUUGUAUUGCCUGUUUACCUUCCUGCAAACUUAACUGAUAAACUGUCCAUCACAUAAAACAAUAACCACAUUGCUUAAACAGUAAAUAUUUUGUUUUACAAAAUACAUCAUCAAUAAUCUAAAUUACAUGAGACAAAUGUUUUUACAUAGGGCUUCAUUUUCAUAAUUAGUCGGAAUUUUCUUCUUCUUCCUCAUCAAUUGAAUUGUCAUCAUCUUCAUCGCAAUCUUCAAUAUGGAUAUCAUCUUCUUCAUCGACAUUUGUUGUCCGCUAGAGCUGAGAACAACAUUCAACUCCUCUCCGUCAAUAUCAACAAGACUAUCAUCGAGAACUCGAAAAUUUGAAUUUUCUUCCAAUUCAAUCGAAGGAGCAACUCGAUAUGGUUCAACCAACUCACGAACUUGAAAGACUUCAUCUCGCACACUUGUGUCUUCGUUCUCAUCCUGAACAACCUCGACACGACCCCGUGGUUUCGUUUUUAAAACGGACAACCAAUCAACUCUUGAACGAUCCUUUCUAAAUGAAGGGGUGUAUGUGUAAUAAACUUGUUGACAUUGCUUUGCGAAAACAAAGACAUCGUUUAUGUUGCGGAGUCUAGCUUUUGAGUUGAUUUCGACCAGACCAUGGUGCGGAUCAACUCUGAUUCCUCUGUCCGUCGUGUCAUACCAAUAGCAUUUGAAUAAAAACACUUUAUUCUGCUCGCUAUGAUAUUGCAGUUCGACGACCUCUUCUAAUCUACCAUAGUAGUCAACUUCUAACUGGCUACUUGUGGAUCCCUUAACACAAACACCGCAGUUGUAUGUCUUUCUUCCUUGCCCGUAUUCUUCAGUAUGGAAAACAUAUCCAUUGACAAAAUACCCGUUGUAGCACUUAACUUUUCUUUCAGGGCCGAGGCUUAGUGAAGACAAUGACUUGGGCGCACUCCUUCCCAUUUGAUAAACCUUGUAAAUAUAUGUAAUUAAAUGUACAUCAAUACACGGUAAAUGAACGAGAAUCUCGUAAUGACAUGCAUACGUUAGAAUGAGUUUGUGAUAGUGCUUACAUGUGUUCUGAACCAUGUGGCAAAUUGUUCAUCUUGUAAUUGAAAGAUCUGGGAUUCGGUCAGCUGCGAGUUAUUGGAGAGCAAAUAUUGUCGAUGUUGCCUGCAAGUGAUAAUGAGUGUAUGAUAUUACAAUAUAUAAUUAACAGUAUAUUACUGACAAAGUUUAAUUACUAUUACACAUAUAUAGACUUACUGAAUAAAUGGUCUCAGCUCAUCACAGUUAAAUAGAACAUAGUUGUGUGCUUGUUUGAAUUCUAUUUCCGACAAAUAUCUUCCUCUUACGGCAUUUUUAGGUGUGGGUCGUCCAGUAUUGGAGAAUAUUGACAAGUUCCCACUGGAAGGCACUUCACCGCCAUCGUCAUGCCGUGGAACGCGAUUGAUUCUUGUUCUCAGAUGAGGUUCGAAAUAGUACGAGAUAAAUGUUGAUAUCUCUUCAACAAUAUAGGCCUCAGAUAUCGAAGCCUCAACAUGCGCCUUGUUCUUAACCUUUUUUUUUAGAUUAAACAAGUACCUGCAUUGAAGUACAAUUCAAGUAUUUUCAAAUAAGAAAAACAUAGAAAAUACUUUAAGAUAUGAAUUCCAUUGCAACUGUAAUAUCUCACCGUUCGAAUGGGUACAUCCAUCUAUACUGGACCGGUCCUCCAGCUUUUGCCUCGAACGGUAGAUGUAUAGGGAGAUGCUCCAUUGAGUCAAAAAAUGAAGGAGGGAAUAUCAUCUCAAGUUUGCAUAGUGUCUCGAUGAUAUUCGUUUGAAGCAUCUCAAUGUGCUCAACAUUCAUCUUGCUGGAGCAUAUAUCUCUGAAGAAAUGACUGAUCUCCGUUAGUGCAUCCCAUAUUCCCUUUGGCAACAAAUCACGAAAAGCUAAUGGGAUGAGUGUUUGCAUAAACACGUGGCAGUCAUGGCUCUUCAUUCCAUACAAUCUGCAGUCCUCUAUGUUAACAAGCCUUGAUAUGUUCGAUGCAUGUCCAUCCGGGAAACGCAGACUCUUAAGCCAUUUGUAGACUAGCAGUUGUGCGUUUUUCUCUAACACGAAGCUUGCCCUUGGUUUUGCAACCCGUGACUCGUCAUAAACCAACUCCAUAUUUUUACGGUUACAGUAUAAAGCUAUAUCCAAUCUAGCCUUCAUGUUGUCCUUUGUCUUCCCCUUCACAUCCAUGACGGUGUUGAAAAUAUUCUCAAACACGUUCUUUUCGAUGUGCAUGACGUCAAGGUUAUGGCGGAGAAGAUUAGUCUUCCAAUACGGAAGCUCCCAAAAGAUACUUCGCUUUACCCAAUUAUGGGUCAAACCAAAACCAGGAAACUUUUGCUUACCUGAUUGAAGGCCAAACACAAUGUCACCGUACUCUGAUACAACAUGAUGCAAUUCUUCACCAGAAAGACGCGGGGAUGCAACAUCUUUUUCAACUCUACCAACAAAGAAAUCUUUUCUGUUCUUUCUGAACCUGUGAUUAAGUGGCAAGAAGCGACGGUGACAGAAAAAAAGAAAGCUUUACCUCCGUUUGCUAGCGUGAAUGCCUUGUUGUUUUCCAUGCAGUAUGGACAUGCGAGUUUCCCAUGCGUGCUCCAACCAGAAAGCAUUCCAUAAGCUGGAAAAUCACUGAUAGUCCACAUCAAAGCCGCCCUCAUAAGGAAAUUUUGUUUCCUAGAUAUAUCAUAAGUCAGAGAUCCGGAGGACCACAACUGCGCCAGCUCAUCUAUCAACGGUCGAAGACAAACAUCUAUAUUCCGCCCCGGGCUGCUUGGACCGGGUAUGACAGUAGAUAGAAACAUGAACUCCGGCCUCAUACACAUUCCCGGUGGCAAGUUAUAAACUGUGAGAAUGACCGGCCAACAAGAAUAGGGAGCAGCAAAUGACCCAAAUGGGUUGAACCCGUCUGUACACAACCCAAGUCGAACAUUCCUUGAUUCAGCAGAAAAGUCAGGAUGAACACUGUUAAAGCGUUUCCACGCUUCGCCGUCAGAAGGAUGCACCAUCACACCAUCAACGACAUCGUGUGUUUGGUGCCAUGUCAUGUGCUCAGCAGUCCUUGGUGACAUAAAUAACCUCUGCAGUCUAGGUGUGAUCGGGAAAUAUCUAAGUUUUUUAUAUGCCACUAGAGUCUUCCCCCUGCCAGUUCUGGGUUUGUAACGGGAAUGCCCGCAUGUCAUGCACUCGGUCAUCACAGCAUUUUCAAGGUAGUAUAACAUGCAGAAGUUAGGGCACAUGUCAAUUUUCUGGUAUCCUAAACCGAGGGGUUUCAUCAUGGACUUCGCAGCAUAGAAGUUCUCUUUGAGCCUGUUCCCUUCUGGUAAAAUGCUUCUUGCCCAAUCAAUAAUUUUGUCAUACCCGGCCUCACUCAACCCGUGAUCUGACUUGAUGGUGAACACCUGUGCCACAGCCGAUAAUUUACUGUGGUUUGUGCAGCCAUCCCAUAAUGGUUCGUCAGAAUCUUUCAACAAAUCAAAAAACCUAGCUGCCUCUGCAUUAGGUUCUUCUUCUACGAUUGGACAUUGAUUGACAUUAUCUUGAUUCAUUCUCAUUGCAUCCAUAACCAUGUUUCUGUAAGGAUUAGUGUUGUCAUUUGCCGCUUCAUGCACGUUGCUAGCACUAGAAGUUGACCCAACCACCGUUUCUCCCAUUCUCCUAUUACUAACAAAUACCUCUCCAUGUGCAUACCAACACUCGUAAUCCUCCACAAACCCUUUGUGUAGAAGAUGCAUCAUUACAACAUCUGGAUGCAGAUACUUUUUAUUUUGACACUUCCUGCAUGGACACCUAAUACCGCCUCCAGUAAAAUUUCUGGGAAUAGAUGUUGCGAAAUUAAUAAAACCCUGAACCCCGUUACAAUAAUCCAUCCUCCGCAAUCCUUGGGGUGAAUCUAGAUACAUCCAUGAACGAUCAUCCAUGACUUCUAUCGAACCUCUAUAAAAAGGACCCAUUAAUUAAGCAAGCUCUUAAUUAUUUCAAAACAACAUGUAAUUCGGUAAUUCUACAAAUUAAAUUUUUAACAAUUUUCAAACAAAUACAAUCUUACAAAAUCUAAAACAAACCAUAACAAGUAUAAAAUUAUACAUUCAUAUACUACAAGUUUGUUUGAGAAAUAACAAUAAAACAUGUACAUCUACUAAAAAAAAUACAUAUACUAAAAAAACAAUAAAAUUAACAUUUAAAUGUUAAAAUUUUAAAAGAUAGAAUUACUUACAAAAAAUGAUAAAAUCCGUCGGUAAAUCAGAACACGGAUGCUGUGACCACAAAACAAAUACAACUUGUUGUGCUGAGAUGAGAAGAUUUUUGUUUUGGGGCGAGGGGGGGCUGGUUAUUUUGCAGAUGGGGAGGGUUAGGAUUAGGAAGAAGAAGGAGAAAUGGGGGAGAGAGUGUCGGCAGAGGGCCAUAUAUUCACUUUUGCCGACGGACUUACCGACGGUUUAUUCCGUCGGUGAAUCCGUCGGCAAAACCGUCGGUAAUUCUGACGGGCAAUCGACACGUCACCGCACGGACCUGCUAUUCAAAUCCCUCGGUGAUUCCGUCGGUAUUUUUAACGGUGCCCGUCACGUCACCGGUACGGAUCUGGCAUUUCAAAUCCGUCGGUGAUUCCGUCGGUAUUUUUGACGGUGAAUAGGUCCCAUCACGCGUACGGGCCCCAGUUUUUAAUUCCGUCGGUGAUUCCGUCGGAAAUAUCACCCGCCAAAACCUCCGCGCUACUGCCCGCCCUUUUUUCAUUAAUUCUGAAUUUUCGGUCGGUAAUUCGGUCAGUAAUUACCGACGGAAAUAGUCCGUCGGUAAUUACCGACCUAAUUACCGACGAAUAUUGUCCAUCGGUGAUUUCGGCCGAAAAAUACCGACAGAAAAAAUUCCGUCGGUAUGUCCGUUGGUAUUUAGCGAUUUUCUGGUAGUGUUACAACUCUCUAUGUAAACCUGAAAUCUUGUGCAGGCAAACCAAAUUAAGUAGAACCAAACAUAAGAGACGAAGCAACCGCAAUAACAUUUACAAAAUCCCUAAAAGCAAUGGAUCCUUUUUUUUCAUUUUCUUUACCACAGAAGGCAGGUUACAAGAAAAGUAGAACUUGAAAUGAAAUAUUUAGUCUUUAUGCUAUCCUAGUAAAGAAGAGAAGUUCUCGAGAUAUCUAUAGUGAACCGAAUGUUGCUUAGAUUGUUUCCAAGGUCUCUAAGGAUUCCAAGGCUUCAAACUGGUUUUCCUCUGGUUCUGGAUAGCCAGCAGAGCCCCUGAAGAGCAAAAUUGAAAGGCUUCCAAUCUGAAAAUAUAUGAAACAUCCAAAGCAGUGAGUCACAAAUGAGCCAAAAUCUCUUCCCACAAUGCAUUGCCACCCUGGUCCAUACAUCCUAUCAAAUUCCUGCAUUAAACACAAGUACAAAACCAUUUCAAUAUGCCUGGAAUUCAACUUUGACAUUCUAAUUGCAGAACUUGGACAUUUAAAGUAUUAUUGGCCCUUGCAUGCAUAUAUAUAUCCAAAUAAGUUCUUUGCUUAGUCUAUAUAUAUUCAUUUUCCACAUAUAUACAUAUUAUGUAUAGCUCACCUUCUUAAUAAGACGAGCUAUGUCAGUGGAGUCAGUGACAUCAAAGAAGUCGAGGGCUUUGGCUGCAAGAUCAAGUGCAUCUUGUUGCAUUGUUUGAAGCAUAUCGGUCUCACCAAUAACUGCCUUGCCUUCUAGCAUGGCUGAUAUGAUUGUAGUUCAAUACAAGGCUUUCCUGCGAAGAAAAAUGUGAGAGCUAGAGAUGGUGGUAACUAAGAAUUGAAGCAAAAUGGACUAAUUUUGGAUUUUGGACUAAGUUCUGGAUGAAGUAAGUACUAGAGGUGGUGGUGAUGGGGAUUUAUGCUGAGUUGAGGAAUAAAGGGGUGGUGCUAGUGGAUCAGCCACGUAUAGGAUCCUUUCUUUGUGGUCAGUAAGUAAUGAUGUGGAAUUAUGCUAUUGGUUCAUAUCAUCCUGAUGAGCUUAAUGGACCCUUUAAUUUUGGCAAAUGGCUCAAACUAGAUUCUGGAAAUGCAGGGGGUUGAUAAAAGACGGAAUUCAUGCAAGGUUACAAAAAUUUUAGGCCCCUUUCUAUCUCUGACAGGUGGGCGGUUGUUUGUGGCCUGUCAAUGGGAAAUUGCAACGUGUCUUCCGACAAGAUGUUAGCUCAUGGUGAUUUUGUCUAGUUCUCCCGUAGUCUAAUUCUCCAGGACGGAAGGAUGAGAUUGAUUGUUAAUUUGUGUUGCUCGUAAAACUCAUGCUAGGGUCGUGUUAAAUAUGAUUUAACUAACCAAGAACAAGAAGCUUUGAGAAGAUAAAUUCACGUUUUAAAGAAUAUAAUAGAACUAAUAUUAAGGUGUGUUUGGAAUUAUAGUUAUAGUAGCGAUUGAAAGUGUUUUUCGCUUGGAAAUAGAUUAAAAUCAUUUUUUUUUAUUUUUUAAAAAUCAUUUUUUAUAUCAAUAUAUCAAAACGAUAUGAAAAUAUAAAAAAAUUAUUUUAAAUAAAAUAAAUAUAUUUGAUGAACGUGGUUUGUACCACUUUUCCAAACAUAACCUAAAAAGUCAAGAAUUAAUUACGAUCAAGAACAAAUGAAAAGUCUAAUCAAAGAAUAUUAUUAAGGAAAAUAAUAUAAUAUUUGUUUUUUAAUUCUCCUAAUAUAUUUUUUAGGUAAAUAUAUUUGGUAUAUGUUAGAAAUAUUUGUUGGAGAAAAGAGAAGCAUUGUGAUAACUAAAAACAUAUUUCAUUCAUGUAAUACAACUUUUCUAGGAUAGAAAAUAACAUUGUAUUUCGAUUUAAAUUACAAUACUCAACAUAAAUAUUUAUAUUAACGUAGAGAUAAUUAAGAUAUUCUAGAAAUAAAUACAUCACUACAUAAACCUAGAAAAACUAAAAAACCAUUUAAAAUGUAAAUUUUAGAAUUUACUCUAAUACUCCUUUUUAAUUUUAAAAGUCUCAAAACUCUUGAAAUUUAUAGUAUCUUACAGGAGAAUCUUAUCAUGACUUGUUAAUGGCAUCUCAUUAUCAUCUUUUCAAUUUUCCUUUUUUUAACGAUUGUUUUUGUUUAAACAUGACUACUUCUAAAUAUUUUUCUUUUUUUAUAAAAGUCAUAAUAUUUCUCUAGUCAAAUAUCUUUUUUUUCAAGAUUUGAUUUUUUAACUAACCAUUAUAUUUUGGCUCACUCUUCAUCGUAUUCUUGUUGUCAUAGCUCAUUGGUCAUUUUUCAUCUUCUUUUGUAGAAAAAGCUCUUUCUUCUUGUUCAUGUGAGGUCUUUCUUGUACCAUAUCUCAUCUCUUGUGCAACAAGUUGUUAACUUAUAUUAGGUCUCAUUUUAAGGCUACGCUUUUAUUUUUCUGGAUAUAAGGUCUCAAUUCUUUUGUUAGACACCGUCAUCUUGCACCUCUAAUUUUAUUUUUAUUUUUAAAAAUAUUACUUGUUCAUCCACUCUUUUUUCGGACAUGUUUUAAUUUCUCAAAAACCUCACUAGAUUGAACUAGUUUUGAUACCCUAUAUUUUAGGAGAAAGUUUCUAUACACUUGAACUUGAAUUACAAUACUCAAUAUAAAUAUUUAUACUAGUAUAAAAUAAAUCAAGAGACUCAAGAAAUAAAUACAUCACUAAUAGUUGUAUACACACCUAGAAAACACCUAAAAGAACUAAACAAAACAAUUUAAAUGUAGACUUUAAAAUUAACUCUAACAAUAUAUAAAAAAUUAUCUAUGGAUCAAUUCAAUUGUAUACUAUUUUAUUUUAGUACUUUGUGUAUACAUAACCUAAAAAGUCAAGAAUUAAUUACGAUCAAGAACAAAUAAAAAGUCUAAUCAAAGAAUAUUAUUAAGGAAAAUAAUAUAAUAUUUGUUUUUUAAUUCUCCUAAUAUAUUUUUUAGGUAAAUAUAUUUGGUAUAUGUUAGAAAUAUUUGUUGGAGAAAAGAGAAGUAUUGUGAUAACUAAAAACAUGUUUCAUUCAUAUAAUACAACUUUUCUAGUAUAAAAAGUAGCGUUGUAUUUCGAUUUAAAUUACAAUACUCAGCAUAAAUAUUUAUAUUAACGUAGGGAUAAUCAAGAGAUUCUAGAAAUAAAUACAUCACUACAUAAACCUAGAAAAACUAAAACAAUAUUUAAAAUGUAAAUUUUAUAAUUAACUCUAAUACUCCUUUUUAAUUUUAAAAGUCUCAAAACUCUUGAAAUUUAGAGUGUAUUACAAGAUAAUUUUAUCUUGUUAAUGGCAUCUUGUUAUCAUCUUUUCAACUUUCCUCUUCUUAUUGAUUGUUUUUGUUUAAACAUGACUACUUCUAAAUAUUUUUCUUUUCUUAAGAAAAUCAUCAUAUUUCUCUAGUUAAAUUUUUUUUUUUCAAGAUUCGGCUUUUUAACUAACCAUUAGAUUUUGGCUCACUCUUCAUCAUGUCUUCUUCUUGUCAUGGCUAGCUCAUUGGUCACAUUUCAUCUUUUUUUGUAGAAAAAGCUUUUUUUUCUUGUUUAUAUAUGGUUUUUCUUAUAUCAUAUCUCAUCUCUUGUGUAACAAGUUGUUAACUUGUAUUAAGUCUCAUUUUAAGGCUUCUUUUAUUUUUCUUGAUGUAAGGUCUCAAUUUUAUUGGACACUAUCAUCUUGCACUUUUAAUUUUAUUUUUAUUUUUAAAAAUAUUACUUGUUUAUCCGAGAAAGUUUCUAUAGACUUUAACUUGAAUUACAAUACUCAAUAUAAAUAUUUAUACUAGUAUAAGAAUAAAUCAAGAGACUCAAGAAAUAAAUACAUCACUAAUAGUUGUAUACACACCUAGAAAACAGAGAACUGAACUAAAAAAACAAUUUAAAUGUAGACUUUAAAAUUAACUCUAACAAUAUAUAAAAAUUUAUCUAUGGAUCAAUACAAUUGUAUACUAUUUUAUUUUAGUACUUUGUGUAUACAUGCAACUAGGCCAUAAAGCUAUGAAAAACACAUCCACGGCUUCUAAAUUUUCUUUGUUUGGAAUUAUAGUAGUGUUGACGGUUUAAAAUAUUUUUACUUAAAAAUACAUUAAAAUAAAAAUUAUUUUAUUUUUUAAAAAAUAAUUUUUUAUAUCACCACAUCAAAAAAAUAUAAAAACAUUUAAAAAUUUUAUUUUAAAUAAAAAAAAUUAAAAUUUUUUAAAAUAUAAUUUACACAACAUUUUCAGUUUUCAAAGACACCCGAGCUCCCGUCCCCAAUGCAUAAUGCAAUGAGUGUUUUUCUAGUGAGAAAAUUUGCUGAAAACACAGAAAAUUUUGGGAAAAGAAGCUACAAAGAGAAGGCAACGUAGAAUUCGCUGAAGCAGUAUAGGUUGCUAGUAACGGACCAAAUGUCAAGUGAAGAGUGUUAGUUAUGGUUGGGUAAGAAAAAUAUCCAGGCCCAAUGAUCCUGGUGCACUCAAGUCUUGUCAUGAGAUGAGCAAUAUUCAAAAGAAUCAAUAUGCAAUGUGAUGAAUCAUGCCACACAGUUCUGUCACUUUAGAGUUGGCAACAUUUGACUUCUUCAUAUGUCGCCAUGUCUAGUUGUUUAACAAACUUUAAACAAGUUAUUAUAGACGGCAGUGGUUGGUGACCACCAAACUUACAUUUCUUUUUGUUAAGGCAAACCGGGAUUGUUGUGCUUGAAAUGCCUGUUAUUGUUUUGGCUUUUCAUGUUGAUUACUGGGAUUAUAUGGGUUGGAAAGAUCCCUAUGGGGGUAGUCAGUGGACAGUUAGACAAAAGGCUUAUGUUGAGUCUUUGAAGCUUGAUACUAUGUUUACACCACAGAUUGUUGUUCAAGGGAGAACUCAGUGCGUGGGAAAUGAAGAGGAGGCUUUGAUGUCUUCCAUUGUCAAUGCACCAAGGUUUCCUGCUCCUACUUUUCAGGUUAGAUUUUUAACUCUUUUCCUCUCUCUUUGCUUUUUAUUUUUAUUAUUAUUAUUAUUAUUUAGGCCUGUAGGGAUGGAUCUUGUAAUUUCGAUGCAAUGGGGUAAACUGAUAGCUAUUGCAUUAUAGAGACAGAAACUAGACGUCAAAAGUCGGAGAAAACAAAUUUUCAAACGCAAAAAAAAAAUUUAUGGUAUUACUAAAAUAUAUACUGAAAGAAAGUAGUUUUUAAUUAUAAAUUUAAAAUAAGUUGCAUAUUAAAUUAUAAUUUUAUUUAAUAUUAAAACGUGUGAUCUACGUGAGUCAACUUAAGUGUAUAUUCAAAAUUAGCAAGAAUAAUUUUAAAAAAAAUAAUUGGAAAUUCCAAUCUCUAAUUAAUUUAAUGUUAAAAGAUAAUAAUAAAUAUAAAUAAAUACUCAAUUAAAAAAAAACUCAAGUAAACUUGAGUAAGUAAACAAAAUUCAUUAUGUCAGUCUUGUACAUGAUUAGAUUCAAUAUUUUUUUUUAAUCUUGGAUAUUACUGUUCAUUUAAUAGAUUUAUAUAACAAUAAAACACAUAAAAAAAAUUUGUGUGAAUUAAUUUUUAAAAAAAAAAUUACAUGACAUGUUACAUGUAAAUAAGAUAGAAAAAUUAGAUAAUUGAUAAUAAAAGGUGAAAUUACUUCUUUUUUUUAGUUUUAAGUUAAAUAAAAUAAUAUAUCAUUAAUAAAAAAACGAUUAGAUUUGAUUUUAAAAAAAAUUGAGGGAUUAGAAAUGCAUAAAUUAUAAUAAUAAAAAAAUAAACAACAACAACAACAACUACGAUGCUAUGGCGUAACUCAUCAAAAAAUUGCGAUUCGGGUCAUGUAUUUAACCAAGUUCAAUAAUUUUUUCAUAAAUCUAUAUUUAACCUAAAUAUAAAAUAAAUAAAUAAAGACCAAAAAAUGAUCAAUCGCUCCGGCUUACAUGCAUGGGCCUAUUUGUUUUCCUUUUAAAGGGGCAAAUACAUUUAUUUAAAAAAAAAUAGCUAACUAGCAUAUUGCUUACUAUGACAAAUGACAUGUCAUCUAUUAACCCAAAUUCUAACCACUAUUUUAGUAGCUAAAAAAUUGGGACAGUGGGUUUUUUACUCAAAAAAUUUAUUUUAACCCAAAACACUCUACAAACACUCUUAAAGCAUCUAGAAACUAACUUAUCAACCAAAAAACUAGAAAAAAGGGUCAAAAUUAGAAAAUCAAACCAAACAAAAUUUAUUAUUCUCAACUUAGAUAUGUUUUUUUAGGUAAUAUUAAGGUUUAGAACAACCAAUUAAUAAGACUUUCUUCAUUGAAUGGAACUUAUUAACACCAAUUUCAAUAUUUUAGUGGUCAAAAUAGUUGUAAACGAUAACUUUUUAUCUCUAUAGUAUCAAAAUCUGAAAACUCUUUCUUUCCUCAAACAAACCAAAAUCUAAAAAAUAAGAAAAAUAAAGUUGUUCUAAAAUUGAAUUUCCAACAACUAAAGGAUUGAUUACCUAUUAACUCAAGAAAAAAAAAGAAUUGAAAUGAACUUUUUGUAUGAAAAUCGAAGUUGCCAACUAUUUUCCUUAUUUUUUUCAUUUUAGUUCUCUGUUUUUUAAUUCAAUCUUAAAAAAAGAAAAAGCAAUUGGGUACUAAUUUAGGCUAAAAAAGGUCCAAUUAUACAAAAACAUAAUUUGAGGACUAAUACAAUUUUUCCAUUAAAUUAAAAAAAUAAAAACUUAGCCAUGACUUUCAUCGUUUCUCAUUAGUGGAAUCUAGAUAGUGACAUGACAUAUAGCUACAAUCAGUCAAAAAAAUAAACAUUAAAAAAAAACAUAGAAUUGUAACUAGAUUUGGUCGGUGCCCAUUGUUUAGACUUAGAAACAAAGUCCAGAAAUUGAAAAGUUGUACACAACUAGUCAAGAAACAAACAUUAAAAAUCAAAUUCAUAGUUGCAAACACUCUCAAUGCUCUUAAAUUGAAACAUUGAAGACAGCUAGUUAAGAAACAAACAUUAAAAAAAUCAAAUCUACAAUUACUAACAACCCAAUGGAUCCCCCAUGUUGACUUAGCCUUUAACUUCCUUUCUCUUGAAAUUAAAAAAUUGCAGCAACUAGUCAAGAAACAAACAUUUUUUAAAAAAAAAAAAAAACCUCGAGCUUGGUAGCUUCAACAGUCUAAGCAUGCCAAAUCUGUUUAUAACCCGUAAGCAUACCUGUAUGGAAAAAAAAAAAAAAAAAAAAAAAAAAAAAAAAAAAAAACCUUGAUAUCCUCUCUUUGUUAAUAAAACAUCAACCAACUAAGAGUAACCUUGUCAGAUAAUGGUAUAUUAUCUUAUCUAGUUCUCUUGAUUUUGUGUUUGAUUUUGUGAUUCGUGUUUAAAAAGAUAGAGAAAAAAUGAUGUGUGUAAGAGAGAGAAAUUAUGACUUGAAGAAAGAAAAGAUAAGAAGUGUUGUUUGGUUGAUUUUUUAAUUUAAUAUAUAUAAGGGUAAUUUGAUUAUUUUAUUAUAUUUAAAAAUUUGUGUUGACCAAGAAUAUAAACUAUAGUUUUUCCAAACUAAAUAGACCAGUGCAACUUCUAACAAAUGAUAGGAUGUUAGGGGUAAUUUUUUAUAUAUAUAAUUUAUUAAUCUUGUUUAAAAUUGCCGGGCAAAUCUUGCGUUUUUACAUGAGUAAAGUGGCCUUGUUUAGCAUCCCCUUUUAUACUUGCUUAUAAAAAAUAAAAUAAAAAGAAUAGAAAAUCAUUGUACACGUACACUUUUAUUACCAUUCAUUAUUAUUUUUUCUUUUUAAAAAAAUCAAUUGCCUUGAUAUUGAGGUAUUUAGAUCUUUUCACAAGCCCAUUGACCAUUAAAGAAUUGAUGACGGUAGGGUUUUUUUUUUUUUAAUUACAAUAAAAUAAAUAAAUUAUCUUUUAUACCAAAAAAAUUAGAUAUGAGAAAUAAAGGUUUUUUUUUCUUUUUACUUCUUGAAAUACAAUAAAAUUACAACUUUACCCUUUUGAAAAAAAUAAACCUUUUAUUAAGAGGCUUUUUCAUAUUUUCAUUUUGGUUUUUUUGUUAUUACUAAGUAAAUCAAGGACAAUUUGAUCUUUUAAUAUACAUUGAAUAUUAUUUAAAUUGAAAAGGUUGGGUGUGAAAUUAAGCCACCAUCACACUUCAGGUCACGCAUGAGAGCCAAAUGGACACUUCGAGUGAUCAAAAAUGUACUUUCAUUUUGUUGUUUGAUUCGUCAUUGCGUCCUUUUUCUAUUGAGGUGAUGUGUGUCAAUUGUAGUGGGCGGUUUCUUGUUAACAAGGCUUUCUUAAUUUUUUUAUUUUUUCUCUCUCUUCUUUCCUUAAAAAUUUUAGAAUGGUACUUUUUGUUGUUAGUAUUACAAUUUCAGUUCUUAUUUUUUUUAUUUAUAAUUUUUUAUCUUGAUUUUUUAAUAAAAAAAAAUUUAAUUUCAUGUUUCAAUCUUAAUUUCUCAUAUAUUAUUUUUUUUUUUUUUCAAUUCAGACCUUUUUUUAAUUCUUUUCUUGAUCUUUUUGUAAAAAAAUUAUUUGUUUUUAAUUUAUUCCUUCAAUCCAAAUUUAUGCUAUAUUAUUUUAUUGUAUUUUUUGUACUUAUUCUUUUGAUUUUUUUGUCUUGUUGUUAAAGUUAUUUUUUUCUUUUCAAUUUCACAUUUCAAUGGAAAAUUUAUAGUUUUCCUAUAAUUUAUUUUUUAUUUUGGUUUUAUGCUUAUUCGUUUAAUUUUUAUUUUUGGUUUUGGAUCCUUUUGUAUAAUUGUUUUUUUUUCCUCGAUUUUAUCCUUUAGAUUUGUUAAGGAUUAGACUUCAUGGCUUUUUCAUGUAUGGUGUUUCUGGUCUAAUAACACGGGUCGAGAGUUUGUUGAAUUAACAUGAUUUGGCGUUCUUCUUUUUUUUUACUUAUUUUUUUUUCCGAUUUCAUCAUUUGAUAUUAUUUAAAAAAAAAAACAGCUUUGUGGUUUUCUUUGAAUUUUUUUCUAUCAGGUUAUCAUAAUUUCAUAACAUGAGUCUGGGUACGACAAUUUAACUCGAGUUGGCUUACCUCUUAUUACUCAAGUUACAUGUCUAUCAUGUUAACAUUAGUUGACUCAGAUAAGUUUUUUUUUUGUCAAUAUUUUAUUUAAUUUUAUCUUUUUAUAUUUAAUUAGCUAAAAAUUAAGUUACAUCAUUCUUUUCCUUUUGAAAAUUUUUUUUUCCUAAGUUAUCAUUAUUAUUUUUUUAUUAUAUUUUGUUUAUUAUCAAUUGUCUGUUUUUAUCAUUUAAUUAGAAUAAAACCAACUUAUUUGACCUACAGCACGUUUGCUAUCAACUUCUUUAAAACACACUUGAAAAAUUAUAAUACAGCCCACGACAUUGUGCAGCACACGUCUAUUGCCAACUAAAUGUUUAAACCUGAUUCAAGAUAAGGAGGUAUUAUUUUGGUGAUUUAGCAUUAAACAGUAUUCUAGACCAAGAUUUUACAACUAAUUUAGUGACGACGAAGGAGGAAAUGUCAGAGUCAUCUUUCCUUUAAAACAUAAACCCGUGUAAAUAUAAUCAAUGAAUGUUGACAUGUUUCAUUAAGUAAAUAAAGCCUUAAACAAAUUAAGGGGAAAACGUAAAUAAAACCUCAAAUAGAAAAAAGUUGAAACUACAAAUUUUUGUAACCUUAGACACUUAUGUUGUAACAGGCAACAUUUCAGAGGCCGACUCCAGAUUGCUUACAAGUCUCUUUAUCAGGAGCCUUGAGAACUAAAGCUGACAGUGAUGGUGUCAACGUCAUGGUAGCUCUCUAUGACAGUGGAUUAUUGACUGAUUGUCCUCGGGAGAGAGAACAAAGGGCGUGUCCUAUCAAAUGACUAUGUUGUUAGAAAGCUUGAAAAACUCAGCAAAUGUGGUCUUGCUGUCUUUGUUGAAGACAACUCCCAUCAGAUUUUUGGGUCGCAGAGCAUUCAGUUCCCGGAUGCUAUAUGAGACAUUCAGAUUGAAACAAAGACUAAAUAUUGGCUUUGAUCGAUAUGACACUUGUGUACAGGAUGUGCUGGAUAAUAAUUUCUUUUCCUUCAUUUUUUGGUCUUAAUUUCUAAUUAUUUUUGUUCAGUUUUUAUAAAGAAGAUAACUAGAGACAUUUUCGUGGUUUGAUGGCAUAGAUUGAGUUUAGAGAUUUGGAUUUCACUUUCUUGAUAUCUUUGUUUUGCGGGGAAAUGGAAUUGGAAAUUUAGAACAAGUUGGUUGCUUUUUUAUGAUGUUUCAAAAUUCAAUAUACUUAGAAAAGAGAUUAUUUGGUGUUUGGAUGGAGAUUAAUCACGUGUUCAUGUUAAUAUUCUCUUUUCCAGCGCUCACAAAGUAGAUGGUUAGUGGUAGAAGGCUCAAUGCCUAUAAAACAGUUCUUUUUUACAGGGUUUAUGAAUACUCGGAUGAUAAAAUCAAUGACUUUUAGUAAGAAAUUAUAAUAAAUGCUAGAAUGAACUUUAAAUUCUAAGAAGAAGUAUGUUUGUUCUUGUUUUGUAUGGUAAAUGCUUUAAAAAUAAGAGUACAAAUACUCAAGAGAAUAAAAAUUGUAAACCCUUACUUAAAUGGUUAAAUGAGUAUAUAUAGCUCCUAAACCUUGUCAUAUUGUGAAUGAGUUGGAGUGUCAUUUCCUUCUUAUAGCAUUAAUAAGGGACAUAUAUCUUUUACAUAAUAUUAAUAUUAAUGGAAUAUAGUAGGCUCUUUAGAUAACUUUUAUACACUCACGGGUGUAGAGGAAUAAUUAUUCUUGACUUUUAAUAUUUUAUGUUAAAAACCAUAACAAUGAACAAACAAAACAUCAUCACCCAACAUAAGGCCCAUACCCACUUGGACUUGGAAUGAUGUUAAGCCCAGGGGUGAUGGGUCUAGCAGUUUGCCAGAUUCACAUACAAACUCAUGUAUGUUUGAGUUCAGUGUAUAAUUGAGCUUAAAGAUGUGGGUUUGACAAAUUGCAAGACACAUAUUUGUUUGGGCUCAGCGUAUGGCUGAGCUCAAAGGCGUUGGGUCUAGUAGAUCUCUAGACCCACGACUAUUUGGGCUCAGCACGUGGUUGAACCUAUAGAUGCUAGAUCUACCCACUUGCUAGAAUAGUUUAGGCUUAAUGCAUGGCUAACCCCAAGGAUGCUAGGCCUAACAACUUACUAGACUCAUGUUUAUUUGGGCUCGGUGUGUGGCUGAAUCCAAGAAUGUUAAGUAUGGCAACUCAUCAGAACCAUAUAUGUGUGGGUUUGUUGCUACCCAAUUUUUAACUUAUUUUUUAAGUAUUUUCGAUAAAAAAAAAACCAAAAAAUAGCAAAAAACAACAAAAACCUAAAAAAAUAUGUUCUUGAUGUAUUUGUGUCAUUUUCAACAUCGUCUCAAAAGGAUUCAAAUUUCAAAUGUCUUUUCAACGUAUUCGGCUUUUAACGCAUCAUUUUCAAAAUUAUUAAUUUUUUUCUUUGAGUCAACGUUGAUGUUGUUCUUUUUCAAAAAAAAAAAACAAAAUAUAAAUGUUGGACCAAGCAAUUAGGGAAGAAGACAAACUUUUCCACCUAUAUUGAUUUUUUACCAUUGAUAGUGAUUAGAGUUUUCAAAAACCAAUUUAGGAAAAACAAUUGAUAGUUUUUUUAUCAGGUUCUCAUAGACAAUGCUAAUUGAUGAUGUUCCGAAAUCUAAUAUGCAUACAAAUGAGGUUUUUUAGUGUUUGUAUAGUGAUUAAUCAUAUGUUCAGGUCAAUAUUCUCUUCUUCAAAGCUCAUAAAAUAGAUGGUUGGUGGUAAAAGGCCUAACAGCUGCAAAACAGUUCUUUUAUGUGAGUUUUAUAGACCCUCCGAUGAUAAAGUCAAUGACUUUUAGUAAGAGAUUAUAAUAAAUGUUAGAAUGAUCUUUAAAUUCUAAGAAAAAGUAUGUUUGUUUUUAUUUUGGUAUGGUGAAUGCUCUAAAAAUAAAAGUAUGAAUACUUAAGAAAAUAAAAAUUAUGAACCAUUCACUCAAGUGGUUAAGAGGGAUUAUAUAGCCUUUGAACCUUGUCAUGUUGCUUGAAUGGAUGGGUUGAAGAGUCAUCUCCUCUUAAUUUAUAUUUACCAUAGCAUUAAUGAAAGAUAAAUAUCUUUUAUAUAAUAUUAAUGAGGGAUAGAUUCUCUUACACAAUAUUAAUGUUGAUAGAAAUAUGAUGAGUUCCUUAGAAGAUCUCUAUACACCUGGGUGCAGAAGAAUAAUUAUUCUUGAUUUUUAAUAUUUUACAUUAAAAGCCAUCAAAAUAAACAAACAAAAUUGUGUCACCUAACAUGACGUGCAUACCCACUUAGACUUUGAAUAAUACCAAACCGAAAGGUGUUGGGUCUAGCAAAUCAAUAAAACUCAUGUCUGUUUAGGCUCAGCAUGUAGUUGAAUCCAAGAAUAUUAAGUAUGGCAACUUGUCAGACCCAUAUUAGUUUGGGCAUCAACAUGUUGCUAAACCCAAAGAUGCUGGAUCUAGAAACUUUGCAAACCCACGUCAGUUUCGGCUCAGCACCUGGUUGAACCCAAGGACGUUAGAUCUAGCAACUUUGCAGUCCUACAUCGAUUUGGGCUUUGUAUGUGGCUGAACUAAAAAACCUUAGGUCUGAAAAGUUGUUAAACUCAUAUCAAUUUAGGUUAAGCACGUGGUUGAGCCAAAUGGCAUUGAGCUUGACAACUUGCUAGGUGGGUCUGUUUAUGCUGAGUGCAUGGCUGAACCCAAUAAUGUUAGGCUGGCAAUUCAUCAAACCCAUAUGUAUUUGGACUCAACAUGUAAUUGAUCUCAAUAAUAUUAGAUUUGGCAACUCACCGGACUCAUAUGUACUCGAGCUCAGCAUGUAGCUGAAUCUAAAGAUAUUAAGUCUGGCAACUCACCAAACCCAUAUGUAUUUGGCCUCAACACGUGGUUGAGCCUAAGAAAACUGCCAGAAACAUGUUUGUUUGGGCUCAGCACGUAGCUGAAACCAAGAACAUUGGGUCUGGCACCUCGCUAGACCCAUAUGUACUUGGACUCGGCACAUAGCUAAAUCUAAUGAUAUUGGGUGUGGCAGCUCGUUAAACCCAUAUGUAUUUAGACUCGACACAUAGUUAAAUCUAAUAUUAUUGGGUGUUGUAGCUUGUCAAAUCCACAUGCAUUUAGGCUCAGCACAUAGUUAAGUUCAAAAAUAUUAAGCCGGAAAAAUAAAAACAAGUCAGAUCCAUAUCAUCUAGGCUUAGCCUUUUUCCCACCCUAAGUCCAUUAGAUUGUCACCAUGUCUUGACCCUUUUAAACAUGACUUUAAACAAAAAGAAAAAUAUAUAAAAUAUAUUGAUACACCACAUUUUCCUUGUUAUUUGAUUACUUUCAAGUAGUAACAUAGAUAAUAGCAUCACAAGCUUGUUGUUUCUUGGUAGGAAUCACCCAUAGGACGCGUGUAACGGCCUCGAAUUGCAGGGCUAGAAAUAUAUGUACAUGCAAUGAACUCAAUACAAUUUUUAUUUUCAGGUUCUUGAACACCAUCAAGAUCACUAGUUUCUUUACAGAGAGAUUGUUCAGUGCUUGUCUGAAUUUGGAUGUUCCCUUAAAGGGCUUAAAUUUACAUAGAAGUCCGCCUCCUAUGGUUUAUAGGAAUUUAUAAUUGAAUACUUAGCACAGUCAAUUAGGGCCCCAACAACUCAAAUAAAAAAUCAUCCUCAUUGAUUUCUCUGCUGCCUGAUACUUCUCAUUACAUGUUUUGCCACUUUCCCUUCUUGGAUCAAAAGAACUGGAGACGGGUUUAACUUGCAUAACCGAUGAUCCUGCUGCAGAGCUCCAUUUCUCUAGAAGAGCUGGUGAUUUGGGUAUGAUCAUAUGAUCUUUGAGCCCAAAUGCAGCUCCUAGAGAGAAAACAAUGCAAGCUUUGUUGGUAAACCUCAUUGCAAAAGUUAGGCUCUAGAUUAAGAAAGUUUGAGGCUUUAGUGUAGGGUUCUUCUGUGACUGAGAAAAAUGAAAUAUAUAGACCUGCAAUGGCAUAGUUGAGGCUCAAGUAGCAGGAAAGGUUCCUAUCCAUUUGGAUAGGAACAUAUGCUAUUCUGUGUACAUGGACUACUGCAUCAGUAUCUUCCUUCCCAUGUUGUCUUAUUCUUUUUUUCUUCUUUCCAGUUUUGACUCAACUGGUCAUAAGUACUCGUGCGCAUUUCUCACUGUUCCUUGUGUUUCUGCCCUAAAAAAAAGGGUCCUUGUAAUAUUCUCUUCGCUUAGCAGUUAAAUUCCCUUUAAAUGGAGCUUUCCUUACCUCAUUCAUGUAAGGACAGAAUAAGUUGAAAUAGAAAGCAGAUUUCUAAUUGGUUUUCUACCAAAUUGCAAUUGUCACUUGUUUCUUGCCAUUUGAAAAUAUUUAUAUAUAAAAAACUAGAAGGUCCCAAUAUUCGUUUUAAUGCAAAAUUCAUGGCCUAUAAAACUGUCACAAGAUAAAAGAAAACUAAAAAUUUCCGUUGCCGGGACUUGAACCCGGGUCUCUCGGGUGAGAGCCGAGUAUCCUAACCAACUAGACUACAACGGAUUGUUGUGAGGCAUUGAGAAUAAACAAUAUAUCAAAUAUGUCACAGAUAAGAUUUUUGUUGCUGCCUCCUAGAUUGAUGGAUAAACGAAGACGGCUAGCAUCCAUAAUCGAGGAAUCAGGAAGGUCCAGGAAACCAUGAAAAACAUGGAGAACGUAUCCACCCUCUUCAGAGAGCAGAAAAGGCGUAGGCAUAAGAUGGAAAUGACAAUGGUAGGUUAAGCAGGUGCUGUAGUGACGAUCUUGACCAUCUCUUAGCCGGAAAGUUUGUCCAAAGUUAUUGCCACGCCGUGACAAGAUAAUCUAAUGGCCCAGGAUACAGCAGUCAAUGAUCCCCCUGACAUUUGCUGUUGCGGGAAAAGCAAGAGGCAAACUUCAAGAUCCAUAUCGGGGAAAAAAAUAUAGAUUAUUUUACUAUGCAAGUCCAUGAUGAAUCAUGAUGUCCCAAGAAAUGCACGAGAAGUAAUAUACAUGUAAUAAACAAAUGAGCUACCGGCACAAAUCUGAGCACCCAUCCCUAAGGAAUACAAAAAUAUGCUUCAUUGCAAAACAAAUCCACUAUCUACAUGCAGGAGGUCAAGCCCAUCCCUAGCACCCUGAACUGACCUCCAUAGUCCAUACCAUCCAUCAAACAAAUAUGAGCAUGGUAAUAGAAUCUUCUCCUCCUGGUGCGCCUGACUGCCAACUCAACUCCACCUCCCCUUACCCGUAAGUCAAGGGGCUGAAUCAAUACAACUUGCAGCAAGAUCAAAACCACAUCUCACAACUACUGUACUGCUUCAACCUGUUGUCGAGCCAGGUACUUUUCUCGCCGCUCUUUCUGAAGAAUAAUAGUAAUGAAGGAGAAGAGAUUAUAUUCUGAUACAGAUAUUAUAAAAACUGAACAUUCAGGGAGAUCAGACGGAAUAUUUAUACCCAUUCAUCAAUAACAAGACCUUCCCCAACAACAGAGGGCCCUGUGUCUGGUGGAGGUUUCUUGCGUACUUCAAGAGCAGCUUCUGCUUCAGCCAAUUGAUGCUUCAAUUUCUCCAUUGCCUUCAGAGAAACAAUAUCAAUCUUGUUUUUAGCUGUUUAUUGUGCACAUAAUCAACAACUGAACACAGACCAAUCAAAUUUACUUACAGGACUAGGACGCUUUGCAUCUAAAAACACAACCCGCAAUACUCGCUCAACUGUUACUUGAUCCUUUUGUUCAUCAAACUGCAGAAAACAAGAUCAAUUUUGCUUCAAAUUGGUUUAUCCUCUUGACAUAAAAAACUGUACUACCUGUUGUUUCCAUGAGAAGUUGAAUAACCUUAGUUACAAAUGGCGUUAAGAAAUGGAAGUUGAGCAUGAAAUAAGUACAAAAAAAAAAUUAUCAUGUUUAAUUACACUUAAUGCAAAAGUAGACAAUUGCGAUCACAUUUUCCCUGUGAAAUGCAUAUCAAACAAUUAACAUCUUUUCAGAAAACUAGGGAAGAAACUAGAAACUUAACAAGUCAUCUCUUUUUGAUGCAUUCAUUUACGGAAUUCUUUAAAAUCCAUCCAUGACAAUACUGCACAACAAUUACAUAGUUUUCACCCAACAACCAUAACAAACCUAACAAAUAAGGCUUAUGCAGGACCUUGAUUCAACAUCAAAGUAUGAAUGAAGACUAUUUAAAAAUCAUUAUCUCCAAUGAAACUGAGCUGUCCAAAUAAAUAAGCAGUAUACACUUACUAAAAUAGUUAGAAAAUUAAACUCCUGUCCAGUACACUACUUGACUACCAUGCUCAUAGCUAAAACCUUUCUUUCUUUCUUUUUGGAAUUAUGUUCCUUGAUCUUUGCCACAAUCAUUUGGCAUAUUCAAGUAUGAAAUGGAAUAUAGAACCUUAAUGUGCUGCUUCUAUCUCUCUGUUGUUAGUUUCAUUUCCAUGAAUUGAAAAAAAAUCAAAUCAUUAAUAUAACCCGGUACCAUGGAAUUAAAGUUCACUCAACAUCUUUGAAUCCCACAAGCUCAUGAGCAUAUCUGAAAACCUAUUAAGUGCCACAAAUGCAAUAAACAAAGUUUCUCGAUGCUAAAACUUCCAAAAUGAACCCUGAAAAUGUUUAUCCAUGGACAUUACAGCAACAACCAAAGAUUAACAUUUCUCAAAAAAAAACACAAUCAUCAGAUUUUUCAUUUCAAUUUAUUUCAAAAUUCAAAAGUGAAACAAAAACUAUCAAUGUGAACAACUAUUCCUCAACACCAGCUAUAAUGUAGAGAAGGAGAGUGAUAUGAAAAGCACAAGUCAAAAUGACUUACCAGUUCAGGCACAUACUCCAAUCCUUCCUUCACUUUCAAACUCACAAUCUUGAAUUUAGCCUUGCUCUUCUGGUCCAAUUGUUUUUCAUUGUUCUCCGGUGGAUCCACAAACUUGAAAACUGUCGAUCAAAAUAUAAAAAUUCAAAACAACAAAUAAAAAACACAAGUCACACAAUUAAUACAAACACGAGCUAACAAAUACAUCACCCCUAAAAAAAAGACAGAAUCAUCAUGACUAAAUUACCCGUCGCAAUAAGGCUCUCUCCUGGAGCAAGAAUACCACCGGGCGGACGCAUAUAACAGCUCUUCGGUGCAGUUGUUUGAAACUAUAACAUCACAUAAAGAAACCAGUUCGGAAGUUCGAUAAGAUUGCUUUCAAUGAUCACAAGUCACAACACUAACAAGCAUAAAUACAGGGUUUUUUUUUAACAAUCAGAUAAAAAAUAAAAAUAUCCACAAUUAUUUUAUAACAAAUACUAGAAAAACAACUCAUAACAACAAAUUAGUACAGGUAGGACAACAACAGCAAAGGCAUCAUCCAGUGUACUUACUAAAUAUUUAAAACAGGAAAAAAAAAAUAAUGGUGUAAUAUUAACAUUAAAAUAACAAUCCCCUUAACACCUAAAAUGCAAACCACUAACAUAAAUGCCGUUCAUAUUAUUAAAUAAUGUAAUUAGCCUCUGUGUUAUUACGAAUUCUAAACAAAAAGUAUAAAAUAGAAAUUAAACAAAUAAUUAUACCUUAAAAGCAACAUGAGACUUGCUUGUGUUUUUUAACCUUACUGCGCUUUUUACUUGCUUCCCAGGUUCGUCUAAGAAAAAAUUAAAACGACAAUAAUAAUAGCUAAAAAAAGGAGUUGACCAAGGUGAAGAGUCAACGGGGAGAAAAUUAAAAACGACAACGUACAAGGGAAGUAGAGAUUAUUAGAAGGAUCAAGCCGGAGCCUUCGCCGAGUGGGUAAAAGCGAUCGUGCAACAGAAGAAACUGUCGUUGACUUCAAACCGCUACUAUUAACCGCCGCGCUUCGGCUACUGUUGCUGCCACCGUUAUGACUGUUGUUAAGGUUUUGUGUAGACGACGAAGAGGAAGAGUUAGUUGCCGCUUGCCAGAAAGGACAGAGCCUAAACAGCUUCAUGCUGUGGUCGCCGUUGGUUUUAUGUCGGUCAGAUAUUGCCAUCUCUUACCGGGAAUUCCACGUUGCCGGUAAGUAAAAAGAUUAGCAUCAGUUAGUUAUGUUGUUGCUUUGUAAGAGAGGAAAACACGUCUGGUCACGAGAUUUAAAUAUGGUUGUCGGAUUUGAAAUGGUUUUGUGGAUUUCAUAUAUUAGUUUUGGAGUCCGUGCUUGGCAGGGCUGUACUUAAGGGUAAAUCUGGGAUAAAAUAAAAAUGAAGGGUAUUUUGGUACAGAAAAUACUAGGUGAUGAGAAUUGAUGAAGGGAAACCUAAAUAGUACGUAAGGGUUAAUGUCAUGGCAUUUACAGCUGUCGGCUAAGUUUGUUGGUGUGUGGAAGGGUUAGUUGGGAAUUAAUUGGCCAAUUAAUUGUUGAAUAAUGAGUUAAUGACAUUCUUCUUUUGUGUAUAUAAUUUUAAAUAUUUUAUGGCUUGUACAGUUAAAAAUGAUAUUAUGAUUUAUUUAUUGCAGAACUUUAUUCUAUAAAAAAAGAAUAUUAUCCUGACAGGAUGAGAUUUGUCUAGACUUGAAAGAAUUGUUAUGGGUGAUUUGUGGCUGAGGUCAAAAGUAAAAGAGUUUAACUAAUACUCUGCCGUUUUAUUUAACAGCAAAGUCAACGACGACUUUAGAUGUAUCCAUAAAGAAAAGCAUGGUUUUAUUCUUUAGAUGUAUUCAUAAAGAAUAACUUUUGUUUUCUUUUCUAUUUUGUAAGGAAACUUGUGGUUAAGAUGUCUAAGGUUCCGGUCUUGAUGAUUUGGUCAUUUAUUGUUUGGAAUUUGGAUAUUACGGUUUACGAGGUUAAUAAAAAAAAAUGGAUGCUUUUGUUGGAAUUGCAAAAUUUGCAAGAGAGAUUUAAAUGUUGCUAUUAUAGUUUAUUGUGUUGUUUUAAAGAUUGUCAAUUACAGAUUUAACAACAAUAGAUGAUCUACAUCCUUAUUUAUCAUAAAUAUUUAUAACACUUAUAUUUAUAUUGGUUUUUAUAAUUAUCAACAUUGACUUGGUAAUGAAAUUAAAGUCAAUUUAAUGGUGCCAUCGCAAAACCAAUAGAUUUUGACAUGUGUAUGUCUUUUUCAAUUUUAAAAUCUCAAAUAAAUCAACAUUUAGUAAUACCCUCCACAUAAAUACCAUAAAUAUCAAGAAUUCAUAAUUAUCAAGAUGCUAGUUGUAUUAUAACUGGACAUAAGUUUUAGACCUUGUAUUGAAUUGAAUUUUUAAUAUACAACUACUUAAUUGUGAUAAUAUUUUUAGAUUUUUCUUUGAGUUUUUGUCCAACCUCCAAUUCAUCGCGUGAUAAGCCUAGAUUUCUAUGAUUCAAAGAAUUGGUUUAAUAGCUCAACUAACUCAACAUCCUCAUUUUUCUCAACCCUAUUAAUAUAAUGAUCAUUUUUGUCAUUACUUGAUUUAGAUUCUCCAUAGAAAAUACAAAGCAAAUGUUAUACACAACCAAGCUUACAUAUCUACAAUGUCUUACUUUGAUGUUAAGUUCCUUGCAUUACCACCUAAAUCAAAGUAACCAAUUAUCUGUGAUGCGUGUGUGGUUUUGAGGUAACUUGGUACCCAAGUAAACUUUAUAUUAGGAGAGUUUUCAUGUCUAGGUCUAUAAUUCAAUUAUACCUCUAGAAUAUGCAACUCAUUAUUAUUGACAAAUCCACACAUUGAAUUCAUACUUUCAUCACUACAAAUACAUAAACCAACAUAAUGAGUUAGACUUUUGUCCAUGUAAAAUAUGGAGCACAUGGCAUACAUAACCGAGCUUACAUAUAUAUAUAUAUUGUAUUGCUUGACGUUAGGUUCCUUGCAUUACCACUUAAACAAACAUAUAUGAUGUUUGUGUGGUCUUUUAAGUGUAAUUUAGCACCCGAUUAAAUUUUAUAUUAGAGGAGUUUUUUCGUUUAGAUCUACUAUUUAAGUAUAGCUCUAGAAUAUGCAAUUUAUUGUUGUUGGCAAACUCAAACAUUAAAUUCACACUUUCAUCACUAUAAAUAGGUACAAUAACAUAACAAGUUAAAUUUACCAUAGUUUGCAUCCUCCAAAUAAAUUCAAUUUCAAUUUCAAAUUCAAAUAGAUUCUAGCUGAUUUGAUCGCAUAACAUUCUAAAUAGCUUGGUAAGAAAUAUAUCUAAAGUGAAAGUUAGAAACUCAUUAAUUUCACUAAGAGAUAUUUCGUCAAACAAAAUAAUAAAAUUCAAGCUUAAUUUAUUAAUAUCUCCAAUUAAUUACCGUAUAUAAUUUUGACAAAAGUUUAUUCAAUGAAACUUUAACCAUAGCAUAAUUGGGAAAAAAAAUCUAAAUUCAUCAAUCUUUUCUAUAAAAUAACGAUAUUAUUAUCUAAAUUGAUGUAUUUCAUUGAUAAUUAAUAUAUUUUUACCUAAUUCGGUAAAAUCUUCUAAUUUAAUAAAUUUAUAAUUUUUUUUAGAUUUGUGUAAAAUAAAAAAGACAUUGAAACACAUGUAAAAGACACCAAUCCAAUCUGUUUGAAAUAAUUUUUCAUCCUUCUAAUUUAAGAUUCUGUUAAAAAGUUAAUUCUAUAGUACUGUCAACCCAAUUUGUAUUAAUUUCCCCUUUUUUUUGUUGUGCUAAAUCCAAAAAAGAACUCGAUGAAUCCCAUAGCUGUUGAUUGAUAAAAAAAACUCAACAAAUGAUGUACGAACCACCUACUACAAAUCAAAUCAUAAAGAAAUAUUGAUAGUCGGCAUAACGCCAAAGCUGAAAUUUUUUUUUUCAGAGGAAGCUAAAACCAUAGUCUAGUCAGUCCAUUUAAAACUAAAAUCAGACUGUGCUGAAAAAAAAAAAAAAUAUAACCCCAUAAAAUCUAAUAAAAAACUUAAUUAUAAUCUGUUAAUUUUUUUUACUAAAAUAAUAUCAUUUUAAUUUUUUUAAAAAAAUAAAAUUAAAUCAAACGAUCUAGUAAUCUGAUUAAAAUCUAGAAUCCAAGCCUUGAAUCGAGCCAGCUACGAACCGGGUCUAAAAAGUAUGGCUAAAACUGCCGUCGGCCGCUAACCACUGAAAUGAUGAAGGGAAAAUUUGAUGAUUUUUCCAGCUUUGAGAAAGUGUGAUGGUUUUGAGAAUACUGGGAUUUAACUAUGGGCUUUUAAGGCUUUCAGCUCCCAGUUUGUGGGUAGUGGUUUUAAGAUUCCAAGGGGUGAGGGACUGCGGGUGGCUCAUUUGUUGCUUUCGGUUGAAAAGUUUCUUCAUUGGUCUCUUCGUUUCGUUUCGUAUAAUUUGUAAGGUAAGCACGUGUUGCAGUAACAGUUAGUUUCUAGUUGACGUUGUAAUAAUUUUUAUUGUGGUGGGUCGAUCAACUAUUAUGGCUAAGUUUUUUAUUCUAAAUAUAAAUUUAAAAAUAUUUAGUUAAUUAAAGCAUAUUAUAAUGUUACAUAAAUUUCUAUUAAAAUCAUGAUUAAAAAAACUAGAAUUUCUAAUUUUAUAAAUCUAAUUUUUUUCAAAUUAAAAUUAUAAUUACGACUAAAAAUACCAAAAACACUAAACUUGAAAUCUCAUUUAAUACUACUAACUGAUCGCUUAAUAUUAUAUAUAUAAUUAACCUAAAUUUUUUUAAAAAUCAAAAUAAUAUAAUUUUGGAAAAAAAUUCAAUUAGUUUUGUCUGCUUAUAAAUUGAUCAGCAAAUUUGAAAAAAAUAAAAAGUUUUGUCUAGUUAUAAAUUGAUCAGCCAAGUUGAAAGGAAUCAACUUUCCCGAGCUAGGAGGCGGGUUGGCUGGUCGACUUGUCCUAGCCAUACCUGUAUAAUUUCAUGAAAGAAUUUACAAAUCAUCCCAUUCCUUGUACCUUUAAAUCAUUUUCAAAUAAGUUCCAGGAAUCUAAAAAUCAUUUUAUCUGUUGACGAAAUUUUAGAUAUACGCAAUUCCUCAUAAAAUUUUGUUCAAAUACUAUUCAAAUAUCAAGAUGAUUUUGAAAUCAAAUCAAAUUAAAUCUUCUCACUUCUAUUUGGAUAGAAUUGUUGAUCUAACCAAUAUACUUUCCAGCCACCGGACUUCAAUUUCCUUUCCCUGAACAAACAUUAAUUCCCAAUAAAAAUAUAACAAUGCUGUAAUUAUUUUAGAUUUAACAAUUUUUCAGUUCUAGUUACAACAAAUUCUACGAAUUUCUAAAUUUUGGAUGGAACUAGUUUACUCUCUUUCAUGUUUAUUUUCCCUGUUCCGUCCCUGUUUUGACCCAUGAGCUGCAAAAGCAUGCUCCGUCGGGAUGAUUAGAAGGGGCAAGACAGGGAGAAAGAGAGCUACAAUUUUGGGUCUCAGAAAUCAUACAGUAACAAUUCAUUCCACCAUGGAUUAGCAAGCUUCUAAUCUCUGAACUUCAUCAAACAUUAGACAUACUCAUAGCAAAAAUAAUGGCAUGGCUAUUACACUUUGGAAACCUAAAAUCUAGUAGUACUGGGACCCCAGCAGCUCAGAUUCAUGCUUCUCUCCAAGGAAAUCUUCCUCUUCAUACUGGCUUUUCUGAUCUCAUUAGACACUGCUGCUGCUGCAGAUGAUGAAGAACUAGAAUAAGAAGAAGAGGCCAUGAUCUUGGAUUGAGUAAAUGAUCUGAUAUUGCUCUUGGCAUGCUGUUGUAGCAACCUUAUAGUGUAAUUCCACCUGCAAAUUGUUGGAAUUAUUGACUUGGUCGUUAUUGAUUUGGUCUACAACGUAAUAACUGAAUAAUAGGCAGGAAUUGUUGACUAACCUGUCAAGUAAGCUAGUUUGUAGGAGUUGAUCAGUUCAAUUCUGUUUUGAUUUGUUUUCCCUUGUAUUUCGAUUUUUCUGUUUUGUAAGGCUUUAUAAAAGCCACAUCUAUCUUUGCAUUUAAAUAAUAAUAAGAAGUAUCAGUUUCCUUUAUUUGGUAUCAGAGCGUACACGGACCUGAUAAAGGAACAAUUUGAGUGUUUGAGAGGAAAAACACUAAACAGAAAAUGGCAACUGAUUCAGGAAGCUUCACAACACCAUGUGUUCCAAAAUUCGACGGAGACUAUGAUCACUGGAGCUUGAUCAUGGAAAAUCUCCUGCGUUCUAAGGAGUAUUGGAGCGUUAUUCAAUCUGGUUUUGAAGAACCACAGGGAAAUGAAGUCAUAGACGCAACACAACAAAAAGCAAUCGACGAUGCAAGACUCAAGGAUCUUAAAGCAAAGAAUUAUCUAUUUCAAUCCAUAGAUAAGAGCAUAUUGAAAACCAUCACUCAGAAGGAGACUGCCAAGCAAUUGUGGGAUUCCAUGAAAGUCAAGUGUCAGGGAAGUGCUAGAGUGAAGCGAGCUCAGCUGCAGCGACUUCGCAGAACAUUUGAGACUCUAGAAAUGAAGUCAGGAGAAGGUGUGUCUGGGUAUUUUGCAAGAGUUAUGACUAUUGCUAAUGACAUGAGGAAUUGCGGGGAAGAUAUGCCCGAUGUCAAAAUCGUUGAGAAAAUACUUCGAAGUCUCACAGAAAAAUUCAACUUCGUAGUAUGCUCAAUUGAGGAAUCAAAAGACAUUGACAAGCUCACAGUAGAUGAAUUACAAGCAUCUCUGCUUGUACAUGAACAAAAGGUGGUUGAGAAGAGGAGUGAAGAGCAAGUUCUACAGGUGAUGAACGAGCCAAGGAAUGCACAAGGAAGAGGCAGAGGGAUAUUUCAGAGAGGAAGAAUUCACUCUAGAGGACGGGGAAGAGCUAGACCUUUUGUCAACAGGUCAGCCAUUAAUUGCUUUCGAUGUGGAAAGCAAGGACAUUAUCAAUUUGAAUGCUCGAGCUCAGAAAAGGGAGUAGUCAACUAUGCUGAAUUUGACGAGGAGGAAGAACUACUCUUAAUGGCGCACACAGAAAUGAGCAAAGCUGAAGGAGUCAUCAACUAUGCUGAAUUUGACGAAGAAGAAGAACUACUCCUGAUGGAGUACACAGAAGCCAGUAAAGCUGAAGAAGCUGAAGAAAACUAUGCUGCAUUUGAUGAGGAGGAAGAACUACUUUUGAUGGCACACACAGAAGCUAGCAAAGCUGAAGGGAAGGGCAUUUGGUUCCUUGAUUCCGGGUGCUCAAACCAUAUGACAGGAGAUAAAACUUGGUUUAUUGAGCUUGAUGAAAAGUUCAAACACUCUGUCAGAUUGGGAAAUAGUUCAAAAAUGGCAGUUGAAGGAAAAGGCAAUGUCAGAUUUGAGGUGGAAGGUAUCACACAAACCGUGUCAAAUGUAUAUUUUGUCCCCAAUCUCACCAACAAUUUGCUUAGCAUUGGCCAGCUACAGGAGAAGCGCUUGGUGAUCUUAAUCAAAGAAGGAACUUGCAGAAUUUAUCAUCAACAAAGGGGCUUGAUAAUAAAUACACAAAUGACUGCAAAUCGCAUGUUCCUGGUUUAUGCGAAGAUGAAGCCACUGCCUGGUAACUGUUUGAAGAUGGAAGAAGAAGACUUGGAGAUUCUCUGGCACAGGAGAUAUGGGCACCUAAACAACAAGUCUAUUCAAAUUAUGCAGCAGAAACAAAUGGUGAAAGGACUGCCAAAAUUCAAAGGAGCAGCAGACAAUGUUUGCAAAAUAUGCAAUGUGGGAAAGCAACAACGUCAAGAAUUUCCAAAGAAAAGCAAAUGGAGAGCAUCGAAUAAAUUGGAAUUAAUUCAUGGAGAUCUUUGUGGACCAAUCACCCCAAUCUCCCACAGUGGCAAGAGGUAUUUGUUGGUGCUGGUAGAUGAUUUCUCUCGAAAAACAUGGAUUUAUUUUCUUGCAGAUAAAUCAGAAACUUUUGAGACAUUCAAAAUUUUCAAACGUUUUGUUGAAAAAGAAGCAAAAACAGCCAUUUGUGGUUUCAGAACUGACAGGGGAGGAGAAUUCACAUCAAAUGAAUUCAAUAAAUUCUGCCAAGACAAUGGCAUAAGACGACAACUAACAGCAGCUUACACUCCCCAGCAAAAUGGAGUUGCGGAACGAAGGAAUCGGACCAUUAUGAACAUGGUACGAUGCUUGUUGUCUGAGAAGGAGAUGCCGAAAUCUUUAUGGCCAGAAGCAGCUAGAUGGACAGCCCAUGUUUUAAAUCGCAGUUACACAAAGGCAGUCAAAGACAUGGUACCUGAGGAGAGGUGGACAGGAGUAAAACCAGAUGUAGAAUACUUCAGAGUAUUCGGUUCUAUUGCACAUGUACAUGUCCCUGAACAAAAGAGAACUAAGCUUGAUGAUCGCAGUCACAAAUGCAUCUUACUUGGAGUCAGUGACGAAUCUAAGGCCUAUCGUUUGUAUGAUCCAGUGACAAAGAAAAUAAUCAUAAGCAGAGAUGUCAUAUUCGAAGAAGGUGGAAAAUGGGAGUGGAACCUGAGUACAACAGAAUCAGAGCAGAAUGAGUUAGCUUGGGGAGAUGAUGAUGAUGAUAUUACCACAGAAGAGUCUGAAGGUGAAGAAACUGAUGGAGAAUUUAAUGAAGCAGAAGACAGCAAUUUAGAAGUAAUUCCAGAAAUUGGGGAGUCUUCAAAUUCUGGAAUUCCACAACAGACAAGAAGAAGAAGAGAGCCUGUUUGGAUGCGUGAUUAUGAAAGUGGUAAUCGCUUUCCUGAAGAAGAAGAAUCAGACGAAAGCCUAGCCUUUCACAUCUCCAACGAUGAUCCAAUACAUUUUGAUGAAGCGAUGAAAGAAAAGAAGUGGCAGGAGGCCAUGAAGCUUGAAAUAGAAGCUAUUGAAAGAAAUCAGACCUGGGAGCUUGUGUCACUGCCACAUCAAGCAAGGAAAAUUGGUGUCAAAUGGGUUUUCAAAACAAAGUUCAAUGAAGAAGGCAAAGUAGAUAAAUGUAAAGCUAGACUCGUCGCCAAAGGAUACUCACAGAAAGCAGGAAUUGACUACAAUGAAGUGUAUGCGCCAGUAGCCCGAUGGGAUACAAUCAGAAUUCUGUUGGCACUAGCAGCUCAACGUGGAUGGUGCAUCUUUCAACUUGACGUAAAGAGUGCUUUCUUGUAUGGUGAAUUGAAAGAGGAGGUUUAUGUUGAUCAGCCGGAAGGAUUUGUCAUAAGAGGACAGGAAAAUAAGGUGUAUCGACUAAAAAAGGCUCUCUACGGUUUAAAGCAAGCUCCAAGGGCCUGGUUUAGCAGAAUUGAGAGCUACUUUAAGAAGGAAGGAUUUGAGAAAAGCAAUUAUGAUCACACCUUGUUCCUGAAGAAAAAUGGAGAUAAAUUGUUGUUGGUAAGUCUUUAUGUAGAUGACUUGAUUUACACAGGAGAUGAUGAGCAUAUGUGCACAAAUUUUAAGUCGUCCAUGCAGAAGGAGUUUGAGAUGACAGACUUGGGAAAAAUGAAGUUUUUCCUUGGAGUUGAAGUCUAUCAAAACAAGGAAGGAAUUCAUCUAUGCCAAAAGAAGUAUGCUAAGGAAGUCUUGGAAAGGUUUAAUAUGUGGAACUGCAAUGCUGUAAAGAAUCCAAUAGUUCCUGGCACUGUCUUGUCAAAAUUAGGCAGCAAAAAUGUUGAUGCAACACCGUAUAAACAGCUGAUAGGUUGCCUAAUGUACCUAACGGUAACUCGUCCUGAUUUAAUGUUUGUGGUAUGUUUGAUUUCUCGUUAUAUGGCUGAUCCUAAAGAAGAACAUAUGAUGAUUGCUAAGAGGGUACUAAGAUAUCUAAAAGGAACUUUAGAUUUCGGAGUCUACUACAAAAGGAGCACAGAUGCAAAUUUGCUGGGAUACACAGACAGCCACUAUAUAGGAGAUGAUAGAAGUCUGCUGGGAUACACAGACAGCGACUAUGCGCGAGAUGUAGAUGAUAGAAAAAGCACUUCAGGCUAUGUUUUUCUUCUAAGUGGAGCAGCAAUAUGUUGGAGUUCAAGGAAGCAAGGAAUUGUCACUCUAUCAUCCACAGAAGCUGAAUAUGUGGCUGCCACUGCAUGUGCAUGUCAUGGAGUUUGGCUUAGAGGAAUUCUGCAGGAGCUAGGCGUCAAAAACUGUGAGUGCGUCAAUAUCAUGUGUGAUAAUAGUUCAGCCAUUAAGUUGUCAAAGAAUCCAGUUAUGCAUCGAAGAACAAAACACAUUGAUGUUAGAUAUCAUUACUUGCGCAACCUGUCAACUGAAGGAGCUGUGAGGUUGAGUUUUGUUGGAACUAAAGAUCAAGUGGCAGAUAUAAUGACUAAACCAAUUAAGUUGGACCAAUUUGUGCAACUCAGAAGUUGGCUUGGCGUUCGACGACUUGAAGAAGUAAACUGAUGCAUUUUCAGUUUACGGGGAGGAAUUUGUUGGAAUUAUUGACUUGGUCGUUAUUGAUUUGGUCUACAACGUAAUAACUGAAUAAUAGGCAGGAAUUGUUGACUAACCUGUCAAGUAAGCUAGUUUGUAGGAGUUGAUCAGUUCAAUUCUGUUUUGAUUUGUUUUCCCUUGUAUUUCGAUUUUUCUGUUUUGUAAGGCUUUAUAAAAGCCACAUCUAUCUUUGCAUUUAAUAAUAAUAAGAAGUAUCAGUUUCCUUUACAAAUACCUUGGUCCUUUAGUGCCUCCACUGCACCAAUACUAGCUGCAACAAUCCAAGCUUUGCUUGCUGAAGAACACAUUUUCUUAUUGUUUAAAGGUUUUGGUUUCUUGGGUGAGUGGUGGUGUAAAGAAGGUAUUUCUUAAGAGAGAGUUGCGGAUUGAGAGGGCGAUGAUUACCAAGUUCUAGCG
rnacentral:lncRNA from 1 species